UUUCUAGUUAUAUUACACGUCUAAAGUGUGAAUAGUUUGUGUUGUCACAUUUCUUAUUAAAAAAGACUGCAUAGAUCCUUCUUACUAGCAUUGUGGCAUAGACUGAUCAUUAGGGUAGGGUAUAAGUUGAGUUCCUUGUGGAAUACAUUUCAUAUUUGCUACUAGAUUCAAUGGUUUUGGAGAGGUGCGAGGGUCAAUAUGUUGUAAACUUUUGUGUAGCUUUGAUUUGGUUAAUAUGGUAGUAAAGAAACUCUUGAAUCUUUAUUGAUUGACACAACUAUGGAAGUUGUUUGGGAUAGAAUUAAUUUUUUAUCUCUUUGGGCUUUAGUGACAGAAUUCAUAAAUGUCCAUGUUAUGAAAUAUUAGUUACUUGUCACCAUGGUCUUAAACCUAGGUCAUAAUCUUGUCUCUCUUGUUCAUGCGUUUCUAGAUCUCUUCUGUGAGUCUUCUUCAUGUAUAGGCAUCCCAAUUCAUCCAAGGAACUUCUCAUGGCACUUGUCUGGUUGUAUUACGCUUCAAUCUGUAAAAUGUUGUACCAAAAAAUUGUAUGAUAUUUAGAAAGUUCUAUUAUAUGGUACUGAAUUGAUUCCUUUUCAUAUACAUACAUAUAAGUAUGUGGUGUUUACUGUGUACAAGCUAAUAUUAGAUGUGGCUUGUGCACACUAACCACCACAUAUGUAUCAUCCAUGCGCUUCAUUAAUAAUAUGUUGAAUUUGGAAAAUGAUUUUUGAUUAUUUUUAACAGUCAAGUUUUAUUUUGGAUUUUUAUGUUUCCCUAUUAUUAUAAAUCAUUUUGUAGAGAACCAAGAGGCAGUGUCUGGUGGGCUAUACGGUGACUUUGUGGGUUAUUUAGCUUAAAAAAAAGAGAGUAUGUUUGAGGUUUGGAAGAGAUUAAUGCUUGAUUUGUGGGAGAUAUUUGCUUUCUAACAUCCAUCUCAAUGCCUGUUGCCAAAUAGUUCUUGGUAGUUUCUUAGCAUCAUAUGUGCAAUUGAAGUUUAGUUUGCUUCCCAGUUCAGAAAUUUGUAAGAAUACAUGAAUUUGACAACUAGUUUUCUCCACUAGUUGUUUGAAACUUAAUUUUGAUGGAUGUUCCUAGGGAGUUUGACCUAGAUGAGCAUUGGCGGAUUUGUUUUGGGGUCAUAGUGAUAUGAUUCAGGCUUUCUUGAAGGGAGCUGAUUUUGGCCUAGUUGUUAAAAUGAAAACAUUUGCUUCACUUAAUGAUCUCAAGAUUGCAAGAGAGUUGAGUGUCAGAAAUUUGUUGGUAGAAGGGGGUUUAGCGGCAGUUUUGUCUUAAAUGGCAAAUAAUGGUACAGGGUCUUAGGAUAUGACCAAUGGAUAUGAAGAUUGUGUUAUUGAUAGGGUAUUGAGUCUCUCUUUCUCUUGAUAGUCUAGAUCGGGUAAUUAGGAAGUUGAUAGUCUGUCUAAGAGAAGCGCAUCUUCUUUAGUUGAUCUUAUUGGGGAUGUGAUGCCCCCUUGAGUUUUGAUGUUUGUUCCCUCACCCAAAGAACAUCAAAAAAAAAAAAAAAAAAAAAAAAAAAAAAAAAAGAAGAAGAGAAGGAUCCCUUGGUGGAGUCGAUACCUUUAGGAAAUCUAUGAAGAAAAAGAUUUAUAAGAGCUGGAAUAAUUUGAUCAACAAUUUGAUGAAAUUAACUUAUUUUUUUAAUGGACUAAAGAGGUUUAGAAAUGCUAUCAAGGUGGCGCUCUCUUGCUUGGCCAAGGAUAAGCUAGCUCCACGGGGGAAGCAAAGUUUUUAGUGAAAAGGGAUUCCUCUAUGAGUAAGGUUAAGAGGCUUCCUGACCUAUCAAAAAAAAAAAAAAAAAAGGUUAAGAGGCUUCCUGAAGGACUGGCAUCAAUUUCAAGAGAUUACCUUUUAAUGAACUACACUGGGUUUAGAAAUGCUAGCAAGGCAAUACUCUUCCUUGACCUUAGGUAAGCUGGCUCCAAGAGGCAAGCAAAGUUUUUAGUGAAGGGUGCUCCUGUAUGAAUGAGGUUAAGAGGCUUCUUAUAGGAUUAACAUCAAUUUUAAGAGGGCCUUGUGGGCAGAUAAUGAAGAGGACUACAUUUUUUCCUCAAAAGGGGAACCUUGAGUUAGCACUUUCUCUCCUUAGUUAGGGUUUUGUGUUUGCUUCUUGCUUUGGUUUAUCCUGAUUCUUGGUGUAUCCAUGUAUUUAUCUCAGUCAAGGAUUCAUUGCCUUCUUUGUACCCAUCUUUUUCUUUCUUGUCCUUCUAUUCAUUAAUAUUGUAGAUCAUCCAUAUGUUUAUAUAAUUAGAAUUGUGCUAGAGUCCCUCGUAUGGUUUGUUGAUAAUGCGCCUCUGUUUUGUGGGGUGAGUUGUGACCAACUUCUAUAUCUGAGGUGAAUUUUCUUUGUUUCAAGGCACUACUGGGUUUUAUAAAUAAUAUAGGGAAAAGUGAGGCGGUAGUGGAUAAUGUGGAAAAUGUAGAUGUGUAGGUGUCAUUGCUUGGUUGUUAGGUGGGUGUGUUGCCGACUACAUAUUUGGAGUUAUCAUUGGAGGCUUCUACAAGGCUAGUGUUGUUUCGGACCCUAUUGAGGAGCAGUUCAAUAGGUGGGUCACCUCAUGGAAAGACAAUACUUGCCAAAUGAGGGAACACUUGUGCUUGUCAAAAGCAUUCUGUCCAGAUUACAGGUAUACUUUAUAUCUUCUGUAUACUAGUGGUUUAAGCUUGAAAAGUUUAAUCUUAUCUUAGAGAGUCAUUGGAGUCGUCCUUUUAACAUUAGCACUAUUUUGGGACUUUGCUGAGUGGUUCAAUAAGACACUUGCCCAAUGGAAAGACAGUACCUAGGAAGUGGAGGGAUGUGUAUAUUUUUUAUCAAAAACACUUUCUUCAGACUAUGUAUAUACUUUAUUUCCUCUGUGAUGGUCCAUUCUAGUGACAAUAUUCCCACUUUUAUUAUUUCAGUACUGUUAGGGGCAAUUGCCAUGUUAUUAACCCAUCCAAACUUUAAUACAACUUUUUUUAAUCUUGCUGAGAAUUUAUCUGGGAGACAUCCAAUAAUGCAAACCCCUCCCACCUAGCUCUGCAAGGGAACCCCUUCGGGUUUUUCAAUUCAAAAGGUAGUGUAACCAUAGUGGAUGCAUCACAUGGACGUCAAAUGGUUGAUAUUAUCCCUCUAGGAUCAGAACUUCUUGUUUCAGAGGGUGAAUUAUCUUGUUCAUAGAUCUUGAAACCAGAUUAAUAUCCAUUUUCAAUAGAUUUAUCCAUCUAUUGAUAGAGAAAUAUUGAUCUCUAUUAGGAUAGAAUAUGUGGGCUUUUUUGCUUGAGAAGAAGGGGGACUUACAUGGCCUUUUCCUAAAAAGAAUUCGAUUGUGAUACCCGCAAAGCUCUCCUCUCUCUCCCUUCCUCAUAUUUCUUUUCCUGGACAACUGUCUUCAGACUGUCAUGAAAAGUUAGACUAGUGGCACCUGAUUGGUGUUAGAAUGUGAGUCCAAUUCUUUGGUUGGAAACAAAUAUUUAUUGGAAAGUCUUCUUGCUAAAAGGCAAGAAGUGGAGCAACAUUACAAUCAAACCACAACUGUUUGACCAAUUUUGUUAUGACAAAAUUGAAGAGAGGAUUAGGUAUUAGAAGCCUAUUGCUUCCCAACAACACUUUAUGAGAGUUGUUGUGGAGCACGGUUCAAAGAAUCGGCCAAGUUAAGUAUGACUUGGUCGAGUCGUAUCAUCCUUGAGCCUGUCCGCGUUGAGUCCGAUACCUGAUACUUGAUCCCAUCUAAAACUCAGGCUCAAAUCAAGAAUCGUUUUAAACUCGGUUGACUCGAUCUAGGAUUCCGAGUUGACUGGGUCAAACCUUCCAAGUUACCAAAAGAAAUCGUUUUUUCACUUCGAAAUCAUAGCAAAUGAACAACAGUCGAGAUCUCAACCGAAAAAACCUCGGAAAAAUUGGAGAUUGCCUUCAAAACAAAUAACUUUUCAACAACCAAGACCUAUGACCCAUUUUGAAGAAGAAGAAAGGCCUCAGUCUAAUCAUGAGUGUUGGAGUUGUAUAAGAAGAGGAGGUUGAGGGCAUCGCUAAUUUCAGAAUGGAUGUGGAGCGCCUUCGGUGGUGCCAUUGGGAAUUCAACAAUAGUUGUUGCCCUUCUCUCUGCUUGUUUUUGCCCUCUAUCACCGUGGUGUGGGUGAGUCUUGCGAGUGAAUUGGGGAUAUUGAAAAAGAGAUUGUGCAUGUGAAUUGGGUAUUUGAAGAAAGGAUAUCCGUAAUAUAUUACCUGAUUUUUUAAACUAUUAUUUUAUAUGGUAAUGAUUUAUUGUUUUAUAUAUUGAUGGUGUGAUAUAAAUUACAUGUACAUUAUUUUAUAUGGUAAUGGUAGCAUAUUUGGUGUAUUAAUUUAUUAUUAACAAUCUAUUCAAACCAUUUUAUUUGUUAUAAUAUUAACAUUAUUAAAAUCAUUUAAUCAAAAUUAAAAAUGGAAUUGAUGAUUGAAUUAUAUGUAUUUUAGUAAAAAUAUUAUUAUAUGUGAAAUAAUUUUUAACAUUAUUAUAAAUUGCUUUCUGCAAAGGCUCUAUAAUUAUUUAAAUAAUGUUAAAUGUGAAAUAAAUUUUAUUUUAUAAUUUUUUAAGCUUAUUUAAUUAUAUUUAUUUUUAUAAAAAUUUUCAUAAUAUUUUUAUAAUUUUUUAAACUUUUUAACUAUCUUAUUUUGCGUAUCACCCAAUACCGAGCCGAGAUGCCAAGACCGAUGUGCCUCAAGACCGUCCGAAUCAAUGAUUGAUACCACGACUUUGAACCAUGUUAUGGAGGCCUACGGUUGAGUGAGAUGCUUUGUUAAGGAAAGUCAUUGUGUGUAAUUCUAGAGAGGAGAUGGGUUGUGUUUGAGGGUGGAAGCAAGGCUUAUGGUUUGGGUCUGUAGGGAUCUAUUAGGAGAGGAUGGGAUGUCUCAUAUGGGUGCAAGACUAAGUUAUCAUUCGAUGAUUAGUGUGGAGGACUUUCUUUAAAAAUUAAUUCUUAGAUUUGUUUAUUAUUUUAGCUUAUAAAAUUCUCAUUAUGCUGGGGUUGCUUAUAUAUGGGUGAGGGAUUCUCAGAAUGCUUGGGAUGUCUCAAACAGGUGUAACACUAAGUUAUCAUUUGAUGAUUGGUAUGUAGGACUCUUCUGAAAGAUUGUUCCUCAUAUUUGAUGCUUGAUCUUGGGGGAUUUAGAGGAUUUACUCUGUGGUAGUUCAUGGAGGUGUUGAGAAUAGAUGGUGUGGAAGGUUGCAAAGGAUGCUUUCUUCUUUAUGAGUUUUUGGUGAAUUGACAAGCUUGGGCAUGGUUAGCUUGUUUCGGCUAAAAAGAUGUGGGGUCUUAAUGCUUCAUCCAAGGAUUGCUUUUUUGUUUGGCAAAUAGUGCUGUAUAUAAAAGGAGGCAUGAGCCUAUGAUAUUCUUUGUGAGAUGGUUCUCUGGUUGUGACCUUUGCUAUUCUCCUUUGUUGUGGGUUUGGCCUCACUGUGUACUUAAGCUGCAUGGUAGUUUUGUUGGCAAGGAUCAAAAGAUAUGGUGAAUGGUUCCUUUGUGCCUGCUUUGGUGGCAGGAAAGGAGACUUAGAACUUGAGAAAGUUUGGACUGUUCUGAAGUGGCUACAAAGGCUCCAUGCUUAUUUAGUUUCUUGGUCCUGGGGUGGGGUGCUUGUAGGAUUGAUGAUUUUUUUUUCUUGUAUUUUAUUGUUUGAGAUGGAUUUAUGUGUAUUGUACAUUCUUCUUUUCUUUUCCUUGGCUCUAUUGGUAUUGGGGCUCCUUAUAUUCUUCCAGUGUACCUGGGUAGCACCCACCUCUUUUGCUAGACACCUUUCAUUGAACAUCUAUUUAUUUGUCCAUAUAAAAGAAAAUAAAGAUUAGGACUAUUUCAUCCCUAUUACUUUAUUCCUUGUUUUUUUUUUUUUUUUGAUAAGUAAAGAGAAGUAUGUUAAAAUGAAAGAGGAAACACCAAACUAGUGUCCUCUAGGUAUACAAAGAGUAUACAAAAGCAGCCCCUCGACUCUAAACCAAGGAAGCGAGCUGAAACCCCUACCUAUAACAAAAGCCUAGCCACUCAAAAAAGCUAACCAGAGACCGUGGGCUUAAAACUAUAAACAUCCUCACCCAUGACCACAGAUUACAUACAAAAGAAUGUUUCAACCUUUGGAUUGACAACACCUCAUUCCCAAAAGCCAAUGAAUUUCUUUCCUUCCAAACUGACCAAAAUAUACAUAAAGGGGCCAUUUGCCACGCCUUUUUACGGAUGUUCCCCACAAACGCUCCAUGCCACCCCAGGAGAGUUUCCUUAACUGUACCAGAGAGAACCCACUCCACACCAAAGAGAGAAAAAAGAAGAUUCCAUAAUGUCCUCGUCAUAACAUAAUGGAGUAAAAGAUGAUCCACCGUUUUUGCUUCAGCAAGACAAAGAAAACACCUAUUUGCCAAAGAAUAACCCCUCCUCUGAAGUUGGUCUAAAGUUAAGAUUUUGCCCCAGGAUGCUUCCCACACGAAAAAAGCUACCUUUGGUGGCACACUCGCUCUCCAAAUACCAACAUAAGGGAACAUAGCUGAACCACCAGGCUCCAAAAUAGAGUAGAGCGACUUGACUGAGAAAACACCACUUUUAGAUGCUGUCCAAACCAUCUUAUCCUCGUUCUCCCUUUGCACCCUAAAAGCUUGGAUUUUAAGCAUAAACUGUUCCAUCAUCUGAAUUUCCCAAUCAUUAAGCGCCCUUGAGAACAAAGGGGUCCAACCAUCCCCUACACCAUCUGGGUUCCACACUUUCGAUGCCCACGUGUCUUUAGCCUGAGAAAUGGCAAAAAGAGAAGGGAAGGAUUCGUAGAGAGGCUCAUCUCCACACCACUUAUCCUUCCAGAAUCUCACUCUCCGACCAUUGCCCACACAGAAGGCUAAACUGCUAUACAUACCCAACCACUCCUUUCUAAUAGCUUUCCAAAGCCCUACACCAUGCCUCCCUCUUUCGGCCCGAGUACACCAACCCCCCUCCUCUACACCAUAUUUGUGUUUGAUCACUUUCUUCCACAACACCUCUCUUUCAAUGGCAAAACGCCAAUUCCACUUACCCAAGAGAGCUUUAUUCAUCAACGCUAAGUUUCUUACCCCCAAACCACCUUUCUUCCUUUCCAAGCAAACCAUAUUCCACCUAACUAGAUGAGGCCUCUGAUCAAGAGCACCUCCCCCCCAUAGGAAGUCCCUCUGAAUCUUCUCCAACCGCAUCCUUACUUUUCUGGGCAAAAGGAAAAGAGACAUGAAGUAAACUGGCAAACUGGAAAGAGUGCUCCGAAUAAGGGUGAGUCUUCCCCCCUUGGAAAUAUACUGUCUCUUCCACAUAGCCAACCUUUUCCUAAACCUCUCUUCAACACAAUCCCAUACCACCUCUGAUUUGAAAGGUGCCCCCAAAGGCAAACCCAAAUAACUGGAAGGCAGACCACCCACCUUACAACCCAACUCCAGAGCCAAAUCCUCUAUAUCAUUCACCCUCCCCACCGGAAUAAGCUCACUCUUCUCCAAGUUAACUUUCAAACCUGAGCAAACCCCAAACCACAUGAUAAGCCAACUUAGAUACGUCAACUGAACCUGGGACUCCUCACAAAACACCAAGGUGUCGUCCGCAAAGAGCAAAUGGGAUAUCAGAAUCCCUUCUCCACCCCUACCUCUAGCCCUCCAACCAGAUAAAAAGCCCCCACUGAUGGCCCUUCUCAUUAAGCAAUUAAAAACCUCCAUAGCUAUCACGAACAGGUAAGGGGAUAGAGGGUCACCUUGUCUCAAACCCCUUGAGCUUUGGAAGAAUCCAGAAGGAGAGCCAUUUAUUAGAACGGAGUAUCUUACAGUUGAGAUACACCACUCUAUCCACUUAAUCCAUCUCUCCCCAAAUCCCAUUUGCUUUAACACAACCAACAAGAACUUCCAGCCAACAUGAUCAUAGGCCUUCUCUAUAUCCAAUUUGCACAUCACACCCCCUUGAUUGCUUUUCAAUCUGGAGUCCACAACCUCAUUAGCAAUCAAAACUGCAUCAAGAAUUUGUCUACCCUCCACAAAGGCAUUUUGGGGUUCCGAAAUCACUUUUCCCAUAACCUUCUUGAUUCUAUUUGCCAACACCUUGGCCAACAACUUGUAAAGGCUUCCCACAAGGCUAAUCGGUCUGAAAUCUUUCAAAUCUUCUGCCCCUCCCUUCUUAGGGACUAAAACCAAGAAGGUUGCAUUUAGGGAUUUUACAAAUCUGCCCCUUUCAUGGAAUUCUCUAAAAAAGCCCAUAAUUUCAAACUUCACCACAUCCCACCCAUAAAGCCAGAACGCCAUUGUAAAGCCAUCUGGCCCCGGGGCUUUGUCUUUGCCUAGGUCCGUAAGAGCUGCUAGCACCUCUUCCUCCAAGAAAGGGAUCUCCAACCCCUCAGCCUCACUGAUAUCUAACCUCAUAAAAGAGAUCCCGUCAACACUAGGGCGCCAACCCUCUUCCUCCUGGUACUUUAUUCCUUGUUGAAUGUCAAGAAUUAAAAAUGAUUUUAUGUGUUGGCAGACAUAAUGCAAAUUGGUGCUUAAAUCCUGGCUCAAGUUUGUUUUCUUUUAAAAGAUUUUUUUUAUGUGCCACUUUCAGGACAAAGAGAACAUGUGCAUCAACUCCAUCCAACAGGUAUUGUGCAUUCAUUUUUGGAUUGUGAUUUGGUAAAUCUUUUUUCUGUUUGUUUGAACCGUGUUUCUCCUAGGAUGCAUAUUUGAAUGAUUGCUAUUUGCAGCUUGAUUUUGCAGUGACUGUAUCUGCAAUGCUUGGUAUUCCCUUUCCUUUCGGAAGGUGCAGUGUACGCAUUCUGCUUCAUAUCAUUAUUGUCAUCUUAUGUAAAAUAUACAUGUAUAAUGAAUUUUAUAAUAUGUUUUGGCAAUUUACUAUUAUUUAUUGAUUAGUGAUAGGAUUGAUAUAAAAAAUGAUGUCAUUGGAGGAAGGUUUCUGACAUUCUUGUUUUGAAGCCUCAACAUUUAGAUUUGGGAUUUUUGAAUAAGUAGAUAAUAUUUUUUCUUAUUUCCAUUUAGCACAAUUUAAAAUACACGCUGAUAAUUCAAGGAAAUAAACCUUUCAGUAGACAAAAUGACAACAGGUGUUUGACAAUUUAAAAUACAUGCUGAUAAUUCAAGGAAAUAUAAGCACAGAACUUAGCUAAGUUGUGGCAAAAACACAAAAUUACAAUAGGUUUUUGAGCUCAAAAUUUAUCAAUCAUAUGCUUUUUUAGAUCUGAAUUUUUGUUGGCAUUGAAUAUGUCUACCCUAUAUUAUAACGGGAUAUCUUAAUAGAAAAUAAUCACACUGGAAAGUAGUUCUAUGCCAUGUAGAGAAAGAUGUUCAGGCUUUGGGAACAAGGUAGUGGAGGUAUGUGGUUCACCAUUAGAUAAAGAAUCCCUGGUGUGUCUAUUUUGCUGCUUUUUGAGAUAGAUGAAAUUUCAUGGCUUAUUGAGCAAUUGGGAGGUCAUGCUUGCCGGAGAGGGAUGUAGGUUUCACCAGGAAAUUUAGAGGUUGAUCAGAACAAUUUGUUUGGGGUUAGAAGGAAUACAAAUGUGAGGUUCGUGAGAAUUUUGGACACUUGCCUAAUAGAAUACCAUUUCUCCUAAUAUGGAAGGGGCCCACGAAUUAUUGUUUGUGUUGCUGAUGUUGUGGAAGUGCUAAUAGAAGACAAAGAAAGAUAAUAUGGCCAAACAAAAGGGUACAACUCAAGGUGACAAAAGACUCCCACAAAGGAUGCUAAUGAGAGUUCCAUCAUUUAGUCAAAUUAUCCAUGCGUGAUUGGCUGUAUAAGAAAUCCAACAGAGGGAGCAGCUCAAAGAUCUAGCCAUGUCAAUGGUUUUGUGCUGGAGGAGCUAAUCUUUGUGGAUCUUGCUUCCCCUGAGAUACCUAAGCUAUCUUUAGAGUCGAGUCUCUCUGAAACAAAUGAUUGCAAUAAGAGCUUUCAGAGCUCAGCCUUCCUGUAAAGCAAGGAUCUCAGUCUUUUAGAGAAGGCUCUUAUCAUGUUGGCCCUAUGAUUUCUAAAGACACUGCAGUGUCGUAGAUUUACCUGAAAAGCAUCCAUCAUAAUUAAGCUUGAGGUAGAUUGCUGGCUACGCAAGCUGCUAUUCCAUUCAAAUACAACCAGGCUCACAGAAACCCUGUGGAACACCUUGAGAGAUUGCAGAACAAUGUGAUGAGAGGAGGAAAAAAAAGUCUACCCCACAGUAACCAUAGAUCUGCAUAUAUGCUAAAAAAUCCAAGCAUUUCUCUUUAAGUAGGUUGGAGAAAAAUAGCAUAAGAGCCACCUACCUUGCUCUUGGCAUUGCCUCCAAACCUUGGGAAAGCAAUAAUCGCCAAAUCAUCUGCAGUCCAAAGAGUACCCUAUCAAUCCCAACCAGUUGAAAUAAUCUGUCAGAGAAUCAAAACCACUAGACAGUGGAGAAAUAAAUGGUCAACCAACCAAUUUCUCUACAUACCUCUGCAUAUAAUUUACCAUUCCAAGUGCAGGGCUUUAGAAGGCUCCUCAAUUGGAUUGUCUUAUUAGUAUUGACGCUUUUGUUUCCACCAACCAUGAAGAAUCCUUAUCUUUAGGGCUUCCAAAUAAACUUGGCUCAAUGAGGAGAAUGUCGGUGUGAGUAUGAAUUGACGGUUAGGAAAAAGGAUUGAGAGGAGAGCGGUCUGCGCUUUCUCAUUUGUUAAGGAGGAUCACACAUAAACAUGGAGCAAGGAUGAGUUAAGAGUAGUAAUAUUGUCAAUUUCUUGAUUGGAUAAGUUACAUUGAAAGUAAAAUUUUCAAGAUGGAGGGGAAGAGUUUACACAACAAUAAAUGGGAGUAGUUCGAAAUCUCUAGAACUGAGACUAAGUAGAGGUUAGAAUAGAGAGUCAAAAGUGGUUGGUCACUCUGCCAUAAAUCUUCCUAUAAAGGAAUCUUAGAGUCAUCUCCAAUUAAUCUUCCUAUAAAGGAAUCUUAGAGCCAUCUCCAAUUGAGAAUUGAUUAUAUUGAGAAGAAACCUUGGGCAAUUUCUUUUCAGAGGUAAUGAUGCAAUUAUCUUUCAAAAAUGUUUGCUUCCCAACCAUUGGAUUAUAAACCAUAAAUGCUUCUAGUACGUUUUCUCGUGGAGUGUUGCUCUCCAUAUGAAGCCUCUACAACCAUUGGCCUAGGAAGGAUCCAUUCAUUAUAAAAUUUUUCACAAGCUUAAACCUCCUUCAUCUUGGAUUAACAAACUUACCUUCAUCCGAUUAGGUGCAGGAAUGACAACGGGACGGGUUCGGGACGGGUCGCCCUCAUCCCAACCCCGUCCCGUUUAUUCAAAACAAAUCUCAUCCCCGUCCCAAACCCGGGGCGGGGCGGGGUAUGUAAUCCCAUCCCCGUUUUGAAAUAAUAAUCAAAAUUCCAUCCCCGACCGUUUCGACCCGGGUUGCCCAAAAACAGGUGAAAACAAUGAGUUAUAGACUGCUGAAAUGAGGAAAAUAAAUUAGCAAAAAGACCACCUUGUUGCCACCAGAUUACAAAUCUGGACAAUCCCAAAUAUCACCAACAAAUUUCUCAUCUUUUGCCUAGAAAUUGACAAAAAAAACACCCCAAACCAAACAAAUCAACAUUCAAAUCUCUCAUCUUUUGCCCAGAAACUGACAAAAAAACACCCAAAACCAAAAAAUCAAAAUUCCAAAAAAAAAUACCUAAAACGAUUCCCAUGGAGAAAAUGGCAGUUUCGGGUGGAUUAUCUGAUGGAUUUCUGCAUUGAGUACUCCAACUGUCCAAAACACACCAUCUUUUAGCAUUUUGACAAACACUUGAGUUGUUGAUUGCAAAUUAGGGAUUGAGUUUUAGGGACGAGAACGAGGAUGGGAGGGAUUUGCGGAAGCCAUUUCUUCACAUUGGAAACUGGUACAGAAAGGGGUCGAGGCAAUCUAGUACGAUGAGGUCGUCUCAGGUGAUUCGGGACAGCUCCGUCUCCAUCAUCACUUGUGUUCUCAUCAACAACCCCAGGAACGAGAACCUUAAAACGAGAGAAAAAAAAACCUAAAACGGGAGAGGAAGACCAGAAAGGAUAGGAAGCAAAUAUUUAUAAGUGGGGGUAAACUUGUAAUUUCAUAUUCGGGGCGGGGUAGGGCAUAUUGUUACUAAACCCGAUCCCGCCCCGAACUUGAUUCGGGUUUUUUUUUUAAACCUGAACCCGUCCCAUCCCCAAUUUCUAUGCUCCCAUACCCGUUCUAAUCGGGGCAAGGCGGGGCGGGUGACCUGAAAAACCCGCGAAAUUGCCAUUCCUAAUUAGGUGAUCUAUUUUUCUCUUCUUUAAACUCGACAAUGAGAAACUUUUUUGUCUUCUUUUAAUUCUAGAAGUAAUAUUACCUUUGCAUUCUUUUUAUUCUUGAAGCAAUCUUAAAUUUAAAUUUGAAAACUGAGACAAUAAGAAGUGAUAUGAGACGAAUGAUGCUGGACAAGUGAGACAAGUGUGAUUCUAACCCCUAAAAAUAAAUACAUUUUCUUCUGACAAUCAAGUGGGAGAAAUCCUUUCCAUAACUGUGGUUAAAAACUGGGGUAUUUGGUCUUGAUUAACAUUAAUGUUUGAGAGAAUGCUCUGAUUAAGCUGAUUGAAAAUCUAGAAAUCUGCAACAAAAUCAAAGGAAUGAGUUGAAUAUUGUAUACAUCCUCUGGUCUAGCUUUAGAGAAAAAUAUAUAUCAUCCAAAAAUUGGAUAGUGUUACUUUGAGGGAUUCUAUACACCAAAGAGAACCCUUCAAAACAUCUCUUUUCUCAGCUUUAAUCAUAAUUAUGCUGGAUUCUAUACACCAAAGAGGACCCUUUAAAACAUCUCUUUUCUCAGCUUUAAUCAUAAUUAUGCUAAGUACAUCCACUAGUAGUGCGAAAAGAGAGUGGGUCACCUUGUUUGAGGUGGCUCAAAGCCUUUACCUAUCCUUUUGUAGGAAGAUAUUUACCAACACUUAAAACUAGGAGAAUAUAACAUCCUUGAAUCUAAAGCCUCCAUUUAGGAUAGAAAGCUUUCCUAAUCAUUGCAUGGUCCAAGUCUAAGAAACCGAAGUCAACAUGGUGUAAUCUUUCUUGAAAUCAAGUUGAAUAUCUUUGUGAAUUUCUUAUCCACCAAAAUGUAAACACCUCAACAAAGGUUCCUUCUAUGAGGAGGGAAUUAGUCUCUUGAAUAGUGGUGGAGCUUUUUUUUCUUUUCUUUUCUUUUCUUUUCUUAAUUUGAUUUUUUUGUACAUUUUAAUUGAAGGUAUUUAAAACAAACAUAAAAUAAAAAUUCAUGCAAACAAGUUUUACAAGCAUUGUUUCAAAAGAUUAUUGAGGCUUACACCUUGAGGCUCGCGUUAAGUUAGCCUUCAAGCCUCAAGGCAAGGUAACUAAGGCUUAAGCCUCACUUUAUUGAGGCUUACAACCUUAAGACUAUAGCCUCGAGGCUAUUGAGGCUCAAACCUAAAAUAUAGAAGGUUUUUAGCUUACUUAUAUAGAUUGAGAAUAUUAUUUAAUAACAUUGAUGAUGAGAUUAUUUAAAUAUGAAAAAUAUUAUAGACAACAAUUAUAGAUUUAUUAAAUAGAAGUAUUAUAGAUUAAUUUUAAGUUUUUGUAAUUCUAUUAGUUUAAUUUUUUGGACAUUGUGAUUGGAAAGGUGUCCCUAGCGGGCCAAAUUUCUAGCUCUACCUUUGCUUUUCAGGCAGCUUGAAGAUGUGUAGAUAUAAGUCUUGUAGAGGCUGUUGUAUACGUCCUAUGUACUUUGGUGUGCUUUUUUUGGCGCUUUUAAUGCAUUUUUUGUUUACCUAUCAAAAAAAAAAAAAAAAAAAGUCUUCUAGAGUCAGAUUGGUAGAUUAAUAUGUCUGAAAUUUUAAAUAUGAUUGAUGGAACCUUUUAAGUAUGAGAGCAUUGGUCACACCCCACUAUUAUAGAACUCAAAGUUUAAAAACCUUAGGAAAUCCAUCUGCAAGACAAUUUCUUGACUUUGUUCUGCUUGUUUAAUUUCAUUUAUGAGUUCUCUAAGUUACUAUUUCUAUCUCUAUUUAUUAAUCUUCAUGUUUUUAAAAGCUAUAUCCGUCUUUGUUUAUUACCUAAUAAAUUACUAUUCCAAUCUUCAUGUAUUUAAAAACAAGUGCUGGUAUUUUUGUAUCAGAACUUUCACAUUUUGCAAUGAUCCAUGUUUUGUGCUAUUAUGCUGGUGGUGUCAUUACUAUGCCUUGAUGUAGCUUUGACAAAUAUCUUUCUGAAAUAAUAGCUUGAGGUUGGUUUCAUUUCAGCAUUGGCCGUGUUAAUUCUGAGCUAUAUGCUUUAGGCUCUGGUACAUGGAAUUUGGAAAGCAUUAAUGUGGGGAAUCGUCAAACUCAAUUGAAUAUGCAAUCGUGGAUGCACGAUUAUGUCAAUGUACUUUGCAUCAAUUCUUGGCAGGUACUAAUUUAACUUGUCGAAUUAUUUUUGAAGAUUUAAAUUGUCUUGACACUGAAAUUGUAAUCAAGAUUGCAUAGCUUAAAAAAUUAUUGAUAAGGAUAAUAAACAAGUCAAGGUUGCCUUAACCUUCAUCUCUAGCUUGAUGAUAUAUUAGUAUUAAAAAUAAUAAUAAAACAUAACAUCAUGAAACCUCUAAACCAAAAAAUAAAUUUAAAGGUUAAGUGAAAAUAACAAAAAAAUGUAAAAAUUGAAUACAAACACACAUAAUUCAAGCAUAGAUGUGAGGAUUUCUGAAUUAACACCUAUAUGAAUGCAAAAGAAAUUAGUUUCUAUGUAAAUUUCCACUCAAUUGUGGAUAAUUUUUCCUUGUUCUUAUUUAUUAAUUAUGUUUGGUGUUUGAAUGUUCUAUUUUAAUUUGUUAUAGUUGUACCUUAUGACUUGCUAUAUCUUUGAGAGUUUUUGAGAAUACUAAUUAUUAUUAUUAUUAUUUUUUCCGUUACUCUUAAUUUCUCAAAGAUACUGUUUUAUCUAGUUAUUUUGUUGUGUUUUUAAUCUUUAUUGACAAUAAAUCUUAAAUUGCCUGGAAAGGAAUAUCUUACACUUUAUAUCUUCUACAAUUAGGAUGAUCAAAUGGUUUGAACCAUUGGCUUGUAUGUAAUCUCUUUAGACAUGGUUUUUCCUUCUUUUCUUUUUUCAAAUUUUUAUAAUUUAUUGUUAUAAUUUUUUAUAUAUAUAUAUAUAUAUUAAAAUUUUUUGAAAAAAGCCUGCUUUGUGGAAACAGGAAUCAAUUUAUUUGUCUGUAAUGUUGGUAAAAUGUAAAUAGAUGCACCUUUUAAAAUCGUCUGGAAUUUGCUUCCAUGGUUUAGUCAAUAUUGGUUCAUAAAUGCCUUCAUUUUUUCCCUUGCCUAGCUCAAGUGGCAAGGGGUUGAAAUGGGGAUAUAAGAGGUGCUGGGCUCAAUUUCCAAGAGAAAAAAAUGUUACCUAUAAAAAAAAGGUGUUACAACUUGAUUGGUUAGCGGUGUGUAAUUCCAAUGGGUUGGACUAACCUAGAGAUUUUGCUUGUUUUUACUUUGUAUUGUCUUGUAUUUGAUUCCUUGUAGUUUUGUUUUUCUUUGGUGGGAGGAUUCCUCAUCCUUCUCUUGUACUUCCUUUUUAUCAAUAUAUCUCUUUGUCGUUUCCUAUCAAAAAAUUUCCUCCGUCACCUGGGGUUGAUGUUCCAUAGUUCUUCCUUGUGUGUAUACAGGUUUGCUUCUAUCAUUUUGGUUCAUAUGAUCAAAUUUGGCUCAAUUAAGUUUGAUUUUCAGGCCAGGCUUGGCUGCUGGAACUUUAGAAUUGGUUUUGUUUUGUUUUGUUUAAACAGGGUUAUUCAUGCUGAUAUGUGAUUUAACAUUUGAAUUAAUAUUUAUUUUAUUAUUUAAUACAUUUCCUCUUUACAGAAUCAGGUCCUUAUUCCAAUGUCUCUAUUUAAGAUUUAGCCAAAUAAAGUAUAGCAAAAUAGUUAGCCAAAUAAAGUAUAGCAAAAUUGUUAUUAUUAUUAUUUUUAUUUUGUAAAUGCUUUAUAUCCUACCUCUCAUUUUUAUUUUAUUUUAUUAUGUUAUUCUGGAAAUAUUAGGUUGGGACUGCUAAGGAGUAGGGUAAGCACCUAUUUGGUUGAAUAUAAGAAAUGUUCUGUACUUUUUCUUGUGGAAUACUAUUUUCAGAAGUUAAUCUGUCUCAUGUGUUCAUGAAUGAAAAAAUCAUAGGCUUCACAAAAUGUUUUGUUUGGGUCUUAUUUUCUAAUAAAGUAGAAGGUUCCUAUAUGGGAUUAAUCUUCUUGAUAAAGGGUGAAGCCUUGUUUAGGGUUCAGUACUUUGAAGGGAUGUAGUUUUCAGAGUUAAAACUGAAAGGCACCUAUCUUAAGUCUAUUUUUAUGGUCUAGGAAUUCCUUAGGGACCUUGUCUUUCCUAGAUUGCACUGAUAGUUGGUGCUGGCCUAAGGCCUUGUUUGCUGUCUUUGAUGUUCCCAUAUCUUCUUUCCUUUGGCAUUGUCUGGUGUCCCUUGUCUACAUCAUGCAUUCCAUGGUUCACCUCUUUUGGUAUUUAUCAUAUGCUAUAUAUCUUCUCUUUGCUUACUUAUAUAUAGAAAAAGGUAGUCUCAAUUCUAAAGUGGCAUCUUUUGUUGUCAAAUUGAAAUAAAAAGGCUUUGGAAUAAUGAGAUUCCAUGUGUUUUCCAGAUUGUAAUAUAUCUCCCACUUAGUGAAUUUGUUGGUGCCUUCAUGUGCUAGAAAAGACAAACAAUCAAAUGUUCCCAAAGCCACUCACAGUUUGCAACUAUUGGACCUUACCCUACUAUAGACAUCCAUGUGAGUGUCCAGAUUUACAUGCAAAUUGGAUGGUCAUUUUUCUCAAGUAAGAAAUUUUACAUCUGAAACAAGACAUCAAAUGUUCAUGAAGCCAAUCAAGCAUGAAACUAUUGAAACUCACUUUGAUAUAGAUGUCCACAUGAUGCUAAGAUAUACAUGGAUUUUGGACCAACAUUUUUCUCAUCUUUAGACCGAAGCUUUAUGUGUGAUGGAGAAAAUGCAAUAAUAGACAAGUAAAUUUUUUUUUUUUUUGAUAACCGUGGAUGUCCGGGCCAGCUUAUGCGUACCUCGACUAAUCCCACGGGGCCUUGAAGUUAACGACCGGGUAAACCUCCAGUGGCCCUAAGGGGACUCGAACUGGUGACCAUUGGGGAGCAAAUCCAAGGCCGGACCAAUAGACAAGUAAAAAUUUUAAAAGCUAUUUUCUAAAGUUUCCCAAAAUAAAACUACUUUUUAAUUUAAUUUUAUUUUUUCUAUCAUUUUAUUUUCACUUCAAGCUUGCUUACUUGAAAUUUUAUUAGGGGUCAAUUUCAUUCAUUUCCCGUUUUGGCUAAAUACACUUGACCCCCAUUGGUUUGAAAUUUUAUCAAAUACCUCCCUAUUUUUGAUGAAAUUUCAAACCAAUGGGGGCUAAGCGUAUUUAGCCAAAACCUUGGGGGAGGUAAAUGAAAUUAACCUAUAUUAUGAUUAUUACUAUUGUUAUUGUUAUUGUUGGAAGGCAAGGAAUCGUUUGGCCUUCAAGGAUGAUAUGUUGUCAAUUCAAAGAUUGAAAUACUCUUUUAUUUUUUCUCUUUGGGCUGAAACAAAAUUGUUUAUAGUUGAUUGCCCUCUAACUAUAGCUAAUUUUAUUGAUUGGAUGGGCUCUAAUUAGGGUUGUAUGUUGGGGCUUUUUGUUUCUUUUAGCAUUCUCUUGAAGGAGGGUGUAUAGGUUUGUAUUUCUUGAGCCGCCUUCUUGGUGUCUCUUUUUUCUAAUAGAAUCUCUUUUACCUAUCAAAAAAAAAAAAAAAAAAAUUGUUAUUGUUGUUGUUGUUGUUGUUGUUUUACAAAUAUAAAAAAAUUAUCAUAUGUAACGCUUUCAAAAUAAUAAUAAUAUUAAUGUUAAUAUAUAUAAUAUAAUUUAAUAAUUUUAUAGAUCAUUGAUUUACUCCUAUAAUUAAAAAACAAUGUCAUUGUAUUUGUUAUUAUAUAGACUUGAAAUUUUUUAAUCAUAGUAUAAUUAUUAAAAAUAUUAUAAUAAAAAGGAAAAUUAGUCUUGAUAAUUGUUAGAAAGCAAAAUUAAGUCAUGUCGUAAUGCAUCGUACUUUCAGUCUGCUUGUAUUGUAAGUUUAAUGUAUAAGUGUUGUACCUACAUCUUGUGACAAUCCUCCUAAUAGCAUUAGAAGCUAGGUGACUUAUUCUACCAUAGGGGUGUCUAUAUUAAUACAUCAUACCCCUGAAUUAGCAUCGUAUCUUGGGUGCAUUCUUAUUGACUAUGAUAUUUAUCAUGGAACCCAUAUAUAAAUAUCUAUAUAUAUAUAUAAAGUGUCUUCUAAGGUUAAUUUGUAGUAUAGAUGGAAUGUUAAAGAGUAUACGAAGACCAUCCACAACUGUCCGUUUAAAAAAAUUUACAAAAAAAAAAUGAUAUUAGGUCAUGUCACAAUGAAUUAUUUAGCAUAUUUAUGUUGUAAGAUCAAUGCAUUUUUGUCGUACCUAUUCCUUGGCUUCUAUAUUAAUGCAAAAUAUUGGUGCAUUAGCAUUGUACACUUGGUGAAUUACUAUUAUGAAUGAUUUUUAUAAUAAAAACUUGUAAGCUUUAUGAAUGUAAAAACAAAAAAGAAAUUGUCUUCUAGGAUUGGUUUAUAGUAAAUGACAUCAUAAUAAUAAAACUAUGAAUAAUGAUAUUAAUAAAAUAUUAAUAAUAUGAAUAAUAUUUUCACAUGAUCAUAAUAAUAGAUAUAAUAUUAUUAAGAAUGAUAUUAGUUCUACUAAUAAUAUGAAUAAUAUAACACUAAUAUCAUAAGCAAUAAUAUUAAUAGCGAUAUUAAUGUUUAAUCAUAGCAAUAAUAAUAAUAAUACAAUUAGUGUUAAUAUAGCAUAUGUUGGACAACCGAUUUUCCUAAAAGCUUAAGCUUGCAGGAUUUGAGUUUACAAUGUAUAUCAUCCUCUUUAACACCUUCCCUCACAUGCGACCCCAUACCCACACAUGUAGAGACACAAUGGCCCGUAGACAAACAACCAUGAUUAGUCUCUCUUGGGCUUAAUUUAAGCUUAAUAAAUUGGGGAAAUAAAUAUUAUGCGGUGAGACUCAAACACAUGACCUUCCGUCAAAUGAGACUCUAAUAGCAAAUUAAAGUACCAAUUUUCCUAAAUUCUUAAACUUGUAGGAUUUGGGCCACAAUGGAUCUUUAACAGCAUAUAUAAAGCAUAAAAUGCAUAAAAGAUGUGAAGUUAAAUGGAAUAGGAGGAAAGAUAAACAAAGGGUAUAAUUGGAAUUACAAGAUGGUCAAAUUUUCAAAGUAUGACUUAUGGACUUAAAGAGAAUUUUAAACCUUGAGGAGACUUGUUACCUUUAGGUGAUCCUUUUGGAUAAUUCUCCCAAUUUUAUUCUAAGCACCUUCAUCACUACUUUUGUGGAUUUGGCCCUCUCUUUGUUUAAUGACCAAGGGAGAUUUGCACAAUGGUGUAAAACUUAUUCUUCAUGUAUAAUUCAUUUGGGAUUUUUAGGGUUCGCUGAAUGGUUUCACCUUUAUAUAUGAAAUUGAAAGUUGCUUUUUCUUCCUGUUGUGCAUCACUGAUGGGCAUAUGACCAAGACCUCCCCACCAGAUAUUUGUUGUAUUAUUUGGGUGAUAUCAUAAUGAGCAUUAUUAGAACAUGCUUAUCAUAUUGAUCAUUAGACUAUGCUUCAAUCAAGACUUGAACAAAGUGGUCUAAGGAAAAAAAAAGAAGGGUAGGGGGGGGGGGGGGGGGAGGAACCUUGAUGAACUCUUUGGAGGUUCUAACUCCACUAUACUUGCUACAUUGUAUAUUCUUUUUUUUUUUUUUUUUGAUAACCGUGGAUGUCUGAGCUAGCUUACGCGCACCUCGACUAAUCCCACGGGGCCCUGAAGUUAACGACCGGGUAAACCUCCAGUGGCCCUGAGGGGACUCAAACUAGUGACCAUUGGGGACCCCUCAGGGUUUCUACAUUGUAUAUUCAUUGUCUCAUAUUAAAUAAAAUGGUCAUAAUGCCCUCUAGUGUUUUAUAUUCUUACAAAAAACGAAUAUAUAGAUCCAUAGAAUGCGUAAGCAAGAAAAAGUACAAAAAAUGCAUUGACAUUUACCUUCUGCCAACAUUUUUAACAGAUGGUAAAUACUAUCAGGGCUUUUAACUAUAACUAUUUAUAGGCGGCAUAUUCUUCAUCUAGCAACUGUUUUUCCAUCGCCACUUUUUGGUGGCUCAUUGAUUUUACUUGUGCAGGUGAAAAGAUACAUUGAUGUCUAUUCAGCUUCAUCAAUUAUUGGAUUUUCUUCAGAAGACAUAAUGCGUAUAACAGACAUAUAUGCUCAGGCAGAGGAGAGUUGGUCCCAUACUAUUAAGAAUUUGUUAUUAGAUAAAAAUGAAAGCUGUAAUACAAUGUUACCCAUCAAGAGGCAAAUUGAUGCAUAUUCUGAUUUUCUAGCAAGUGUUGCUGAGCUAGCUCGCUCCAAAUGGACUGAGUUCGAUUUAAAGAUGAUGGGUGUUGGCCUUGGCAUAAUGUUAAUAACACUUGUUAUCCAAUUUCUUGGUAUCAAGAGGAUGAACAAAACAUGUGGAGUUAAUUUUCCUUCCCCAGGAGAUUCUUGGACUUCCUUUGGUUUGAUCUUUUCCAUUUUUAUAGUGAUGAUACGUGCAUGCAGUUUCCUUUCAAAUAGUUAUAUCUGUAAGUUUUGAACCUUUUUUCUUUCUUUUUUUCCUUUUAAUAGAAUUUCUUGACCUUUUGGAUUCUCUUCUUAUCUCUGACAUUUAAUGAUUCUUUUUAUGUUUUUUUCCCUGUUUUUCUUGAGAUCAGUGGAAGAAGGAAAAGUGGCAAGUUUUCUUUUGGCCACAACUGGCAUUCUCAAAUUCCGCAAUUCAAUCUUGAAAAAGAAGAUGCUAUUGGAAGUUGGUAUUUUAUCUUACAUUUCUUUAUCACCGUAAAUUGUUUUUAAUACAUCACUGGUGAUUUCUUACAACUUAUGAAUAUGCUUUUUCAUUUUUCCUUUUUAUGUUCUUAUCAUAUGACAAAAUUUAUGCUAUGUAUGUCCCAGUGAUGCUGACGACUUCUCCCAUGAAUUUGCAGGCUGUUGUAUUUCUUUUGUUAGUCUUCAUUUUCAGAUUAACUAUUGAACUUGGGCUAUCAAAGCAGGCUUUCAGUUCUGGGUUUACAAGCAUACCUCUUUGGAUGUAUAUAGCUGAGAUUGUGCCAAUGCUAGCUCUAGUUUUAUUGGCAUGCUUUCUGUACAAGAGCAUUGAUGACACUGCUUGUGUGGGGUUAUUGAAGUUUGUCAUCGCAGUAACCAUUUUAAGUUACUUGCUCAUAGCAGUGCAUUGGACCAUGGAAAGUAACCUAGUUGGCACACCUUUGAUGCUUCAAGGCACUGGAAAAGGUUUAAUUCCUCGGAUAAUUUAUGCUAUUGGAAUUGGACAACUAUUAAUCCUAGCACUUGGUAGGCUGUUUGGCAAAGAGAAAGCUUUGGAUUCCAAAAAAGGCUUGAUUCUUAAAGUAGUGGCCAUGUUGUCUGCAUGGAGUUCAACGGUCAUCAUCGUGUCGGGAAAACAAGGUCCACUGGUUGCUCUAGCAUCAAUAGUUGGAGGUGCUUUUCUUUGUUACAGCUUUGAUUUUUUACUCGACACUAAUUUACUUGAGCUAUAUUUUCAUUCUCUUUAAUUUUUUACAUUCACAUUCAUGUAUGCCAUUUUAAUAGCCUCAUAAACAUUUGUAUUUGGCUUCGUCUUUUUAAUAUUCAACUCAACAGAGCAUGUACCAACUAUUUCAGUUAGGAUUAUCAAAUUGCUGUUUUCACUGCCUGAAACCUUUUUUUGGCUGCCUUCAACUAGAAUUAAUUACUCCUUAUUGAGAACUUAUUGGUAUUUGUUGCAUAUGACUAGAUUGUCAACUUCUGAACUUGUCUUCAAUAAUUUCCACUACUGGCUUCUCACAAAUAUAUUCCAAGUUCUAUUCGAUCUUUUCUUGGAUUUAUACUCAUCCAUUUCAACAUCCUUAUUUUGGAUCAUGUCUUCAAAGUAGCCAACAUCUUGUGCUAUUAAGCUUUUCCCAACAAUAUCUACUAAAGAGUGUAAAUCUUUUUCUUGAAUUUGUGAGCACUUUUUCUUCUUCCUUUUUUUUUUUUUUUUUGUGUGUGUAUGUUUUUGGGAUAAAGAUUUGUAAUUACUUAUAUGUGUAAAAGUUUAUCUCAACAGGUUGGUGCAUAAUGAGGUUGGAGAACUUGGAACAUGAAUCUAGGGAUGGUUCAGUUGGAGUUCUAAAUUUGUCUCCUCUUCCUGUAACACAAUGGAGUCUUUUAGCUGUGAGUCUGUUUUUCUGCACUGGGCACUGGUAAGAUGCUUGUACUUUUAGUUUUUCAUGUCAUCUCGUUGAGCUAUUGGUUAUCAAUAACAAAGUUAAACUGUUGCUACAUCAUAUUAUGGUUUUAGGAGCUUGUUUAAUUGUGUGGCAACAAUCUGGUAUUGUUCGCAUAACAUAAGCAGUUCCUCUACAAUUUAAUUUUGUUCUCCUAAUGUAAGUUGUUAUUCACCAAUGAAAAGAACGAUAAAAAAAAGUACAAGCAGAUCUUGUUUAUUUAUUUGAUUUCUGUUUCAUGGCCAAUAACAACUUUCUUCUCCAGGUGUGCCUUUGAUGGCCUUCGAUAUGGAGCUGCAUUUAUUGGGUGAGUACAUCUGUGUGAAGAUGAACACUAGUGUUUUACUAUGAUUUAAUUAGGUCAUCAGCAGAGAAGGAAGUUUAACUAAAUCUUGGAAUUUUAUUGGACAAGUGGGACUAAAUAACCCAAUUUUCUCACUUAUGGUUGAGAUUUCAUUGAUAACCAUGGAGGAUGAAGUAAUUUCUUGUUAUUACUGUUAAUAGGGUAUUGUUAUUGUUAUUAUUAUUGAUGCUCUUCAUUUUCAGGUUCGACGAUUUCAUCCUUAUCCGACAAGCAAUCCUUCUUACUAUUGAUACAUUUGGAUUUUCUCUUCUUCUACCCAUUUUUGGGCUUCCCUUUCUUGUUGCACACCAAUAUCCAUCUGUUCAGAGUAACCAAAGAAAACCAUUCAUAUUUGCGCGGUUGUCUCAAGUAGGUUUAUUUCCUGGAUGUGUAUCCAUAAUAUUCCUUAAAUGAUUCUUCUCCAAUUCAAUUAAGUUGGGAGAUGCUAAAUGGCAAUGUGUCUUCUUCUGUGUUUCAGGCAUAUAUGAUUUAUGGACUUAUUACAGCAACUACAGUUACGUUCACAAUCAUAUGUGUCACAAUUCAAAGACGGCAUUUGAUGGUAAUAGAAACCCUUUGCCAUAUAUUUUCAUACCAUCAUACCAUUCUCUGAAUAUUAGGCAAGCAAAUGAGAAUUUUUAUUACUUAAUUUCCUUGCAGGUGUGGGGUUUAUUUGCUCCAAAAUUUGUUUUUGAUGUGGUGGGCCUGAUCCUUUCAGAUUUCAUAAUUGUUUUAGCAUCCCUUUACUAUGUUGGUUGAGUGGAGGAUGACAAGAUGAUGGACUACUCCUUAAACAUGAACAUCAGAGCCCAUCCCAGAAGGUUUUUUGUUUUCCUUUUUUUCUCCAGAAAAAAUUUUGUUGGAUGCUCAUUUGCAAAAUUAGAAGGCAGAAAAUCAUCAGUGACGUUUCAUGAAUUUUUUGGUCAAUAUCAUUGAGCUCGUGCUAUAAGUUACUUGGUGCUAAAAGUAACCAAUAUUCGAAGUGUUUUUAGUUUAAUGUUUUUGGGAAAAUCACCUAUGAAGUAUUUCUCCAAUAAAUAUUUCAAAUGAUUUUUCAAUUUUUUUUAAAGUCUAGUGUAUUGUAGUGCUGCAAAGGUUGUUUAAUCUGAGAAAAAGUAGCAAGAAUUAGGGCAUUCGUCUCAGAUUUAACCAUGGCCUUCCAAGUUGCAAGGUGCUCGUAGAUCAUCGGGAUGUAUGGUACCUGAAAUUUUUCCUUAAACGGGACCAGGCCUGCAGUGAAUUCUAAGGUCGAGAUGCCCAUUACUUCCCGCCUUGAGUUGUCAUAUGCUCUAAUGUCCAGCCCUAAGAUUGCAAAAGAUUUUUGCUGAUAUCCUAAGCAAGUGGUAAUUUUGAAUGGGCACACGUUCUGAAGGCCAAUCCAUUGUCAACUAAAACCAUUGACACUCUUUUCCUUGUAGUCAUCAUCGUAAUGUGUAAGGCUUUGUUAUGGUUCAUGCCUUCCUUUGACAGAUCCUUGCUCAUGAAAGUGAUGGUAUUUACCAUAAUCCAAAUUAUAGAGCUACGACACAAUUAAAUCCGAAUGAACAAAAUUUUGAAUUGAAUCAUACUCGUCUUUAUUGGGGGUUAUUAUUCACUUUUGUACUUGUUUUAUUUUCUAAUUAUUUUUUCAAUUAAGAAUUAAGAGAACAAAGAGACAACUAAAAUAAAUAAUAAUAGUUGGAAUUCUUUUAUCCCAUUUGAAAGGAUCUCAUUUCAUAAAUAUCUAUGACUGUUUGUCUCUAGCAUGACCAUUUGAUGAAAUGUGAAGGGAAGUGGGGGUAAAUGAUCGAUACUAUUGGAAAUAUUUCUCUUUGGCUAAUAGGUAUUAUAACUAGCAUUCAUUGUAUAAUAUUAGGGGGUGUUUGUUUUUUGUUAAAAGCAAUUUAUUUUUAGACUUUAGAUCGGUUGUUUUUCUAUUUUUUCAUAAUUUAUCAUAAACUUUUUAUUGAAUAAAAAAAUAUCAAAAUAUUUGAUUUUUUCUAAAUCAAAAAAGUAAUAUGUUGAUUUUUUUUUUAUAUAAUCUUUUAAUUCCUAAUAAAAAUAAAAUAUUAUAAAAACAAAUAAUGUAAUACUUAACACUAUUAAAUAUUAAAAUAAUAUUUAGAAUUAAAAAAAAAAACACCACCUUAGUACUUGUUUGAUGGUGAGGACAAUAAAAUGAAGGAGAUAGGUGGGCCACAGAAUUUUUCCUUGGGAGUUCCUUUCCUUGUCCUGCUGUGAUUCUUUCAAAUUUAUUAAGAUCAAUUUUAGUUAAUGUAGCCAAAGAGACAACCAUAACUAAUUUGUAAGUUGCAAAAACAUGCCAUGGAAUCCUCGUAAGGUGGGCUUAACUAACAUUACAUGAUAGAGCAAGACCUGAAUUUCGGAAAUCGAACUUGUCCACCACCUUACAUGGGAUUUGGAAUUCCCAAAUAUUAACAACUGAAAGUCAUUUAAUAGACUUUCAAAGAAACAAUCUUAUUCUCUCCGAUUUUACACCUCAUCUAUUCCCAUAUUUUAAAUUUUUUUAUUAACUCUCGAUAAGACCAUUGAAGACAACUUUGAAAUUAUUUUGAUAGAAUAAUAAUAUUCACUUCAUAUAAUACACUUCAUCAUUUCCAAGAUUUUUUAAGUCCACCAUCGGAUCAUGAAGUUCCAUGUUUCCAACCCUCAUUCUCACAGGAGGACGUGUAUGCUUUCUUAGUCGAUAAAUUCUACUCCCCCGUAUUUUUCUUAUAAAGGAGAGAGAGAGAGAGAGAGGAGGGAAGACCCUCUUUUCAAGAUGAGUUAAAAUAAAUAAAUAGAUGGAAUGUCGAAAAGACAUAUCAAAUUAUUUGAAUGUUUGAAAUCUAUCAUCUUUCUCAAUGUUAACCAAAUCAUACAAAAACAAGUAGAAAAUGAAGAAAAAUACAAGAUUGUUAACAUAAUUCGGCGAUCAAUGUGAUCUCUAUGUUCACAAAGUGCAUCAACGCUCAACAAUCCAUUAAUCAAAACAAAUGAGAAGAGUUACAACGGUGAAACUCUCGAAAAAAAACCUCUUAAUUGCGAUUACACUCUAAAAAAAACAAAACUCUAAAUAUAAAAGAGUUAAAUAUAUAAUAGGAAUAAACUUGUCGACCAUCACAUAAGAAAAAAAUUUAGAGACUUUGCCCCCUUCCACCCCCACGAGCUAUCCAGACAACUCAAUCUCGACAUUCUAAGUAAAGCACAACAAAACUGAUUAAGGUUUCACAAUCCAACACUCAACUUUUAUAAUCCAUACGUGAAUCACAAUUAUAUAAGUAGCUAAAUUUUUAUUUCAAAAUUACAAUAUUGUUUUCUUAUUUGAUGGUAUGUCCUAUUAAUAAAAACACAAAAGAGAUAUAGAAGACUUCUAUACAAAUAUUUAAAGAAUAAAAAUAUAAAGAAAGUUAAGUUAAUCUAAAAAGAAAUAAAGAAGGUAAUCAUAAUAUAAUAAAAUAAAAUAAGCAAGAAAAAAAAUCUAACCAUCUUCUAGUGUGCAACUUGUGCUAAAUAAAUUUGUUGAGGAGCAUCUCCUAUCGGAUUCAAAACAAAUUUCACCACCAGAUCUUUGUCUUGGAGGUGUUGCUUAGAACCAUCCAUUUUUGUUGUAAGCUUAUCUUUCAAACAAGGACUAAAUGAGUUUGAGGAUUUUUCUUAAUGAGAGGAAAUGAAAACUUAUGAAUUGGAAAGGCAUGAUUGAAAAGACAAUAUGGUGUUUAUUAUAAAUGGAAAUUAUUGUUUUAUAAGGACUUUUUUUUGGGUAGAAACGUUUUACUUACAAAAAUAGUUGUUAUGGGGAAUGAAUUGUUAUCAAUCGAAUCAAUGACGGAAACUCAAAAUUGCAAUAUGGUAAUAGAAGGGUUUUUGUUGGAGUAGCGUUAUAAGGUAAGUGUCAAUUGGAAAGUCAUCACCAAUUUAUGGGUUGAUGUCAAUUGAAAAGGUUUUUUUUGGGACUUUAGGGCAAUCAAAUUUUUUGAAGGGGUUUUUAAGUAUCAAAGGUUUCACAAAUUCUCGUAUUUUUAAUAUAGUAUAGAUUUUAAUUAUUCUCGUUUGUUUUCUAAGGAUUAUUUUGAAAAAAAAAAUACUUAUACAAAUAUAGAAAAUGAUUAAAAAAUAAAAUAUUACAAAUAAAAAUUAUUUUUAAAAAAUAUUUGAAGACAAAGAAAACAUAUUGAGAAUGUUUGAAGUUCUCUAAUAUUUUGUUUCAAAAAACAUUAGAGAAAUUAUUUUGGAAAACUAUUGUUAAAAAUGUUCUUAGGCUCUUGUUUCUCAAAAAUAAGUUUUCAAGUAUAAUUUUAUAUUUAACAAAUACAAAAAAAAAAAAAAAAAAAAAAAAAAAACACUAUUCUUAAGAACUUCAAUAAACUCUUAGGCUCUUAUUUUACAUCUUGAUUAUAACUUCAAUGAAUUCUUACAUAAUCCUUCAAGUAUUCACCAACUUGAAGCUCUCUAUUCACACAAUCUCACUUUAGAACAAUGAUGGAAACUCUUAAUCUAGCUCAAUAAAGACUCAAAUACAACUCAAAUUACUAGGAAGAAUGACGAGGGUGCACUUAAAAAGCAUGGAAGUGAGGAUUUAACGUACUAAGGUGAGAAUGAGAGCUCUUAAGAGAAGAACAGGUAGUUAGACAAUUAAACGAAAAUGUUCUCAUGCUCAUAAAUGAAAUGGAACUUCCAAUUUAUAGGUUUCUAGCAUUGGGAACCCAAAUACCAAAAAGUAGCCUCGAUCGAUCAAGCUGAGGGUCAACCGAUUAACUAGCUAUUGGAUAAUAAAUGCAUGACCAGUAACCGUUGGGCCUCAACCAAGCCUCAAUCAGACCUUGAUCAAGAGGACUCACCUCUUGACCGAUAAUGUAAUGCUAUUGGAAGAGAGAGAAGUUUUUUUGCAUCCAUCGACAGGAGAAGACAUAACCGAUCGGUCGAUACCCUAACCAGUUGAGUUGAUUGACUAGUCCCUUGAUUGGUUCACCUAUUUUGGCCCAAAAACUUAUAUUUUCUAUUCUUUUCACUUCUAACACUUAAACAAGGUUUUUAGAUCAAUAAAUAUGUCAAUUUUGAAACAAUUUGCUAAAGGUUUAUAUGAUAAACUCGAGUUUUAAUGAAAAUUUAACUUUAAUGUAUAAAUUGAAUUUUUAAAUAUGCAUAAAAAGAUAUAAAAAUCCUAAGUGUACCCAUGCAUUCAUCUGACAUGUGAUUCCUAAGGUUAAAAAAUAUUAUAUGUCUCAAUCUUGUAUCCAUUGGGUCAUUUAAUGAAUUUCUUGGAUAUCCUUUUGAAAUUUCAAAUUAAAACCUUAAAUUUUUUAUAAUUCAAACCAAUUAACAAUUUAAUUAUGGUUUGUUAUCAUCAAACUACGAUUAGAAGCACCAUUGGGAUAACAUAACUGUGUUAACAAACCGUUUUUUGGAAUUGUUUCCAAAAUACUUACUAAAUAGAGCCUACCUCAUUUUAAUAAAUAAAAUACUAAUUAUUAUAUAAUUAUUUUAAAGUUAAGAUCAUAAUAAUAUCAAAAGGGGAUCAAGUCUUUUGGAAUAUAAAUACAAUAUUAAAAAAAUAUUUAAUAUAUGAAUGAAGAAAGCAUAAUUUUUUUGAAAUAAAGGUACUAGUUUUGUGAAUGAGAUGAUAUAAAUAAAGGUACUGGUUUUGUAAAUAUUAAAUAAAAUUUUAUAAGUUUGAUAUAAUAUGGAUUUAAAUUAUUUUUUAUAUAUUUAAUUAAUUUAUUAUACAAAUGAUAUGUUAACAGGUGUUGUUUGGAUACAUUUCUUAUUUCCUAUUUUUAAAAAUAAAAAAUAAUAGUAAUUCUUAUAUAAAAUAUAAAAACUUUUUGAAAUUAAUUCUAAAAAUAAUGACUUUUAAAAAUUAUUUAAGAAAAUAGGUAUUAAAAUUUUUUUACUAUCUCAAAUUUUAAAAUAAUUCUUAACAAUAGAAGUUCAUAAAUUUUAUAUAAUUAUUUUUUUACUUUUAGAAACAAAAAGGAAAAAUAUAUUCAAAUAAGGAUAACCGAUUAAAAGGGACAAAAGAAACAUGAAAUUACAAAUUUAACCCCCUACUUUUUUUUUACCCAAAAAAUACCCAUUUUGGACAAGAGAAUACCCUCACUUUUUUCUUGAAAAAAUAUUAUUUUCUUUUAAAACAUAUGUAAAUAAUGAAAAUGUUGAAGGGUAUUUAUGCAAAAAAUAAUAACUAUUUUAAGUUCAAAAAUGGGAGAAACUAAUUUUACAAAUUUAAGCAUUUUUUUCUCCCUUUUAAUCAAUUAAUCCCUCAAAAACUAAUCACUUAAUAUUUAUCAAAUUUGUGAAACCUUAAACCUACUUAAACACCUCCAAACUUAUCAUGGAUUGAAAAUUAGAUUAUUUAUAAAAUUUGUGAUACCCAAAACCGACUUAAACCUAAUUGAAAUGAUUAUGGAUUGAAAAUCUUUAAAGGGUAGGGUCGGGUUGAAUUUGAAUGACAAUAUUUGAUCCAGAGGCUUUGGACCUGUUAGAAAUUAGCCCACUUACAGUCCAAUACUUCAAAAUUUGGGUGGGCCUAGGCUGAGCCCAUUAUCAUUCCACUGGCGCUAAACUUAACGUGUCCGCCCUUUUAGGGUUUGCUCCAUGUUCACAAAGAGCAUUCAAUCAUUUUUCUCCAAACGCCGCGUUUCGAUCGAUCUCUGAGUUAAGGUACUGAUCCAAUCUCUAUUCCCAGUUAAUCAAUCUACAAUCGUUUGGAUGCUGAGAAAAUUCUUCUAGGUUAGAUGUAAUCCGUUGGAUACUGAGAAGAUAAUGAGACAAAUGAAAAAAAAAAAAAUGAAAUGUAAAUUUAUAUAUUUUUUUAAAAUUUUUUUUCUUUUAGGUUUUUGGCAGCAAAGAAAGUGAGGGAGAUAGCAUAGGAAUCAAAACUUGUUUUUCUUCAUUUUCUUGGUAACCAAGCAGCGUGUUGAAUUUCACUCUGAACGCUUUAUAACUUGGAAAAGCUAUUGCUGGGAGUUCUGAAAUUUAGGGUUUCUCUUUUUACAGACGUGGAACUAUUGCAAUUUCGGAUUACAGCUAAUACCGAUUUUUUUUUUUUUUUUGUUAGAUUUACGGUCUUUGCUGUUUGGGAAUGUUCAGAGAAAAUAUGAUAAAAGCAAUUAAAAUUUUGAGUAGUAAAGUUUUCCCCACCUAGGAUUCGGGAAUACAGAAAAAUGUCAUUUUUCUUAAAAAAAUGCACACUGAAUGUUUGCUUAGUUGACCUGGGUUUAUUUAUUUUAAUUAUUAUUAUGUAUAACAUUUUCUAGGAAGCAAAAGAUAAGAGAUAACAUAAAAAAGAAAAUAUUGUUUUUUCUUUGUUGCCCUAUUUUCUUGGAACCAAACAUGGAGCUAGGGUUUCUCUUUGAAUGCUUUUAAGUUGUACAAUGCUAUUGUUGGAAGUUUUGAAUUCUAGGUUUCAUUUUGGACAACAACUCAAGCUAGCAUUUUGGAAACACUAUCUUGUGCGCUUGUACAUACAAAAAAAUUUGGGUUAAAUUAACACUAAUUUUACCAUGGAAACAUAAAUGUUACCGAAUCUAAGAUUCUAAAUGGAAGCCUCUAAAAAAAGGAAGAGCAACAUAGAAAGGAAAAACUCUUGUCUUAAAAAAAGAAAAUGCAAAGUAGGUAUAAAAGGGAAAUAAGUAACAUAAAAUAUCUUUUUGUACCAUUAUGCAUGGUAUAGAAAGAUAGAAGUAUUGAUAUAGAUAAAGAUUUUUGUAUUGGAAGAACAAUAAUGUGGAAUUGGAAUUCCCUGCUGUGGGAUGGAGCUGUAUGCAAAAUAUGAAAAUUGGACUUCUUUGUAACCUAAACCUAGAUAGUCUUUAUGGCCUGGUGAAACUUAAAACAUGAAAGAAACUACAUUAUCUUCUGCUGGUUUAUGUUGCUCGAUUAUGCGUUUUCAUAACAUGUUAUGAGACUGUGGUUAUUAGAAUUGUCCACCAACUGGUAUUUUUGAGAGUUUGCUUGCUUGUGUUGAUUCAUCAUAUACUGUAGGAAACUACAUAGUUCAAAAUUUAAUCUCUGUUUUUUUCUUUUGAACAGGGAAGUGUUAAUUUGGUGUCUUCUCCUUAUUAAAGGAGUUUAGAAAUCAUGGCAGAUGAGGAGCCAAAACCCCUCACAUACAUACCUGAGGUGAUUUUGAAGAAAAGAAAGAGCAAUGAAGAGUGGGCGAUCAAGAGGAGACAACAAUUGGAGGAGAGGAAUUUGAGAAGCAAACAAAAUAAGGCUUUCAAUUUGAAAACGGCUGAGCAAUACAUCCAAGAGUACCGAAAUAGGGUAACUAUAUUUACAUAAAUACAAUGAAGUUAGUGCUAUUGGUCCUGUACAUUCUUCUAGAAAUCAAAACAGUAUCUUGGUGCUUCAAAUAUGAACCACAAGGCAGAAUUAUUUCUAGGUCCAUUUUAUCAGUAGCUUGAAACUAUCUUAAUUUACCCUGUUGGUCAGGGCGAACGCUGGGGACUUUGGUCUCGGUAAGAGGCACAUGGUCCUGGGUUUGAAUCCUGCCAUUGAUGAUACGUUGAAUUACCCGGUGCUGAUUGUGGAGGGCAUGGUUAGCACCCUAAGGUUUGGGUCCCCAUGGAGAGUCCUAAGGGCUUGACCAUGGAAGGUUCCUCUGUUAUUAAAAAAAAAAAAAAAAAAAAUAGGAACUAUCUUAUGAAUUUGCCAUCCAAAAUUUUAUUGUAUUUGGAAAUCAGCAAGGCUCAGUUGCAAACAGGGAUAGGCACAUAUCAUGAAAAUCAGCAACUGUCUCUCAUUUAUUUUGCUACUUAAAUAUUAUGAUACAUUUUAAUCUCUUAAAUCAUAUACCCUAAGUUAGGUGUUAUCAUGGUGGCCAUAUUUUUAUGUCCAGUAGUUUCAUUAAGAAGUCAAAUGGACUAAUAUGGCCGUCAACUUGUAAAAUGUGUUGUGUAUUCUUUCAUCUUUUUCUGUAUUUGGUAUCAUAUAUAUAUAUAUAUAUAUAUAUAUAUAUAUAUAUAUAUGUAUGCAUUAACACAGAUAGGGAAAUACACUUUCAAUAUAUUAUCAUUUGCUUGUCUAUAAAAGAUGGUCCCUCGACCAUAGUUGAUUUUGUUGGUUGGGUGGCAACCCGUUAAGGGUGUGGGUAGGGCUGCUCCUCUGCCCUUGGCGUUUUGCUAGGGUGUGAGGGGUGUUUUCUUCCUUGUAACUUAAGCCACUACUUUGGUGGUUUUUUUAAUACAAUCUCUUUACUUGUCAAAAAAAUAUAUUAUCAUUUGGUUGUCCAAAAAAUGCAACAUCAUGCUUGUGUUAACAUAAAAAAUAUAAAAUUUCAAUGUUUAGAUCAUUCAUAAAAGGCAUAAUAUAUAUAUACUAUUAUUAUGCCAAAAUUUCUAAGGAGGAGGUUUCACCACAAUAUGAAAGCUAAUAAAAGUCACUUUCAAUGGCCAAACUAUCAUUAUUCAAAUCCCUUUAAACUUGUAUCUAAUAGGCUCUCUUUCACUUGUAGAGACAUGAAACAAAAUGCAAUCAAAUUCUGAGCUUUGUAAAGUGGUAGAAAUUUCAGUUCUUAUGAGGGAAAAUGGACCUAGAAAUCUCAAUCUCAAGAAAGAAAGUGUAAACAAAUGUUAGAAGGUGUUCUUUUUGCCCUAUGAGAUGUUUAGAAAAGUUGAAUGAAACAUAUUUUGUUUCUUGAUCAAACAAUACAACUAAAAAAGCAACUGUUAUUAGUGUGAUUAUUAUUAUUUUUUUUUUUAAGUUUUAGGUCAUCUGUUCAGUUGAUCCAAAAUUGUUUAUCAUAUCUGUAUUGUCCAAUAAAGUUAAUUGCUGCAUGUAUUACAUGGUACAUGUACAAAUAGUAUUAUUUUGAUAACUGCAAUAAAAAUGUGAACAAAAAGGUUGAAUUUUCUUCUAAUAAUUUCCCUAUAUAUGUGGAGGAUGAGGAUGGAGACCUAGAUAACGCUUCAGAACUUAUUAUGAGAUGGUCCAACCUCAGGCCUUCAUGAUCAGAUGCCUUGCUCUGAUCAAAAAAAAAAAAAAUGAUCAGAUGCCUUGCACGGUGGAUUAUCACAAUAUAUGAUAGAGCUUCUAUUCCUGUCUAGGUUUUAUGUCACUCUGCUGAGUUCAAUGUGUUCCAUUAAAUCAUAUGAUAUAUCAUAUUUUGUAUACUCUGUGUGUACUCUAUUGUGCCAUUUUCCAACUGCUUUUAAUAUAUCCUCCUAAUUUACCUAUCAAAAAAAUAUAUAUCUUAUUUGUUGUUUUGCAUCCAGGAAUUAGACCUGAUCCAAAUGAAGCAUAGGGGAAAAAAGCGAAAACUAUCAUUGGAAACAUUAGACUCCAAACUGCUUUUUGUCAUUCGCAUACAGGGGUUGGUUACUAAUAUUGUGAUUUUGAGGGUUUCCUCUAUAUUUUUUGUUAUUGCCUCUUCAGAUUUUGAUCUUCCCAAAUUAUUUUCAGCAAAAAUGAUAUGCAUCCAAAGACUAGGAAGAUCUUAUACUUUUUGAGAUUGAGGAAAAUCUUUGAUGGUGUUUUGGUGAAGGCCAAUGAAGGAAUUCUGGAAAUGCUGCAAAAGGUGGAGCCAUACGUUGCAUAUGGGUAGGAGAAACAAGUCCUUAUUGUUACUGUUGUUAUUAUCAUAUGUUUCAUAUGUGCUGUGUCAUUAGUUUCCUGUGACUUUUGUUUGCAUUCCUUCUCAUUUACGAUAGUAGCAGCUACACAGAUACACUAGAUGCUAGCAAGAUUUGCAUGUCCUGGGGGCACUCUCACCAUUUGUUCAUGGUCUACAGUCUGAAGUUUUUCUAGGAAAGCCUGCUAACUAACUGUGUCUGAAUAUCUUUGAUGGAAUGGAUUCAUUUGUGUAAGUUCUGCAGCUUGAUUUGUUUCCUAGUAUAUGGGUUAAAGUGUUUGUUCUCGUUCCAUCUUUGCUGAUGGAGCAUGUAACAACCCUGGGCAAUCAUCAGGGACAACCAACCAACACAACUUGAUUGAGAGCAACCUUCUACUGACAAACUAUACCAAAUUGGUGGAAACAAGAUAAAUAUCCCUUGGUAAGGUAUUACUGAAAGCCGAUUCUCCCCUUUACAUCAUCAUUAACUCCUUUUUAUAGGCCUUAAAAUACCAAACCAAAUAAGCCUGAACCUACUCCUAGUACAGCCUACAAAAAUUCUUAUAAUGGUAAUGCCCUACAGUUCUGCUUCUGCUAAAUGGUCCAAAACAAAACAAACAAGUGGGUCCAUCCUCCACCCUUUUCUUCCUUCUUCCCUGUGGAACUCCUGUGACGCUAAUAUAGUCUCCAUUUAUGAUGUUGGCAACACGGGAGACACCAAAAAUAAGCUUCCCUCAAGGCCACAAUGAAGAAAGGUAUAUGGUGUAAAAAAAUGAUCUCCUGUAUUUCUCAAUUCAUUCUGAUUUAUAAUAUAUAAAUAAAAGAAGAGUUGACAAGAUUCCUUGAAUUAAUGGGGUGGGCUGGUUUUGUUCUCUAUUUUUUUUGGGUAACCUUGGAUUAUUGGGUUGGUGGCUGGUGGUCGCUGUAUACUUUUUGUAUGCCUUGGGCUGCUAUUUUGACAACCCUUUUUAAGCUACCUAUCACAAAAGGAUCCCUUAAAUUAAGCAAUCUGAUUGCUAGGGUCUUAUAUGGAAUUUAUCCAGAUUCUAGGUACAGAAAUCAUUUUUACUAAAAAAGGGAAUAUAUAUAUGAGAGGAAAAAUAAUUGCUGAUUUCUUAGGCUAAUCUUCUAACAGUAUAGUUGACUAAUUUCUUAUUGCUCUUACUCAGAACAACACCAGGUAGCUAGAGGUCAUCCUCUUAUCUUUUAUUGAGCCAUCAUAAAAUUUUUUAUCUUUGACUCCUGCCCAAGCAAAAAAUUCACUUUUGGGGGAGACCUCAAGCUCUAUACUUCUUUGACUAGGAAAGGAACCCCUGUAAAACCUUUUCCAAAGAGCUAAAGAAAGAUUUUACAGAGAACUUCCCAUCCUUAGGGCCCCCUUAGCAUCAACCAAUCCUGACAUCUCAUAGUCACUUCCAUCACUUGAAUUUGUUGAAGAAACGGUUGCACACACUCGACCUUGUAAUCAUAACAAAUUUCUUAAGAAACAAGGGUGGUUCUAGUAUCUAACUCCAUUCACCUCCUCAGAGACAUUGGGAAAUCAGAUAUUAUUAGACUUUGGAAUGGAGAAUAAAAAUGGAAAAGAGUCCCUUCAUUCUUCUACCAAUAACCCCCACAAUGUUGGUCCUAGCUUGAAAUUCUAUCCAUCUAUUUUUUAUUGCUUUCCAUGAAGAACCUACACCAUAUCCUUCCCUCUUUUUCACAAGAACACCUCCUUUCUGCGUCCUCACCAAAUUUACCUAGAAUAAUCCAUCUUCAAAACCUAUUGUAUCUAUUAAUCCAACUCCAUUACCUAGAAGGGUCUUCUAGAGCAAAGAAAGAUCUUUAUUGCCCAAACUACCCUUCUAUUGUCCAACCAUACGGUCAAUCAAUUAAGUGAUGUUUCUUCUCUAAAGAACCACCUCCCACGUGAGGUACUUUGAAUCUUCUUGAAUCUUAGUUGUGUCAACCUUGGUGCGUCCCUUUUAGGCGCUGUUAAUAUAUAUUCUUAUUUGCCUACAAAAAAAACCCUUGGAAUGACAAAUGGAAACAUGUAGAUAGGCAAGCUAGACAAUGAGCUCUACAAAAGGGUUAUUUUGCCAUCUUUACAAAAGCUAAUGUCUCCAAGAAACUGACCUUUUAAGGAACCUCUCCUCCACAACAUCCUGCAUGCAGAAGAUUUGAAAGGAGCAUUCGAUUAGGACCUAGAUAGGUGGAAGGCAACUUUCUUAACCUACAACCUAACAAAAAUGCUUGCUCCUUAACACUGGGAACCUCACUAACAAGGAUUGUUUCAUUUUUCUCUAAGUUAUUGCUUAAGCCUGAGAUUGCUUCAACCAAAAAACACUUCACAUCAAAUACAUCUGCUUACAAAAUGGGAGGGUAUCAUCAACAAAGAGUAAAUGGGAAAUCUCCAACCCCUCUUACUCAUCCCACACCUUAAACUUCAUGAAGCCUCCUUCCCCUGCCCUAGCAACAAAGCAGUGAUGAACCUCUAUGACCAGAACAAAUAGAUAUGUAGAAAGGCAAUGCCUCUGUGUCUAGCAUCUUGAGCUCUGGAAAAUCAAAAGGAGACACGUUCACCUUGAUGGAGAACCUCAUAGUGAGAUCCCUAUGAUAUGCAGACUCUUUGCGUUCACCCAACAUUCAUGUGGAGACAUGAUACUAUAUUGGUACUGCUGUAUUGAGUAUGGUGGUGGGAUGCUAGUCAGAAAUGCUUAUUUAACAUGGGAUUGCUCUUCAAUUGCUCUCUCUUUAUGUAUAUGAAUUCUGAUCUUUGUGUGUGUGUUAUGUAUGUGCUGAUUUUUGUGAAAUUAUAUACAUGUAAGAGAUGAGAAAAAUGGAAUUUUGCAUAUCAGUUUCUAGUUAUUUCUUUUAGGAUAAAAGGAGAUCUAGUUUAUUGGAAGUUAGUUUUUAUGACCAUAUUUAGGGAUUUGAGGGGCAAAUUUGAGUUUACAUAUGGUCAAAUUAAUUUCAUAUAACCUUUACCAAUUUAAAAUUUUCAAAAAAGUAAUUAUGCUAGAAGGCUAGUCAAAUUGAUGAUAAAAUUAUAAAAUUUAACUCCUUAAGUUGUAUUAGAUGAUGUAAAAUUUAAAAAUAAAUUAUUUUAAAUUUAAACAAGAAAAUAAAAUAAAUCAAAAUCAUUUGUUAUUUGUGAUGUUACUUGUGCACAAACAUACCACAACCUCUAACAAGUAGAAAUGCAAUUACAAAUCUGCUUUAAUUAGCACUAGCACAUUAAUUGUAUUUGAAGUUAUGCAAGUAUGAUUUGAAAUUUAAAUAUAGCAAUACAUAACUUCAACUACCACUAGAAAUAAUUGAUAUUUAGUGUAUCUAAGUGCCCGUGUGUCAUUGAGAUCAUUUUUAGCCAAGUCUCUCUAUCUUAAAAUUUUGAAACGGUGAGGAUUUCCUAUCCAUACGUGACAUUUGCACCUAAAUUCCUGCAACAUAGAUUGAGAUAUGCAACCAUAUCCACCAAACCCGCUUUUGACCAAACACCUAUACAAUACUUGGGAAAAAAAAGGAAAUUUCAAUUUACAUGAUUAUAAGCUUUUUCAAUGUCCAAUGGCCAACGUCCAACUUACUGGAUUAACUGUGAAAAUGUGGUACUUCACUGUUCAAGUGGGUUUUUGAUGGGUUUAAUGCUCAUGGGGUUUGAUGGGUUUUUGCUCAUUUUCUGAAGAUAUCCUAAUUUCAAGAAUGUGAGAUCAAGUAUUUUGUCUAGUCAUGACAACAACAACAAUAAUAAGAACAACUACUAGUGCUACAUUGAUUGAUGAAUAAUAGUAAUUAUAACUGCAAGGACUACUAUUAAUUGAUGGUUCUCAUUGAAAUUUUGUUCAUUCUGUGAAGAUAUCCUAAUCUCAAGAAUGUGAGGGAGCUGAUUUACAAGAAGGGUUUUGCAAAGAUAGAAGGGCAGAAAGUUCCUCUGACAGACAAUAACAUUAUUGAACAGGUAUGAGAUAUUUUGCUGAAUUCUUUGACCUUGUUGGGCGGGGUUCUUGAGUCCUCAGCUUUAUUCUUUCUUGUUUGGCAGGCGCUGGGGAAGCAUGGCAUUAUGUGCAUAGAAGAUAUUGUACACGAAAUUGCCAAUGUUGGUCCACAUUUUAAGGAGGUUAAUAGUUUCUUGUGGCCCUUUACACUUAACAAGCCGGAAGGUGGUUUUCAGGGGAAGAAAAAGCUAUUCAAGGAAGGAGGAGACGCGGGUAAUCGUGGGGAUAAAAUCAAUGAACUAAUCGGUAAAAUGAAUUAGAAUUAAGAGGAAGGUCUAGAUAUAAGAAAUUUUUUUUCUGAAUGUGGGUUAUUUAUAGAACAUUGACACCUCAAAUAACCUGCAUUGGCGUGUAACUUAGUUUGACAAUAUCAUUUAAGGUUUGUUUUCUAAAUUUGGCUUUUGUGGUUCUUAGAGUGAUGAUGUAGCUGUAAAUCUCCCAAGUGAAUUGCUGCUUGGAGAAUUAUAAUCGGGUCAAUUUUCAUGUUUUCUGGCCUGAAAAUUUCCGGCUUUUGCAGCACUGGGCUUUCAUUAUUUGUUGUUUGAAUUUGGUUCUCACAUGACUAAAGAUCUUAAAGAGGCAAUGGAGAUGGUUCCUUCCAAUGACUUACAUUGAGAGUUUGUGGUAGGCUGGUCGGUUUGAUCAUUGCUGGGCUUUGCGCCUCGUUCUAAAUAAGACAGACAUAGGGGUGGUCAUGAUUGUUCUUUUAGAGGGGCAAACACAAUCUUAAAUCUUAAAUGACUAAGGCAAAAAUUUUAUCACCUAUUUUACAAUAUUUUCAAAAAUAAAAUUUAAUUGAUUUUGGGAAUAAAAUUUUGUUUAAAAAUUCAAAUAUAAAAAUAGUUUUAUUGGGCCCAAAACAUUAUGUGAUGGUACACAUUUAUUGUUGGAGUCGAUUGUCAUUGUGCAUAUCCAAGUAAGAAAAUGUAUGAAACCUACAAAAAUAAAGAAGAUCAACAUUAAACUGUCAUAUCUUCAACUAUAUAUUACUUUUAUCAAUAUUUUCCUGCAGUAAUGCUUUCAGAUACAUAUUUUUCAAGCAUAUUUCUCCUGCUAUGGUCCCCUCUAGCAUUUUCAAAUUAUAGGCUUUUGUUUAUUUGUUCUAGUUCUCAUUCAACUCUUUAUUUAUUUAAUUUAUUUAAUAAUUUUUGAGAAGUUUUAAGGUUUUCAAUGAUCUCUUUUAACUCUUAAACUCUUACUUUGAGGGAAGGGAAAUUCUCUAUUUUAAUUAAUAUUAUUUAUAAUUUUUUAAAACUAUUUUAAACUUCUUGGGAUUUAUAUGUAUACUUUAUGAUAUCAUUUUUAGUGGAAUAGGAAGAUGUUAUAUUCAAUCAAAAAGAUAUCUUAGGACAUUAUAUUUAAUGAGAUAUGUUAUAUCAUAUUUAUAUUUGAUUUAUAAAAAAAUAAAAUAUGGGACGAAAAAUAUAUUAUAUUUCAAUGUUUAAUAUUUGUUUAUAAAAAUUAUAUUAUGAUAUUUAUAUAUCUAUUUAUUAUUAAAAAGUAUGAAAACUUUCUCAUAUUUAGUUUUAUUUAAAAAUCCUAUAUAAUUUAUAAUUAGUAAGUAAUUUUUUUAUUUAUUUGUUAAUAGUAUGCAUGAUUAAAAUAUUUAAAAUUUACAAAUAAAAAAUUAUUUUAUGUUAUUACACAUAAAAAUAAUUUGUUUAUAUUAAAUAUUUUAUAAACAUGUUUUCUUAGUUCUUUUUAGUUACAAAAUCUUUUUUUUUUUUUAAAUAAUUUUUAUUGUUUUACAAUAUAAGUUGAAAAAAAUUGAAACAAAUCGAUAGAAGUAAAUUUACUAUGAGAUACGUGUAUCCCAUAUCUCAACUUGAGAUUAUCAUUUCUCAUGUAUAAAAGAUGUAAAAUAAGUGGAAUAAUAUAUCCUAUUAUUAAUGGGAUAAAAUAAGUUAUGAAAUAACUUAUCAUUUCUUGUUGUUAACUAAAUAUAGAAUAGAUUGAGUAGAUGCAUUUAACGAUCAUCUAUUAAUUUUGACUUUGAUGUGAUUAUGUGAACAAUAUUAGUAAUAUUAAAUUAAAAAAAAGGUUUUUUUGUUGACUCUCAAUAUAUACAAACCCCAUGUCUAUAACUUUUGUAAAAUCUAAUAAGCUUUUCUUUUAAAGAAUUUAAAGAAAAAUUAUGAAAAUUUUCCUACUUCAUUUAUUUUUAAGAAUAUUGAAGUCAUUUUUUUUUUCAAAUUAGAGAAUAUUUUUUAGAGUAAACGUUAUUCAUUGAUUUGGUAAUUUUUUUCCCAAGGUUGAAACUAGAGUUCACAAUUGCACCUAAUUCAACAUAAAAAAAAUAAAAAAUAAAUAAAAGGACUCAUUUAUGCGCAUCCUCGUGCUUUUAACUUUGGUAGUGAGCAUUUAUAAUUUAAAUAAUUUUAUAACUAAAGUGGCCUCAUGAGUAACUGACCAAAUAUCCUAAACCUUUUCGGCAUAUUUAUAUAUAGCUAUCUUACAAAAUUUAUCUAGGUAUGACCAAUUAAAGAUACUAUAGAGCUUAAGCAUUAGCUUCAUUACCUUCAUUACCAACUUUAUUUCAUUCUUAUUUAGGCUUCAAUUUGCAAAUGGAUCUACCACUUCCAUCCAAUUUUAAAGGAGGUUCCAUCCACAGCUUACAAAAUUCCAAAUUUGUAUUUCCUUGUAUCUCUUCAAAAGAAUUUGGUAUGAUUUUUUCAAAGGGGAUAAUUAUUCCUAUAAAAAAUAUAGAAAAUUAUUUGAUGGAACACCCCACUUUUUCUGAUUCCAUGAGUUAAGAUCUUUGUAAGAAUAACUUAAAUUUUUCUUGGUCUAAUACCAAUUAAAAGUUUGUGAUCUUGUAUCACAAAACUACCUAGAGGGGGUGAGGGGUUCAUAGGUAUAAUUUUUUUUUUCCCAAAAAUCAAAAUUUUGAUAUUUAUAUGUUCUCAAAUCAAAUUUUUGAUUUUUACAUUUUUUUAUUAUAAUAUAUCAAAUUAGUAAAGAAAACGAACAACCAAUGGACAUGCAAAAUUAGUGUGAAAAAACCAUUCACAAAUUCUCCCAAAAGCUUUAUAAAUAUAAAAACCAAAAGGUUAACAAAUCAUGAAGAUAAUUCACUAAUUUUUAAGGAACAAGUACAUAUAAUUAUUUGGUAGACGCUAGUUUCCUUGAUAGUUACGUUAACAUAAACUACACUUAUCCUCACAUUCACGAUCGAUAAUUUGAUAGGAUGUGAUCCAAUGCUAUGAACUCAAUGAACAAAGAUAUUAAUGGAGAGCAUUGAGUUAAGUGUAGAACCAUUAGGAAUAUCUAUAAUUGAGAAAUCCUACUUAGUUUAGGCUUAUUUCAAAAAUCAUAAUAGACCUAAUUUGGUUGAGGAAACUCAACAAAAUGGGGAAAGUUGCAAUCUUGGCAAAAUUAGGAUGGAGGACACUUCAUCCUCCUAAAAUUUCCUUUUUUCAUUCUCAAUUUUCCCUUUAAUCCACUUAAUGUCUUUAAAGUUUGUUAAGUGCCACAUAACUCAACAAUACUAACUCAAUACUAUUUACAUUUUUAAUCUAAAAAGUAUUUUUGAAAAAAAUAUAAGGUGUUUGACAAAAUUUAGAAGAGAUUUUUAAAAACUUGAAAAAUCAUAUGUAUAUUAUGUUUUCUAAAAAAAACAUUUUAUAGGUAAUUUUCUUAAAAAAACUUUCAUUAAAAACACUUCGGAUCAAAACACUAUCAAAUACAUUCUUAUUUGUGUUAUCCCAAAAUAAAUUUACAAUAAUUUUGAGUUUAAACUAUUUUAAACUUCUUGGGAUUUAUAUGUAUACUUUAUGAUAUCAUUUUUAGUGGAAUACGAUAUCCUUAGAUAUUAUAUUCAAUAAAAAAAGAUAUCUUAGAACGUUAUAUCUAAUAAAGUAUGUUAUAUCAUAUUUAUAUUUGAUUUAUAAAAAUAAUUAAAUAUGGGACGAAAAAUAUAUUAUAUUUCAAUGUUUAAUAUUUGUUUACAAUAAAAUUUAUAUUAUGAUAUUUAUAUUUAUUAUUAAAAGGUAUGAAAACUUUCUUAUAUUUAGUUUUAUUUAAAAAUCCUAUAUAAUUUAUAAUUAGGAAGUAAUUUUUUAUUUAUUUGUUAAUAGUAUGCAUGAUUAAAAUAUUUAAAAUUUACAAAUAAAAAAAUUAUUUUAUGUUGUUACACAUAAAAAUAAUUUUUUUAUAUUAAAUAUUUUAUAAAUAUGUUUUCUUAAUUCUUUUUAGUUACAAAAUCAUUUUUUUAAAUAAUUUUUAUUGUUUUACAAAAUAAGUUGAAAAAAAUUGAAACAAAUCGAUAGAAAUAAAUUUACGAUGAGAUAUGUGUAUCCCAUAUCUUAACUUGAGAUUACCAUUUUUCAUGUAUAAAAGAUAUAAACUAAGUGGAAUAAUAUAUCCCGUCAUUAAUGAGAUAAAAUAAAUUAUAAAAUAACUUAUCAUAUCUCGUUAUUAACUAAAUAUAGAAUAAAAGAUUUUAUAUAGAGAUUGAGUAGAUGCAUUUACGAUCAUCUAUUAAUUUUGACUUUGAUGUGACUAUGUGAGCAAUAUUAGUAAUAUUAAAUUAAAAAAUAAGGUUUUUUGUUGACUCGCAAUAUAUACAAACCCCAUAUCUUUAACUUUUGUAAAAUCUAAUAAGCUUUUCUUUUAAAGAAUUUAAAGAAAAAAAUUUUCCUACUUAAUUUAUUUUUAAGAACAUUGAAGUAUUUUUUUUUCAAAUUAGAGAAUACUUUUUUAGAAUAAAUGUUAUUCAUUGAUUUGGUAAUUUUUUUCCUAAGGUUGAAAGUAAGUUCACAAUUGCACUUAAUUGAACAUAAAAAUAAAAAAUAAAUAAAAAGACUCAUUUAUGUGCAUCCUCGUGCUUUUAACUUUGGUAGUGAGCAUUUAUAAUUUAAAUAACUUUAUAACUAAAGUGGCCUCAUGAGUAACUGACAAAAUAUCCUAAACCUUUUCGGCAUAUUUGUAUUUUCUUGUAUUUUCAAGAAGAAUUUCAUAUGACUUUUCAAAGGGGAUAAUUAUUCCUAUCAAAAUAUAGAAAAUUAUUUGAUGGAAGACCCCACUCUUUCAGAUUCCAUGAGUUAAGAUCUUUGUAAGAACAACUUAAAAUUUUCUCGGUCCAAUACUGAUUAAAAGUUUAUGAUCUUGUAUCACAAAACUACCUAGAGGGGGUUAGGGGUUCAUAGGUAUAAUUUUUUUUUCCCAAAAAUCAAAAUUUUAAUAUUUAUAUGUUCUUGAAUCAAAAUUUUAAUUUUUAUAUUUUUUAUUAGAAUAUAUCAAAUUAGUAAAGAAAAAGAACAACCAAUUACAUAAUAGACAUGCAAAAUUAGUGUGAAAAAACCAUUCACAAAGUCUCCCAAAAGCUUUAUAAAUAUAAAAACUACAAGGUUAACAAAUCAUGAAGAUAAUUCACUAAUUUUGAAGGAACAAGUACAUAUAAUUAUUUGGUAGACGCUAGUUUCCUUGAUAGUUACAUUAGGAUAAACUACACUUAUCCUCACAUUCACGAUGUAGCACCGAUAAUUUGAUAGGAUGUGAUCCAAUGCUAUGAACUCAAUGAACAAAGAUAUUAAUGGAGAGCAAUGAGUAAAGUGUAUAUUAAGUGUAGAACCAUUAGGAAUAUCUAUAGUUGAGAAAUCCUACUUAGUAUAGGCUUAUUUCAAAAAUCAUAGUAGACUUAAUUUGGUUGAGGAAACUCAACAAAAUGGGGAAAGUUGCAAUCUUGGCAAAAUUAGGAUGGAGGACACUUAAUCCUCCUAAAAUUUCCUUUUUUCAUUCUCAAUUUUCUCUUUAAUCCACUUUAUGUAUUUUAAAGUUUGUUAAGCGUUCACAUAACUCAACAAUACUAACUCAACGAUAUUUGCAUUUUUUAUCUAAUAUAUAUAUAUAUAUUUGACAAAAUUUAGAAGACAUUUUAAAAAACUUGAAAAAUCACUUGUGUAUUGUGUUUUCUAAAAAAAUAUUUUAUAGGUGAUUUUACACUUUAAGAGAAAACACUUCCAUUAAAACACACUUCGAAUAAAAAUACUGUCAAACAUAUUCUUAUUUAUGUUAUCCCAAGAUAAAUUUAGAAUAAUUUUAAGUUUUUGGGGGAAAUAUGAAGAAACACAUAGACCCACAAAUUAGGAUAAAAUAAAACAAAAUUGUAACUUAACUAAAUCACUUAAGAAUGCUAAAUUUUUUAAGAUCAUAAUACUUAAUUUUUUUGAAUAUCAUAUAUAUUAGUUGAACUUCAUAAUUUUUUUUUAAAUUACUUUAUUUUUUUUAUUUUUUAUUUUUUAUUUUGUAUUUUAUACAUACAUACAUACAUAUAUAUAUAUAUAUAUAUAUAUAUAUUAAUGAUAUAAGAUAAAAACAAAUAUAAUAAUUAUCUUUUUAUCAAGGCAAACACAUGUGGUUACUAAUUUUUAUUUGAUUUUAGCAUACAAAAAAUAGACUUAAUACUUAGUCAAUUUUAAAUAUUAAUAAAAACAAACAUAUUAUUCCGAUUUAUACAUUCAUGGUUAUCUAGAUUAAUAUCUAUUCAAAUUUGGGACAAAAAACAAUAAACACCAUUUAGUGAUAUCAAAAAAUACAUUUUAAACGGUCUAAAUCGUGAAAAAUCCCCUUUACAUAUUUUGGUUUUAGUUAGGCGGUUGCUUGUCCCUCAAUUCACAACCUAAAUCAGUCCAAAUAAUAAUAAUAUGGGUUAAAUAUAUUUUACUCCCCCAAUCUUUGACAUAUUUUAUAUUUUACCCUUUCAUGUUCAAAACUCAACGAUUUGUUCCCCAAAUUUCUUAAAAUGCAACGCCUUGCUCCUUUAAACUUAUUAAAGAGUCAAGAAAUAAUUUGUCAAGUAAAGAAAUGAUAUUGAAAUAUAAAGAAAAGCAUUUAUUAAUCAAGUUGGAAGGUACCACACUUCGCAAUUGUAUGCGAAAAUAACGAAUAGUUAUACAAAUAUCUCUUUAAAAUAAAAAUUCAAAACUGAUAGUUACUAUAUUUUGAAACCAUUCAAAAUUUUUUUACUUUUAAGGCUAUUCAUUCAAAAUUAAUUUUAUCUAAUUUCAUACCUAAUAUUCAAACCAAAGUAUAAAAAAGAUCAAUCUUAUUUAUAAUUUCAUAAAAAAUUUGUAACUAAGGGCAAAGUGUUGAUAUUUAAUAAGUUCAGAGGGAAAAAAUCGGAUUUUGAAUGUGGAUGGACAAAGUGUAAAACACUUCCAAGAUGGAAGGGUAAAGUAUAUUUAACUCAAAUAAUAUAUAUAAAUGUCAUUUAAUGUUGAAAUGAUUUUUUUUAUUUAUUUAUUAAGCUAUGUGGUUUAUUAAUCAAUUUUCAACUAAAUUCAUGCACCCUCAUAAAAUCAGUCCAAGUAAUUUUAAUGCAAUUAAUUUUGGACAACAAAAUGGUAGUUGUAUCAUAAUUUCAUUAUCAGAUAUGAUAUAGCAGGGAAGUAAUGGUAAAGAAAAUAAUGCUUCCAUCAUCCAUCAUCCAUCAUCCAAUACAUGUACAUCACACACAGGCUCUCUUCUUACUUCUUUAGAUUUUCGAGCAAUAAUAGUAAAUAAAAGAAAAGGGGAAUAUUCUCUGAUUCCCAGAGAACAGAGGAUUUAGGGUGACUUCUAAUUUGGAUUUCAAAUUGUUUAGUUGAAAUUUCCUAUCAACUGGGUAGAUAUUUCUAUGUGCUGUGCUGGCCGUUUCUCACCCCAAAACUAUGGUCUCUGCUUUGCUACAAGACAACCCCACUCCAAUUUCUCCCCAAUCACCACCAUCUUCCUUGUAACCAUCGGCCACCAAUCUCCUCCCGAACUCAAUCUUUUCCGAUUACCACCUUUUCUUUCCCCUCAGAUUUCUUUCUGGUUACCAAUCUUCGUCAGUAGCGUAUUCACUGCCGCUCGAUCACACCCAAUUCUCCAUAUCUGGCGGUGAUCUGCAUCGGUUUGUCUUCACUUUUCCACUGGGUUGCAUUCUACUCCAGAAAAUUCUCCACCCAGUCACAAACGAUUCCUCGGUUUCUCCAAUGAUUGCCACCAGUUCUUUCUGACCUCCCGCUUGGGUCGCACUCCAUUUUUGAAAAACCGUCCGUCACUAGUGUGAUUUUGCUUGACAUGGAGGGGCAGAAGAACCAAGUUGUUGAUGAAGCAAGAAGCAUAUUGUUUAAGAAAUACGAGAUGGGAAGGCUUCUUGGGCAGGGCACCUUCGCAAAGGUGUACCACGCGAAGAGGCUUGGGAGUGGGGACAGCGUUGCCAUCAAGGUGAUCAACAAGGACCACGUGAAGAAACAGGGCAUGAUGGAGCAGAUCCAGCGCGAAAUCUCUGUUAUGCGCCUUGUUCGCCACCCCAAUGUGGUGGAAUUGAAGGAAGUGAUGGCCACAAAGACCAAAAUCUUCUUCGCCAUGGAGUUCGUAAAGGGUGGUGAAUUGUUCGCAAAAGUGACCAAGGGAAGGCUCAAAGAGGAUUCGGCUAGAAAAUACUUCCAGCAGCUUGUCAGCGCCAUCGAUUUUUGCCACAGCAGAGGCGUUUCCCACCGCGAUCUCAAACCCGAAAACUUGCUCCUCGAUGAAAACGAGAACUUGAAAGUCUCCGAUUUUGGGCUGUCGUCGUUGCCGGAGCAGCUCAGAAAUGAUGGAUUGCUGCACACACAGUGUGGGACGCCAGCAUACGUGGCGCCGGAGGUGUUGAGGAAGCGAGGCUACGACGGAGCCAAGGCCGAUACAUGGUCUUGUGGGGUUAUUCUCUAUGUUCUGCUUUGCGGCUUUCUUCCAUUUCGAGCAGAGAAUGUUAUGAAGAUGUACACCAAGGUUUUCAAGGCAGAGUUCGAGUUUCCUCCAUGGGUUUCGACCCAAGCAAAGCGGCUGAUAUCGAAGCUCCUCGUUGCUGAUCCCGAGAAACGAAUCACCAUUUCUGCGAUCAUGGAGGAUCCUUGGUUUCAGAAAGGUUUCAGGAAGCCUAUUGCCUUUUCAAUUGAAGAACAAGAGAACAACGAGGAGUGGCAAGGGUGUAGAGGGGAGGUGGAAAUGGUGAGAACAAAGUCCUCACCACCUUUCUACAACGCCUUCGAGUUCAUCUCCUCAAUGUCAUCGGGCUUCGACUUGUCCAGCUUGUUCCUGAGCAAGAGGAAGUCGGGCUCCAUGUUCACCUCCAAGUGCUCCGCCUCAACCAUCAUGGCCAAGCUCGAAUCACUGGCUAAGACGCUCAAUUUCAGAGUGGUGAACGUGAAGGAGUUCAAGGUGAAAAUGCAGGGGCUAGUGGAUGGGCGGAAGGGGAAGUUGUCGGUAACGGCCGAGGUGUUCGAGGUGGCGCCGGCAGUGGCCUUGGUCCAAUUCUCCAAGUCCGCCGGUGACACCCUGGAGUACACCAAGUUUUGUGAGGAGGAGGCCAGGCCUGCUCUCAAAGACAUUGUUUGGAGUUGGCAAGGUGAAAAUGAGUGCAGUGAUCAUCAGAGGCCCAUGGUCCAUGAAAAUGGAGGCGAAAUCUGCGCAUAGACAGCCCCCAAAUGUCUGGAAUUGCUUUAAUUUCCUGAGAUUUUGUGUUAUAGCCAACCUUAUAGAAUUUUCUUUUUUUACAAAAUCAGUAUCAUAUGAUCUCUACACCGAAGGGGUCUCAUCAGCAGUAGUUGUAGAAAUGGAUAAUUCCCUUUAUCCUUAACCUUUUUUGACUUACUUUUUGUACAAAGUAGGAGUGGAUGGCGUGGGUUUGUGACAAGUGAGCAUUGUAAGAAUGUUGUUGUAACUAAAAGUAAAUGAUAAUUUGUUCUCUGUUUGUAUUUUUGGCGAGUCUAUGACAUGUGAGGAAUGGUAGUUAUCUCUCUUAUUCGUUAGUUGUCGUGUCUUAUCCUUAAAUGGAGUUGGGGGGACUUUUGGUGGAGUUGAGGCCCCAGGGGCGGCAGUGGGUGCAGCCACACGUGGCUCCAUUGGAACCCCCACCACGCAUUUGUCAACAUAAUGCGUGGACAGAGAAAAAGGACAUGCAAAUGCUUCAUCAUGAAGACUAGGUGCAGAGCAGCUGCCUACUUCAUUUGACAAUGGGCAAUUGGAUAACUCAAAUACAAAUCAAACCGACCCUAGAAAAGAGGAGAUUGAAAUUCAAGCCUUUACAAUGAUUGAUGCAGAAAUCCAUAUGAAUGGUGUCCACAGCCUGAAACAGCUUCAGCUCCUUCUUGUGUGGCCUGUAUUAUACUAGACCUUUCACCCCAAGCUUCAUUGAAGUUAGAGACGAGACUUGGAGAGAUAGGCAGGUGGCACAGACACCUUUUAUGUCACUUUUUGUCAUGUGAGUUUCCCUCACAACAGCACAUAAAUUCAAUUUGUAGAUCACAUCACUCGAAUCUUCCUAACAUGCCCUUCCUAUUAACAUAUGAUCUUAAAAUUGAAAGCUACUAAAAUCAUUGUUUUUGCAGCAGACGCCAAAUCUGUAUUUAAAUAAAAUAAAAUCUAACAAUAAAAUAAAGAAUUUGAUAGUAUUUAAUUCUACAUUAUCCAAGGCUUUGUUUGGCCUGACUAUUUCGUUUUCUAUGGAAAAGUUCAGAUAAAGAAAAUUAAAUUAUUAAUUGGUUAUUUAGAUGUACUUUUUGUAUUUUUCUUUAAAUACAUUAUUUUUAAAAAUUAAGGUGAUAAAAUUUUUAUUACCUUAAAUUUUAAAAAUUCUGAUUUUUUUUUUUUUUGAAAAUAUAAGGUUAUGUUUGGUUUUUGAAAAAAUUGGAGGAAAAUGUGAGAGAAAUAAGAUAGAGAUGAAAAGUGGAAGAAAAGAAAAAAUAGAGAAAAAAAAAAGAUUCAAAAUUAAUAAAUUAUUUUUAUAUACUUGUUCAGGAUCAUUGGUUGAUAAUUUUUAUUGUAUGACUCCAUUAUCAUUGCUAAGUAAUAAAAAUAAUCAUAUCUCACUUAAAAGUAAGGAAUCUGGUACUAAUCAAACACAUAUUUGACACUUGUGCCUAGAUCAUAUUAAUCUAAAUAUAAUCCAAAGACCAAUUAAGUAUGAAAUAUUACACUCUUUAAUUUUAGAGGAUCUUUCACUAAGAGAAAGAAUCCUAUAUAGAAGAUAAAAUGACUAGGGAUGAUAAUAAGGUAGGUUUUUUCGAGGAUCCACCUUGCCCCGUCCCUAAUGGGACAAGUUUGAAAUUAAAAUAAAUGGGUUAGGGACGAGUUUGUAAUUUUUUAAAAACUCGGGAUGGGUUCAAGGUGGGUUUGGAUAUUACUUUGUUCCAUCUUGAUUAUAUAUAAAAUUAAUUUUAAUUUUCCUAUUUAUAAUAAUAAUAAUAAUAAUAAUAAUAAUAAUAAUAAUAAUAAUAAUAAUAAUAUAAUAAUAAUAAUAAUAAUAAUAAUAAUACUUUUCAAUAAAAUAAUUUAUAAAUAUGAUAACAUUUUAAUUAUUUAUUAAGUAUAUUUAUUUUAAUGUAAUUAAAAGAAUUUUAAAUAUAUUUUUUUUAAAUUUUCUAAAAAGGUUAAACGAGGUAAGACAAGGCAAGUAUGGAAAAUUUCCCAUACCCAUCUUGUCCCAUUUAAUUUUUUUUAAGGGUUUAAUACAUUUUACCCUCUCAACCUAUCAUAUGUUUUAUAUUUUGCCUAUUCACAUUCAAAAUCCAACAACUUACCCUCCGAACUUCUUAAAGACCAACAUUGUACAACACUUGGACCUUGCUUUGAAGAGAUAUUAGGGCUUCGGGGAAUUAGGGCUUUGGAAGAAAAAGAACGAAGAUGAAAGAGAUUUUAGGGUUUUGGUUGUUUAAAAUGACAAUUUUACCACUCACUUAUUAAAUGGCAUGUACAAUACCUGAUAUUUCUGUUUAAUGAAUGUAAAGUUGUCCAAAAAAAAAUGGUGCAGUGUUUGUCUUUAGGAAGUUUGGAGGGUAAGUUAUUGAAUUUUGAAUAUGAAAGGGCAAAUGUAAAACAUGCAAUAUGUUGAGGGGGUAAAGUGUAUUAAACCAUUUUUUUAAUUAAAUGGGGAUUGUAAUUAUUUUGAAUAAAUUUGUAACCAAUCCCAUUAUCAUCCUUAAAAAUGACUAAGAGACCUUUUACUAAUAAAGGAUAUAGAGCUAAUGAAUGUUUAGAGUUUGUGUAGACAUUUUAAUGAGUAUGAGUACUUCAUCACCUUUAUAAAUUGUUACUCUAGGUUUGGAUAUUAGCAUUUAGCAUUUCAAAGCCUUGUGACUAAUUUUCCAUGAUGGUACCCUAUGCUCUAUAGGAGAGUACAUAACCCUUAGAUGGUUAGUAGUUGUGCCAUGAAACAUCAAUCACUUGUUAACUAUCAUAAACAUUAUAAACCGUUCCAUUAUUCACUCUUGAAAUUUUGGAAUCAUGGGCUAUUCUUAGAGUUUAACUAAACUUAUGGUUAAUGACAUUUGGGUACGACCUAUUUAAAGGAUUAUGAGGUAAUAAAAGAUAAUUAAAUUACUAGUGAAGGUUUAUUUAACUUUCAUUUAUUUGUUGACCUAAUUUCAUAUAAAGAAGUAAUAGAGAAUUAAAGGUGGUUUAAAGUAAUGAGUAAAGAAAUUCAAUCAAUAGAGAAAAGCAAUACAUUAGAGCUAACUACUCAAUUAGGUGGAAAAAAGUCUAUUAGUAUUAAAUUGAUUUAUAAGACAAAAUAUAUACCUAGUAGUAAAGUUCAACGAUUUAAGGUAAGAUUAGUAGUAAAAGACUAUAAGCAAAUGCUAGGUAUUGAAUAUUUUGAAGUUUUUGUACUAAUUGCUAGAUGAUAUAUUAAUCACAUGAUAAUUGCACGUGCAUCUCAAAAGAAAUGAAAAUUUCACCAAAUGGAUGUGAAGUAAACUUUUGGGUCGUUUACACACCUUUAGAAAGAAGUAAUGGAAUCUAUUUCCUUUCAACUACUCUAUCUAAUUGAUCAUUUGGUCUAAUGGUAUGCUUAUAGAAGAAGCUUUAUUGAACAACCACCAUGAUAUGUUAAGGAAGAAAGAGAAGCAAGUUUACAAACUCAAAAGACCAUUAUAUAGAUUGAAGUAAUUAAGCACCACAUGUUUAGUGCACAUAGAUUGAGACUUAUUUAUUGUAGCAUAGUUUACAAAAGUAUCCUUUUAAGCAACCAUUUUACAAUUCAAUCAAAUUAUAAUAAUGAUAUGCUUAUUAUAUGCUUUUAUGUGGAUGAUUUAAUUUUUACAAAAAAUUAUCUGCAAAAAUUUUAAGAAGGCGCUGAUACAAUAAUUUGAGAUGAUAAAUAUAAAAUUAAUACCCUAUUUUCUUGGCAUUAAGGUCCAAUAAAUAAAUAAGGAUGAUAUUUUCAUCUUGCAAUUAAAUAAGUAUGCCAUAGAUAUUCGAAAAUGAUUUAAGAUGGAAUCAUUAGCAACAAUUUGCAUGCCUAGUGUAGAGAAAUUAGAUAUGAAAAGGGGGAGGAUUGGAAAAUAAGUAAAUUAUACAUAUUUUCUAGGGUAUGAUAGGAAGUCUUCACCAUUUGACCUACUAGGGUGGAUAUUGUUUAUGGAGUGAGAAUUAUUAGUUAGUUAUGGAAAAAUCAUAUCAAUCAUAUUUGUAACUUUGAGUUAUGUGAACAUUAUUUAUGAUUAUGGAAAUUUCUACUCCUAUUUAAGCAACUUCAAUUAAGUUCUUUACACAAAUAGUCAUUAAGUAGGUUAUGUAGAAACUAGAAAGAGUAAUGCUAGGUAUGCUUUUUCUUGAAUGAAAGCAUUCUCUUGGUUUUCAAAGAAACAAGUUAACUACUAUCAACGAUUGAAACUACAUAUAUGACAUGAUUUUCACAUGUCAAGCAAUUUAGCUUCACUAAAUGGUUAGUGAGUUGAAGCAUAAAUUAAGAGAUCCUACAAAAAUUUUGUUUGAUAAUAAGACUCCUAUUGCAUGACAAAAAAAAUAUGAUAUUUCAAAGUGGAAAUAAAUAUAUAAGCAUUAAGCUUCAUUACAUUGGGGAACUCAUGAAAAUUUAUGAAAUUGAGCUUGAGUUUUGUAGAUCAAAAGAUCAAAUUACAGAUAUUUUUAUAAAGUCAUUAAAUGCGGAUGUGUUCCAGAAGUUGAAGAUAACGCUUAGAGUGAUUGACUUUAAAGCUUGGCAUAGUGGCAAUUAUUAAGAAUAUUAAUCGGAUUUAAAUCCAUAUUAUAUGAAUUUAAAAAAUAUUAUAAAUGGUUAUUUAUUUUGGUUUCUUAUGUUAUUUAUAAGUUACCAUUAAAUUAUGAAUUAAACUUAGAAUUCAAAUAUAAUUAAUUUAUUAUAAAUAUACGUUUAUUAUUUUGUUUAUUAAUGAAUUGACUAAGAUAAAAUAAUUUUUUUAGUAAAUAUUACUGUGUGUGAUUCCAACCUCCUCUUGUACACAAAAGUUUAAUCCAUCAUCCUUGGAUUGUUACAUUUUUGUAGAUAGCUAUUCAGUUCAUGACCUCAAUGUUUGCAAGCGAGACUAGUUUGUAACAUUAGGUUAUAUGAAGUCGGUAAGUUGAUUGGUUAAGAGAAGAGGUAUUUCUUAAAAUUUAAAAUUUAUUAUUUAAUGAUUUAAGUUAACUUCAAAUUCAAAUAAUUUUAAAUUAUUUAUGUGAAAUAAAUUAUUUUAUUUUCAUUUUAAAUAUUAAGGUUUUUAAAUAAAAUUAAUAUAGAAAAUUUUCUAAUUUUCUAUACAUAUUUGAGAUUUAAAAUAAAUUAAUUAUUUUGAUUUAAUAUUUAUUUGAUAUUUAAUUUUAAAUUAUAAAAUAUUAAAUUAUUUUAAUAAAUAUAUUUAAUCCAUUUAAUAAUUUAAAUUAAGUUAUUAAGGCUGAUUUAUGAAACAUCUUCCACGUUAAUAAAUUGAUUUAUAAAACAACGGCCAUAAAAAUAAUCUAUGGGCACUAAAAACAAGGUAUCCAUUGUCCAAUGGGCAUAAAACCAAUGGGCAAUCAAUAACCCCCAAUGGCCCCAUGUCAACUGGUUUAACAAGUGGACAAAUGUGUUACUAUCCUAAUAAUUAAGCGUUAGCUUCCAAUAAAAUUUUGAUAUAUUAAAAUAAUUUUUUUUUAUAAUUAAAAUUAAAAUGGUAAUUGAAUAUGAUAAGUAAAGAACAUUAUAAUUAUUUAAAUAUUACUAUAAAAACAAAGUAAUAUUAUUAAUUAUAUAAUUAAAUUAUUGUGCAAGGAAUUUAUUGAUAAUUUCUCUGAGUUACUUUUUUCAUUCUAAGAAUUCAUUAUGAAUUCAUCCUGACAUAAAGAAAAAGGUUUAAAAUUAAAGAACAAAAAAGAAAAAAAAUGGUAUUACAUUAGUAUAAAAUAUAAAAACUCUUAUACAAUUAAUAGAUUAUAAGAGGUCUAAUAAAUAUAUUUUUAAAAUGAUAGUGAUUUUUAAAAAUUAACAAAAAAAAUAAAAAUAAAAAUAUUAUCUUAAAUUUUAAAAUUUUGUUGAAUAACAAAUUUUAAUUUAUAUAAGAUCAAUGAGAGUUUGAUAAUAAAUUUAAUGACUUAAAGUAACUUAAUAGUUUAAUUUAGGUCAUUAAGUAAAUUAAGUAUGUUUAUUAAAAUAACUUAGUGGUACAAGUUAAAGUAAAAAAUAAUUUUAAGUAAUAAGUAAAAACAAUUAACUCAUUUUUAAGUCCACAUUUUUAUUUUAUUUUAUUUUAUUUAUCUUUAUUUGUCUUACUUAUCUUAUUGAUUUUUUUUGCUACUCCAUGAUUUUCAUUAUUACUUGAUCUCCUUUGGCCUUGAUUAUAAUUUGUGAGGAUAAAUAUGUUAAUUUAAUGAUUUAGAACAAAUUUUAAGUUAAUUUUAUCAAACAACUUUGAUACUUAAAGCAAUAAUUAAGUAAUAAGUUUUAAAUUAAUAACUUAAAUAUAAUUUAAAUUAAAGUCAAAUUAAGUCAUUUAGUAUUAAGUAUUAAGUUUGUUAGCUCAAGGGUUCUCCUAAUCGGGUUUUGAUGAUAACAAACUAUGGUUAAGUGACUAAUUGGUUUAAAUGUUUAAGAACCUCAGGUAUAAACUCGAAAAAUCAUCAAAGGACCAAAUGGAUAAAAGAUCGAGACGCUUGAAAGACUUGUGAUCAUAGGAUACUAAUGUAAGAUGAAUGCAUGAGUGCACUUAGGAUUUUCAUAUGUUUCAUGCAUCUUAGAAAACUCGGUUUAUUCUUUAAAAUGUCAAUUUCAUUAAAUCCCGAGUUUUUAACUAAUUUACCUUAGGCAAAAUGUUUCAAAAUUGGCUUAAUAAUUUUCCUAAAGACCUUGCCUAAGUGUUAGAAAAGAAAGGAAUAAAAAAAUAGGUUUUUCGGGGCCAAAAAGGGUCAAUCGGUCGAGGCUAUGGCCAACCGGUCAACUGGUUGAGGAACCGGUCGAUCGGUUGAGGUCGUCCGGUCGAGGACCAGUCGAGGGAGGUAAAAAAUAUUCUCUCUCUCCCAAUAGCCUUCUCUUCCUGGUCGAGGUGAUUCCCUUACCGGUCGAGGUCCGGUUGAGGCAACGGUAACCUGUUAUGCAUUAAAUGCUCCAACGACUAGUGAACCGGUCGACCCCUAGCUCGACCGGACGAGGUUGCCUUUUGCUGUUUUUGACUCCCGAGCUUAGAAACCUAUAAAUUGAGAGCUCCACUUCAUUUACUUAUAAGAGAACACUUGCAUUCAAAGCCUACCUACCUGUUCUUGAUAAAAAAACUCUCAUUUCUUUCAUUGUGCAUUAAAUCACCGCUUGCAUAUCCUUUAGUGCACUCUUGUUUGUCAUCCUAGCUUUGUCUUGUAUUUGAGCCAUCUCUAAGCUAGGUUGAGUGAUUAUAUCUUGUAACAAUCUGAGUGUUAAAGCCUUCAAGAGAGUUGAAUCUUGAAAAAGUUGUGUAAGAGCCCAUUGGAGCCAGAAUCCAAGUGUAAGAAGAUUGGAAGCUUGGUUGAAGCUUUAAGUUAGUGGAACCCUCACUCGAUUAGGAGGUUGAGGAGAGUGGACGUAGGCAAGGAAGUGCCGAACCACUAUAAACCCGAGUUUGAAUUCUCUAAACUAUAUCUCUUUACUUUGCUUAUAUUUUGUUUAAAUUUGUUGUGAUUGAAAAUAUUUUAAAAACCCAAUUCACCCCCCCUUUUGGGUGUUUUUCUUAACUAAACAUAGCUUUGUUUUCUCAAAGUUUUAUCAAACACCCCCUGAAUUUUCAUCUUUUGAACAUAAGUUAUUUUAUUAUGUAUACAUAGGCCUCUUUGACCAUAUUUUGUAAAACUUGUUUUUAAAAAUUUAUUUAUUUUAUUUGGUAUUUUUUAAUAUUUGACAAGUUGUUUUAAAAACAUUAUUUAAAGAACAAAAAAAGUUGUUUGAAAAAAUAAAUUUAAAAUUUUUUAUUCUGAUUUUGUUGGGCCAAUUUUUUCAAUUUCAAAAUAUUCUUAAAAAUGAGUAGAUUCAUUUAAAAAAUCUAAAACAUUAAGGGUCCGUUAAAAAUUUGUUUUUAAAAUAGUGAACAAAAAACAAUUUUUAAAUUUUUUUUUAAAGACUAGAGUGUUUGACAAGACGUUUUAAAAAAUAGUUUUUUAAAACAAAAAAUAAGAAACUUAUUUGGAUGAAAGAAUUUGUAUUAUUUUUAAAGACAAUUCAUUACUUUUUAUAAAAAUUUUAUAAAAUUAAUUUAUAAUAAUAUGAAAUCAAAUUCAAAUAAAGUCUUAUUAAAAAAUAAAAAUUAAAUUUACAAUUAUAUUUGAGUUAAAGAUAAAUAUUUUUUUGAUUGUGAAACAAUUUUUUUAUUAUAUUGAAACAAAAAUUUCUAUAAGAUAAAAAUAAUUUUAAUAUUCAUUUUUAAUACAAGUCAAAUAAGUAUUUUAAUUAAUUAAUUAAUUUUUUUGUUUGAUUAUGAUUUCUCAUGCUUUUUUUAGAAACUUUUUUUAAGUUAAAAGAAUCAAUUUUUUUUAAUGUUUUAUAAAAUUAAGGAUAUUUGGCAAGUUAUUUUUUAAAAAUGAUUUUUUUUUAAAAAAAAUUGUUUCGAUUUUGUAAAAACAUUUUAAAUUCAAUUUAUAUAAUAUUAAUUAAUUAAAUUUAAUUGAAGUCUUAUUGAAAAUGAAAAUAAAUUUAUAAUUAAAAAUAAUUUAAAAAAAUAUAUAUUUUUAGUAAAACAUAAAUAAUAAUAUUAUAAUAAAAUCACAACUAAUAUUUUUAGUAGAAAAUAUACUAUUUUAUUAUAUUCAUAAAUUUAUGGUAGUAAUGAGUUUAUUAUUUAAGUUUUUAAUUAUUUUAAAAAAUUAAUAGACUUAUUAACAAAUCCAACACAUUAACUUUUGUUCAAUUUGGAGUUAAUUUGUCUAGCGAAAAAAAAUUGAAAAAUAAUAUUCUAUUUAGAAGAUAAAUAAUAAAGUGUAUGUGUCUGUCUAUUGUUUUUAAAAAUUGGUGAAAACAACUUUUUCUUGUUUUUUAUUUUACUUUGUUUUUAAAAGUUUGAAACAAAGAAUAAUAACCAAACAAUGUUAUGAAAUUUUAAAAACUGUUUUUAAAACUCCACUAAAUAGGCUCUAAGUUUUAUUUGAUUUAAAAUUUAUUCACGGUGAAAAAAAAAUCUAAAAAGCAUAGCUAUGUGUAAAAAUAAAAAAAUAGAGUUAUUAUUUAUUGUGAACCAAUUUUAUUCUAUUGUUUUCUUGUUCCCAUUGCAAUAUGUGAAACCUCGCAUUCAUUCAUGAAUCCAUUUAUCCUCCAAGUAUCAAAGAGACAAAGGGCUAUCAGGGCAGCACCCAUAUUCAUUACUCAAGUAAUAAAUGUAGUGAAUUGUUACAUCAGGUGUAAUAAAAAACAUAAACACUUGACUUUAAGUCUAUAAAUCGCUAUUCACAAGGCCAAUUAUUGGUAUUUAAAGUAUUAGAGACACAUGAAACAUUACAACUCUAUUAAAAUAAAAGGCUAACAUCAAAGUAUAGGAAAAACUCCCUAAAAAAGGCUAUUGUUCGUCUCUUCCAAAAACUAACUUAAACUUUGGAAGAGUGUACCCGAAAACACUAUCCAAACACACCUUGUUGUAGGUAUGCUUGCCAUUCACUAGUAGUAAGCUAAUUGGAAAGGACAUUAUUUGUCGUGCACCAACACAAUCUAUUUUUAAAUUUUAUUUUUUUUAAAAAAAUUAUUAGACUCAUUGAUAAAUCUCACUUGAUUCUAAAUUCAUUAGUUGAGUGAGAAAAUUAAAAAAAAAAAUGCAGUUAUGUGCAAAAGAGAAAUAAUAGAGUAAUUUUAGCUCUGUUUUUUGUCCAUAAAUUUCUAAUGGUGAUUGAGUUAUUUUUUUAAAUUUUAAAUUAUUUUUUAAAAUUAAUAAACUUUUUAUACAAAUUUAAAUAAUUAAGUCUUUCUUGAUUAAGAGUUUAUUUGUCUAAUGGAAAAUUUUGAAAAACAUAAUUAUAUGUAGAAAAAAAAUAACAAAGAUACACUAAAUCAAUUUUUAUCCACAAUUUUUUUGUAUUAAUCAAUUUAGUAUUUGAAUUUGAAAUUAUUUUUAAAAAUUAGUAAUCAUGUUAAUGAAUUUAAUGCAUGUUUUUCUUGAUUUGAAAUUUAUUUGACCAAUAAAAAAAAAACUAGAAAAGUUAUUUGAAAUUAGUUUUGAUCUAUUAUUUUUUUAAUAUUAACAGGAUCAAUUUUGAGUUAUGUAACUUCUUAGUAUUAAUCGAAUAAAUUUUUUAGUUCAAAUUAUUUUUAAGAAAUAGUAAAACCUAUGUACACCUAAGUGUGUUUGAUUUGGAAUCUAUUUAAUUUAUGAAAAGUUUUAGAGAAGAAAAAUUAUAAUUUCAAAGACUAUGUUUGGUUUUGGAAAAAUUAAAUUUAAGGUUAUGUUUAGUUCCUGAAAAAUAUUAAAGUUAUGUUUGGUUAUCAAAAAAUACUAAGAAAAAAAAAAUUAUUAAGAAAAAUGAUUUUUUUCACGUUUGGUUAAAGUUUAGAAGAUAGCAAAGAAGAUCAAAUUUAAUUUAAAAUCAAUUGGAAAAUUAUGUCUUUUAAAUUAUUUAAUCUUUAUACCAAAGAGUUAAAAUAAGUUAAAUAAUUUAAAUAAGUUUGAAAUAGUAUACAAAAAUAAAUUAUUGAUUUUCAAUCUACUUUUUAUUUUUUCUCUUUAUUUUAUUUUCUUUGCAUUUUCUAUCAAAUUUUCUUGGAACCAAAUAUAGCCUAGCAUUUUUUUUUCCUUUCCUUAGGUUAUGUUUGGUUUUUAGAAAGUUUGAGGGAAAAUGCACAAAAAAAUAAAAAAGAAAGAGGACGAAUAAAAGGAAAGAAAAAGUAAAAAAAAAUAAAAAUAGACUUAAAGUCAAUAAAUCAUAUUAAUAUCCUACUUCAAACUUAUUUUACUUAUUUAACUCUUCUAUAUAAAAAUUAAAUAAUUUAAAAUUUUAUAAGUUUCUUAUUGGUGUUAAAUAAUUUGAUUUUUUUUGUAUUUUCAUAAUUAAAUCAAACAUGAAAAAAUAAUUUUUUUAAAACAUUUUUAUUUAUUUUCUUAGUACUUUUAUGGAAUUAAACAUAACUUUAAACUCAAUAACUUUUAUACAUGAUAAAACUAAACAUGAUAAAACCAAUUUUCUUAACCUUUUUUUAAUACCAUAUGGGAACAAAAUAUAGCACAAAGUCAUUUUACACAUUUCAUUUACUUUGUAGGAUGCUAUAAAUAGACCCAUUUCAUAUUUUAUCAGUAAAUUCAUAUUUAGUUUCUAUAUUUGAUAUCAAAAUUAUUAUUGUCUUUUAUUUUUAAAAAUAAAAAAUAAGAGGUGUAUCUUAAUACUAAAAUAACAACUAAUAGAUUAUGUUUGAGGGCAAAACAAGAUUUAAAAUUUAAAAUUUGAACUUUGCUUCAAGAAAUUAACCCACAAGCCAACAAACUAAGGUUACAUUUGGUUUCGGGAAAAAAAAUGUAAAAAAGAAAAUGAUUUUAUCAUGUUUAGUUGUCAUAUGAAAAAUAUAAAGUAAAAUUCAAUAUGUAUAAUUAAAACCAGUUAAAAACUUGUGUAUUAUUAAAUUAUUUAAUCUUUAUAUUGAUGAGUUAAAAUAAAUAAAAUGAGUUUGAAUAAUAAAUGAAAAUAAUUAAUUAACUUUUAAUUUAUUUUUUAUUUUUCUUCACUAUUUUUUUUCUUAUAUUUUUUAUUUGUAUUUUCUUUCAAAUUUCCCGAGAAGUGAAGAUAGACAUUUGGAGGCUCAAAAUAAAAUAAAAUCCUCGGCUACAGUCUUUGGGGAUGCUUCUCCUAACAUUAAUUUUGACAUGUCAAAUAUGAAAUAAUAUCCCCUUGAAAGUUUAUUAUAGAAUCAUAAUCAUAAUUAUUAAAGUUAAUACGCAAGUAAACCAAUACGAGAGGGACAGCAUCUUUCUUGCAGCCAAAAGAUGUGGCUUUUAAGCGCUUUCUUAUUGGGCAAAUGAGCCACGUAUCUGAAUUCUCAAGUUGGAGAGGGAGUGAUUGAACAUUUGAAUUAACAAUAGGCAAUCAGUUGAUCUGGACUUGGAUUUGUCAUCUAUCGACUCUUGUAGUCUUGUGUCUUCCCAAAUGGUGGAAGAUUCUCCAUUCCAAUAAUACAUAUCUCUCUCUAUUGGAAGGACAUGGUUUCAGGUGGAGUUGCCACUAGUUAUAAUUUGUAAUAUACAGCAAUAAUUUAACAAACAUGUGGCGUCUCUUCAAACCUGGUUUUCUUAUGGGCAUCAAACAUUUGGCCCUAUGAACAGGUUUCACUCAAGGACACAAAGUUUGAGGACAAGUAUGUGUCACCAUCACCGACAGUGGACAUAUGGAAGCAUUUGAGGACAUAUUGGAAGGGGAAGAGAAGCAGAGGAGGUGGUGUACUAAACCUUGUUAGGGUAUAUAUCGACCAACGCAAUCCAAGUAGGCUAUCAAUGAGAUGGCAUGAGCUUUUUCAGAUGUCCAAUCCGUCCGGGAUAAAUUUAGAAUAUAGAUAAAUAUUUGGCUUGGAAUGAGGUUGAGAUGUUAUUAUUAUUAUUUUUUUACUUUUUAUUUAUUUAUUUUAAAAAAACUAUAGUGGAUAUUGUGUUGUGUUUUUUUUUUUUUUAAAAUACCUGCCCUAAUAGGAUAAAUUUAGAAUAAUAACCAUUUGGUUUGAAUAGUAAAUUGUGUAUAUAAAUUUUUUCUAACUUUUCCCGUAAAUUGAAAGGAGAUUUCUCAUUCGAAAUACUAUAUUUUAUUUCAAAAACCCUACUUAAUGAAUUGUACUUAUCACUCCUAUUUUUAAUGUUUCCCCUUCUUCAACCUUUUAUGCUCUUUUAUUUUUUUGCCUUUCUUUGUUACGAUAAACUAUACUAUGCUAGGAUUGAAAUUAUUUUGUUCCAUAAAAACAAUUAAUACGUAAUAACCCUAACCAAGAAAAACCAGAAAUAUAGUUACUACAAUAUUAUAGUAUUUCAUAUUAUUGUCCUUUGCUAUCAACAACAAUAUAUUCAAUUAAUUUAGAAUUAGAAAGAUUAACUAUUUACUUACAUUAAUAAAGCCUAAUUAAAAUAAAUGAGAGCAAAACGAUGAAUAAAUAUUUUUUUAAAUAUUUAAUAAAAUAAACAAAACAAAAAGGAAGUAUUCAAGGAUUUCACAAUCCAAAUUUAUAGUAAUUAAUGGAAAUAAAAUAUUUUGAAAAUGUAUUCCAAUUUUAGAGUGUUUAUUUAAAUCGGAUAUAAUGUAUAGAUGUGGAGAAUUAUUAUUUGAAAAUUAUUUUUUAAAAUUUUGAGGUCUUGUUUUAAAAAUAAGGUGCUCUCAUAGAAGUUUUUAGAUUUUCAAAAUCUUCUUCUCUUUUUACAUUAAGCUUCCAAUUUAGGAAAUAAACAUUUUAAAGAGAAUUUUCAUAGAAAAUAUUUUAUCAAUUAAGGCAUUACUAUCUUUUAAUAAAAACUUGUAUUUCCAAAAGAUUAAGUAGAAAAAGGCCUUAGCAAAGCCCACGACUUCUAUUAUGAAGUUCAUCCUGAUUUUGGUUCAUCACCACCCCAAUGGUGGCUUGGGCCGAAGGAAUAAAAGAAGAUGAAUUUUUUUUUUUUACAAGACUACACAUGUUUGUAGUGGGAGCAACUACUCCAACGGUGAGGUUCUUCACUUAGUGACAUUGAUGUCAAGAAUAAUGGUUAUACACUUAACUUGAAUAUGAAGUGGUUAAAUCAUUCAUUAUGGUCCCACUUGCAUAUUUCAAGGGUCAAACAAAUAAGGUAUACUGAUUUUUCCUUGAGGUUGAUUAAGGCAAGAAGAUUAAUCUAAGAGGGUCUCUAAUUAGUAAUAAGGUCAUGACCUACCCAUCGUAAGCUUGAUUCUUAUUAUGUUAGGAUACCUUGCAAAAACAUAUGUAGUUGUAAGAACUCUACAUUGUUCAUAAUUUUAUUUAUUGCUUGGUGGUGAAUGCUUAGUUUAUAUUAAUGCAUUGUUUUUAUUUAUGUUAUAGCCAUCAUGUCAUACAAUCCUAUUAAUCUUAUUCACACUUAUAAGAAAUUAGUUGGACCAAACUAUGUGGAUUGCAAAAGAAAUUUAUCAUAAACUCACAUUAGAGGAGCUAAAAUGGGUAACUUAGGAAUUUGCUCCCAAUUCCCCUAAUGAAUAUUUCAAGUAGAAAGAGAGGGAUGCAUAUCAUAGUUGGCAAAAGACAAAUUAGAAGACCAAGUGCAUCAUACUUGGAUCUUUGGAUAACAUGUUGCAAUAAUAGCACAUGUCAAUUGUCAUGACUUAUAUUAUUCUCUUCAUUUUGUAGGAAAUUUUUGUUGAUAAGGGAAGGUAAACUAGAUAGAUUGCUCAUAAACACCAGGAUGUUAGAAGGAACUCCCAUUGGAGAUCAUAUGAUUUGUAUGAUCAGACUCUUUAAUGAGAUGAAGAUCCUUAGAACUGAGAUCAACCAAGAAACAAAGGUCGACAUGGUAAGACCUUGUCGAUUUCCUUUAAGUAGUUCAAGCUCAACUAUACUAUAAAUAAGUUGGUGACGAGCUUACUUGAAUUGAUGAAGGAACUCCAAACAACUAAGGGGAUUCUCAAAUACCAAAAGGGUAUUCAUAUGACAAUCAAGGGUUCUUCAGGUUUUUCUAGCAACUAGAAGAAGAACAAUUUUGAAAACACCAAACAAAAGGGAAAGUUCAAGAAAUAGAGUAAGAAGGGCAAGGGGAAGGGCAAAUUCUUCCUUUAUGGAAAAAAAAAAGGUCAUUGGAAAAAGAAAUGUCUUGAAUUCAUGAAGAAAAGCCAUGUAUGCAUCAUUUACUUUUAGUUGGAUCAUGUUUAAUGGUAGAUUCCACCUACUCAAUGGAUAGAUUCCAGGGCCAUUGACCAUAUUAUAAUUCUUUACAAGAGUUUCAACUAAGGAGAAGUCUAAAUGAUGGGGACAUGUUCUUAACUUUGACUUCAAAUUAGUAUGUAGGCAAUAGGAGAAGUUACCCUUAUUUUAGAGAAUAAUUGUCUUCUAAAACUUAAAGAUUGUAUUUAUAUUCUCGAGUCUAGAAAGAAUUUGAUUUUAGUUUCUAAUAUAUGUAAAUUGAAUUAUUUAGUGUUUUUCAAUCAACAAGUUAUUAUUAAAAUGAAUGUUUUAUUUAUAUGCUCAAGAUCAUUGGUUGAUAAUUUUUAUAAUGUGACUCCAUUAUCAUUAUUGCCAAGUGAUGAGAAUAAUCAUAUCUCACCUAAAAGGAAGGAACCUAACACUAAUCAAACAUAGAUUUGGCACUUAUGUCUAGGUUAUAUUAAUCUAAAUAUGAUACAAAGAUCGGUUAAGUUUGCAAUAAUAUUGCAUUCUUUAAUUUUAGAGGAUCUUCUAGUCUAAAAAUUCUAUAUAAAAGGUAAAAUGACUAAGAGACCCUUCACUACUAAAAGAUAUAGAGCUAAUGAAUGUUUAGAGUUAGUGCAUAAUGACGUAUGUGGACCUUUUAAUAUCUAUGAACGGUGAGGGUAUGAGUACUUCAUCACCUUUACAAAUGAUUACUCUAGGUUAAGAUCUAGUAUUAGCUCAAAGCCUUGUGACUAAUUUUCUAUGUGUUAGGAAGUGUCCCAAAUUCCUAAUUAGUAUAGAUUCCUUUUUUGUAAAGAAUAUUAUAUAGAAUAUUUCUAGGUUGAUAUAUUAUUGUAAUAUUAGACUUCCUUAUAGAAUAAGGAAGGUUGUUGGAAAUAUCUCUAUAAAUAUUCUAGGUCAUGAGGGGAAAAAGUUAUGAGAUGAAGAUGGGCCUAUAGAGACUAUACGAGGUGGAUAGAGAUGUGAGGAAGAACGGGAGGUACCUGGUGGAGCGAGAGGGCUCGUAGUAAGGUAUGGAUACAAGGAGUGGGGAAACAUGGGAUGUUUCGGGAACCCAAUAGUUGUAUCUGGUUCUAUCCUCUGUAAUAUUCUCUAUUGUAUAGUGGAAUUAUUCUCUUUCAUCCGUGGACGUAGGCAUGGUUGGCCGAACCACGUUAAAACCUCGUGUAUCGUAUGUGUGAUUGUUUUAUCUUUGUGUUCUUGAACUAAUAUUGUUGGCAUCAAAGCUUUCGCUGGCACAACACUAUGAUGGUACCUUAUGCUCUAUGGGAGAGUACAUAACCUUUAAAUGGUUACUAAUUGUGCAAUGAAACAUCAAUCACUUGUUGACUAUCAUAAACACUAUAGAUCCUUCCAUUAUUCACACUUGAAAAUUUUGGAAUCAUGGGCUAUUCUUAGAAUUGAACUGAAGUCAUGGUUUUUGACUUUUGGGUGUGACUUGUUUAAAGGAUUAUGAGGUCAUUAAAGAUGAAAAUUACUAGUUAAGGUUCAUUUAACUUUCAUUUAUUUGUAGAUUGUGACCUAAUUUCAUAUAAAGAAGUAAUAGGAGAUGAAACAUGGAUUAAAGUAAUGAAUGAAGAAAUUCAAUCAAUAAAGAAAAGAAAUACAUUGGAGCUAACUACUCAACUAGUUGGAAAAAAAGUCUACUAGUAUUAAAUGAGUUUAUAAGACAAAAUAUACAUAUGCCUAGUGGUAAAGUUGAUCGAUUUAAGGUAAGAUUAGUAGUAGGAGCCUAUUUUUUAAGCAAAUGUUAGGUGUUGAAUAUUUUGAAGUUUUUGGAGUAAUUACUAGACUAGAUAUCGUUCACAUGAUAACUGCACUUGUAGAUCAAAAGAAAUGGGAAAUUCAUCAAAUAGAUGUUAGGUAAACUUUCGGUCGUUUACUAACCUUUAUGAAAUAUCUUCUAAGUUAAUAAAUUGAUUUAUAAAACAACGUCCACAAAAAAGUAUCCAAUGGGCAUAAAAUCAAGGGGCAAUCAAUAACCAAGGGGCGGCCACUGGGUCCCAUGUCAAGUGGUCUCACUCAAGGAUACAAUGUAUGGUUAACCAGAGGACAAUGUAUGGUUAACCAGAGGACAAAUAUGUCGUUAUCCUAAUAAUUCAGCCUUAGCUUGCAAUAAAACUCUUAUACAAUUAAUAGAAUAUAAAAGGUCUAAUAUAAAAAGUAAAUAAAUAUAUUUUAAAAAAGAUAGUGAUUUCUAAAAAUUAAAAUUUUGUUAUCUUAAAUUUUAUAAUUUUAUUGAAUAGCAGUUUUUAAUUUAUACAAGGUAAGUUUUCAUCUUUUAAACAUAAGUUAUUUUAUUAUGUAUAAAAGAUACCAUAGGUCUCUUUGACCAUAUUUUUUAAAACCAAAACUUUUUUUUUUAAUUUAUAAAAAUAUUGUUAAUUCAAUUUAUAUAAUAUUACUUAAAUUUAAUUAAUUCUUGUUAAAAAUAUUUUUGUAAUUACCAAUAAAUUAAAAAAUAAAUAACUUUUAGUAAAAUUUUACUGCUAAAAUUAUAUUAAAAUAAAAAUUAUAUUUUUAUUAAAAAUAUAUUAUUUUACUAUAUUUUAUAAAAUAUGAAUAUUAACAUUUUCGCAAAAGAAUAAUAAUUUUUAUUUUUUUUGCAAUUACUAUUCUAUUAUAGACAUAUUAUUUUGGGUCCAUUUUGAUAUAUUUUGAAAUUAAAUGGAUCAAAAUUAAAAAUGAGUAAAUUCAUUAAAAAAAUCUAAAGCAUUAAAGUUUUACUUGAUUUAAAAAUUUUUUGCCUCGUGAAAAUAUUUAGUAUAAUUGUGUGAAAAAAAUAAAAUAGUAGAAUCGUUACAUAUUCCAAACCAAUUUUAUUUUAUGGUACUAAUAUAAUUUAUUUUUAAAUUCUAAUUUUUGAAAAAUUAUUAGACUUAUUGAUAUAUCUCACUUGAUUCUAAGGUCAUUAUUUGAGUGAGUAACUUUAGAAAAGAAAAUGUAGUUGUAUGCAAAGGAGAAACAAUAAAGUCAUUCUACACCCAUUUUUGUCCAUGAAUUUCUAAAAUUGAUUUGAGUUUGAAAAUAUUUUUUAAAAUUAAUAAACUUGUUCACGAAUUUAAAGCAUUAAGUCUUUCUUGAUUCAAAGUUUAUUUGCCUAGGGAGAAAAUUAAAAUUAAAAAUUUAAUUUUAUGUAGAACAAAGACUCAACAAAAUCACUUCAAACCGAUUUUUUCUAUUUAAUUUUUGGUAUUAAUUAGUUUAAUAUAUGAAUUUCAUUUUAUUUUUAAAAAUUACUAAUCCUAUUAAUGAAUUCAAUGCAUUUGUUUUGCUUAAUUUGAAAUUUAUUUUCCAACUAAAGAAUUUGAAGAAAAUACAAUUCUGUGUUAAAAAAAGACUAGAACGUUAUUUAAAAUGAGUUUUGAUAUAUUAUUUUUUAAGAUUAAUUAGAUCAAAUUUGAAUUAUGUAAUUUUCUAGCAUUAAUUGAAUCAAUUUUUGAGCUUCAAAUUAUUUUUUUAAAAUGGUAAAUCUUAUCUACAUCUAAGUGUGCAUGAUAUGAAAUCUAGUUAACUAAUGAAAAGUUUUGGAAAAGAAAAUUAAGAAGAAACAAGUGUGAUUAGAACAGAGAUCAUAUUUAAAGUUUUUUGCAUAUUUUUUGGUGGAAAGAUAAUAAAAAAAAAUUUUUAUCUUCUAUUUUAUUUGUUUCUUAAAAUUAUUUAAAGAUCUUUGGUAUGAUUUCCUAGAGAGAAGACGAAAAAAAUAUUUUCUAUUUUAUUUGUUUUUUAUGUUUGGUUUCCAAAAAAUUUAAGGGUAUGUUUAGUUUUUGAUAAGGUUAUGUUCGAUUUUCAAAAAAUAUUAAAGAAAAGGAAAAAAAUAGUAAAAAAAAUAAUUAUCUCAUAUUUGAUUUUACUUUACAAGAUUGCAAAGAAAAUUAAAAUCAAUUAAAAAAUUAUGCAUUUUGAAAUUAUUUAAUUUUUAUAUGAAAGAGUUAAAAUAAGUGAAAUAAAUUUGAAAUAUAAUAAAUUAUUUAAUUUUUUUUCUAAAACAGAAAAUUAUAACUCCUUUUAUAUGAAAUGUAAGAUUCUUUGACACGUGACUUAAAAAUAUAAUAAAAUUUAAAAACUAUUUAAAAAAUUAAAGUUCUGUUUGACAAUUAUUUUUCAGAAUAAUUUUUUGCUUUCUAGAACAAAAAAAAUAAGAAAACAUAUUUGGUAAUUCUUUUGUAGAACAAUUUUUUAUUCAUCAGAACAAAAAAAAAAAAAAAAAACACGUUUGAUAAAAACAGAAAACAUAGUGUUUUAAGAGAACAUCUUUAAUUUGUUUUUACUUGUUUUCUACUUACCAUUUUAUAAUAGUUAUACAAGUACAUAGAAUGAUUAAAAAUAAAGCACUCGAUAUAAAAAUUAUUUUUAAAAUACAUUUAAAAAUGUUAAAAAUAUUUCAAGUUCCCGAAUAAAAUUGCGUUUUACAAAACAUUAUAGAAUAGUUUUUCUCAAAAAUUAUUUUUUAAAACUGUUUUAAAAAACAUACAAAAAAACUAGACAAAGGUUUCUAAUACCUCAAAAUUUAAAAAUAAUUAGAAAGAUAGAAGUAAAUUUAUACUGAGUUGUCAUAUUUUAUAUAAAUACUAAGAUAACAACUAAUAGAUAAUAAAGUUUGAGGGCAAAACAUGAUUUUAAAUUUCAAAUUUGAACUUUGUUUUCAGAAAUUAACCCACAAAGCCAACAAACUCAACAUUUGGAGGCUCAAAAUAAAAUAAAAUCCUCAGCUAGAGUCUUUGGGGAUGCUUGUCCUAACAUUUUGACAUUUGAAAUAUGAAAUAAUAUCCCCCUUGAAAGUUCAUUGAAGAAUCAUUAUCAUACUUCUAGAUGUUCAACUUUCCAACAAACCGACUUACUAUGUUGUGGGUCCUAAUCCAAACUGUUUUGGCUGUUACAUUUAUAGAUAAAGUGGAAAAUGUCAAAUUUCUUUUCAAUGAAAAUGGAUGAAUUGAAACUUCACUUAAUACACAAACAAACCAACAUGAGGCGGACAUCAUCAUUGUUGCAGCCAACAGAUAUGGUUUUGAAGAGCUUUCUUAUUUGGCAAAUGAGCCACGUAUCUCAAGUUAGAGAGGGACUGAUUAAACAUUUGAAUUAACAAUAGACAAUCAGUUGAUGUGGCCUUGGAUUUGCCCCCAUCCAUCUACUCUUGUGUCCUCCUGUAACUGGUGGAAUAUCCUCCAUUCCAAUAAUGCAUGUCUCUCUACUGGAAGGAUAUGGUUUCAGUUGGAGUGGCCGCUAGUUAUAAUUUGCAUUAUACGACAAUAAUUUAACAAACAUGUGACGUAUCUCCAAACCAGGUUUUCUUAUGGGCAUCAAACAUUUGGCCCCAUGAACAGGUUUCACUCAGGGAUACAAAAUUUAAGGACAAGUAUGUGUCACCAUCACCAACAGCGGAUAUAUGGAAACAUUUGAGGACAUGGAAGGGGAAAAAGAAGCAGAGAAGGUGGCGUACUGAACCAUGUUAGGGUAUAAUCGAGCAACCUAAUCGAAUUAGGCUGUCAAUGGGAACCGAUCUGCCCUAUUUGGUACCGAUUUCAAUAUUGAUUCAUCUUCAACUCAUGUAAUUGUUUCUUUAAAUAUAAUAUAUUUGUUAGAGAUUUCGAGAUUUAAAUUUUUCCUAACUUUUUCAAAAUACUAUAUUUUAUUUUAUAAACCAAACUUAAAUGAGUAACACUUACUUUUGCUUUUAAUUUUUCCCAUUUUUCAACCUUCAUGCUCUUUUGUUUCUUGUCUUGUAAUGCUUUGAAGAGUCCUUUGUUGCAACAAAACAUCUUUAACAUUAUCAUGCCUUAUAUUGAAAUUAUUUUUUUCUAUCAAAAUGCAUAAUACAGGAUAACAUUGAUUAAGAAAAACUAGAAAUAGAGUUACUAUGAUUCUGUAGUAUUUCAUAUCAUUAUCUUUUGGGAUUAACAGUAAUGAGUUCAGUUAUUUUUAUAUUAGAAUUAAAGGUUAAUUAUUUUCUUGCUCUACUGAAAGCCUAGUUAAAAUAAAUGAGAAUAAAAAGAUAGAUAAAGAUUUUAUAAAAUAUUUAGCAAAAUAAAUAAAACAGGGUGUAUCCAAAGAUUUUAUAAUCUAAUGUUAAAUCCUUAUAAAGAGAGCAUUGUAAAAUCUAGGGUUUAUAAUUAAAGUCAAUCUAAGAUCAAAUUGAAUCUUAAAACCAAUAUUACAUCCGAAAUUUAGAUUUUUACUUUGAAAAAUGGAUCUCUUAAACCAAUUGAAGAUAACAAUUUUUUUUUCUUCUCAAUUUUAUCUAAUCAAAAGUCCAUAUCCAUUUUGUAGAUUCAACCCUUAGUUCAUUAAUAAUAAGAUCAAAUUAAGUUAACUAGUGAUCAAGGUCUUUCAAAAAAUCACAAGUACCUUGGUAAGAAUCCAAUGUACCUUAUCUAAGGUAUACUAACUCAAAAGAUUUAUUCCUACCUGUUAGAAAAUUGGGUUAAUUUAACCUAAGGUAAUCACCCUAGAGAAGAGGGGGGGAGGGGGUUGAAUAGGGUAAUUGUCUCUUUUUACAAAUUUAAAUUAUGUGACAAGAGACAAUUAUAUGCAAAUAUAAAAUAAUAAUAAAAAAAAGAUAACUGCAUAUAAAGUAAAAGAGUAGGAAAGAGAAAAUGUAAAUACAAGAUUUUUAUAGUGGUUCAGCGCAACUCGGCCUACAUCCACUCUCCUCUACCUUCAAUUCCAAGAUUGAGGUUCUACUAAUUCAAGACUUUCAAACCUAGCCUUCAAGCAAUACAAUUGGAUUAUGGUUCUAAUUCACCCUCUUAGACUUUAGGCUCCAAGUACUCUUUAUGAUCUUCAAGAGAUACCUCACACUUGAAUAACUCCUUAAGUGAUACUCCACACUUGAGAAUCCCUAAGUGAUAUCUUACACUUAGACUUUUCUUAAAUAUUUAUAUGAAGAUAAGAAAUAAUAUCACAAAAUCCUAAUACAAAACUUUAGGCUCAAAAGAUACAAGAUAGAAUAGGAUUGAAUGAUGCACUAAUGAUAUGCAAGUUUUAUAAUAAUGGUUCACUAAAAAAAACACUCUUCCAAGGCUCAAAUGUAUUCAAGAAAGGUUUAGGAAAGUUAAGUUCUUGAAAUAAUGAAGAUUGAAGUCUUUUUAUAGAGAAAAACAACCAAACUAGCUGUUAGGGAUUCGUCCGGACAAAGCUUCGGUUCGACCAGUUCACUAAUCGUUAGUAUUUAAUGCAUGAUAGGUGACUGUUGGACCUCGACCGCCUCUUGAUCGCCCCUCAACAAAACAAUUAUUUGUGAUUGAAAAUAGGAGAUAUAACAUGUAAUUUUUUUCAUAAAAACUUUUCGGUUUAACGUGCUAAUACAUUCAAAACUUUUCAACCAAACAUUUUCAUAUUUAUGUCAAAAUAGUUUCAUAUCAAAUCCAAAUAAAAUACAUUUAAAAUAUUUGUACUAUGGUUAUCAAAUAUCAAAUGGUACCUAACGAUUGAAAAGUCAAUUAUUUUAUCCCAUUGACUAGGGCCAAAGGGUGAACUAUUAUAUAUCAUUGACUAAGGCUAAACAAACCAAAGUUAAACACAUUGUUUUAUUUAUUCAAACUUAAAGAAAAAAAAAACAUAAUUAUCUCCAUAUUUUCUAUUGUAAACAAAAGAAAAUAUGGUUUUAAAAAUUGAACUGGACUAACCAAUUUGACCGCAGGCUUGUCACUAUUCUGGUUCGGUCUAGUGAAUUGAGUCGGCCAAAGGUUGGACCAACGAACCUUUUUAUUUUUUAUUUUUUUGGGCCAAUCGGUUCUCUUCGAAUAAAACGGUUCAAGAUUUUUUAUUUUUUUUCCCUCUCAUCAAAACGACGUUGUUUUGAUGCUUUUGGCAUUGAAACGAUGUUGUUUUAUUCUGUAUAAAAACCUUGCCUUCUCUCCUUCCCUAACAGCAACCCUACGUAGAUUUACUCUUGUACCUUUUUUUUCACAAUUCUUGCUAUUGGCCCCCCCUCCCAACUCUUCUACAAACCCAACGUUGGGGAUGACAUGCCGACAACUCCCUCCAUUCCAGAUCCUACCCUUGCUCUCCACCCUUCCCCCGACUAUUGUCUUGCCACUGCCACUAUCACUGUUGCACUUCUUUUCCAACUCUUAUUGCUACCCCUAAACCCUCACUUCCCACCUCCAGCCAACAUCGGGGGUGCCAUGUCAAUGGCUAAAUCAGUCUUUCCAUCACAUUUUAAGAUUUUCUUUACAUUUUAUUUUUAUUUUUAUUUACUUUAUUAGUUUAUUUCCAUUAUUAUUAUUUUUAUUUUAAUUAAUAAAAAAUUAUAAUUUUAAAUAAAAUUUUGAAAAUAUUGUCUUACUCAUAUUUUAAAUAAAUUUAUAAUUUUAAAAUAACUUUAUGAUUUUUAAAUAAAAUUUUGAUUUUUAAAUAAUAUAUAAAUUAUUAUUUUUAUUUUUAAUAAUUAUUUUUAAUUUUAAUAAUAUAUGAAUUAUAUAUUUAUGACGUCACUGGUUCGACCGUAGUUUGACCAUCAGUUCGAUUAAUGAAUCGUGAAUCGGUAACUUUUUCGGUUUAAUGACCAUUUCUCUUUUGAAAACAUUGAAGAAACAACCACUAUGGAGGCACAAACAACCACAAAACCUCUUUUUUUUUUUUUUUUUUUUUUUGUGUGUGUUCAACUCACAAAUCUCUCAACCUUCUUACUCACAGGUUUUAUUUAUUUAUUAUUUUUUUCCAUAUCCAAAACUAUAAUUUAUUUUCUUCUAUAUUUUUUUUCUAGACCUAUUAAUUCGUAUAUUCGAAAAUUUUCAAUCUUUAUUAAUAAUACUACUUAUGUUCAUAAUUUUUCAAUCUUUUUGAUCUAAAAAUUAAAUAAACAAUCCUAAUCUAGAUUGAGAUCUUCCAAAGAAUUUUUAAUGUUUCAAACUAUUUAACAAAUGUAAAAUACUAAAGUAAAGGUUAAAAUCUUACAUGGAAAGUUAAUCUUCAAACCCUAGACUCCCAAAUCUUCGACCCACGUUACCCUACAUUCUCUGAUCUCUACAUAAAAGGGUUUCUGUAUAGAGAAGUUAGAAAAAUCUAAUUUAUACUUAGGGCUUUUAAGAGCAAAAAGACUUUUCUACCCUUAUAAAUUUAUUUAAUUUAUGUAGAAUUUCUAAUUUACUAUUUUACCCCUAAAAUUAUUUUGGGAUGUUACAUUAGAAAGUGUAAUAAAAAUGAACCAAGACUAAUGUACUAAUGCAUCAUCUCUUAAAGGCAUGUGAGGAAGCAAGUAUUGUGUCCUUGUCAAUGGUGUCAAGAUCGCCUUCUUGACACUAUAUUGUGACAAUAAGAAAAUGGCAAUAGUUAUAGGGUCUUAUGCAUAGUUUGAGGUUUAUUAAUGAUAAGGUUAUAAUAUAAUAUGUCAUGAUCAUUUUCUUGUUCAAGUUCCAAGUGUAGGAAACAUAUCAUAGUGUUUUGAAAUGACAUCUUGCUUCUUAUCCAAAAUAUGUUUUGAGGCAAUCAAGCUAAAGACAUAACAAAAGACUUAUCUUUUAGCUAUUUCAGGACUUUCUUUUAGCUAUUUUAGGACUUCCAUUUCAAAUUAUGGUUUUGAUAAGAUUUGUUUAUUUUAUAUUUUAAUUUUCUUUUACUUCAUCUUCUAGCUACUUCUUGUAUAUAGGAGUCUUUCAACUAUUCAUUGUUAGUUAGUUUAGGUCUGUUUGUUAUCUUCUCAACAAUUUAAGGUAUGUCUAUAUACAUAUCAUCUCAAUGAAAAUUAAGCCAUAUUUUCCAAAACAUCAUACCCUAUUAUGGUAUUAGAGCAUUUUAUUAGUUUUUUUUCUUUUUCUUUUUCCUUUCCCAACACAACUACUAACAACCCCAUGUCCCCAAUCCUACCAAACACUACCAUUCACAAUAUGAAUGACUCUCAUAGCACCUUGAUUAGCAUCAAUGUUGCAACCCAAACUCCAUUAAAACUCACAUCUACCAACUAUGUGUCCUAGAAACUACAAUUUCAAACAUUGUUCGUUGGCUAUGAUCUUUUGGGAUAUGUAGAUAGAUCAAAGCGUUACCGAACUACAACUCUCACCCAAAAUGGAGUCACUAUAUCAAAUUCAACUUAUACAAUUUGGAUUCAAUAGGAUCAAUUACUUAUGAAUGUGAUAAUUGGUUCAUUGUCUCUUGCGACAAUUCUAUCAUUGCAAAAGUAAAAACUUCACAAAAAGCAUGAACAAUUUUAGCCACCACAUAUGUUAAGCCAUCCCAAGGAUGAAUCAAGUAGGUUAAAACCCAACUCAAGAGUCUUACCAAGGGAUCUAUGGGUGUCACUAAAUUCCUUUAGAUCAUCAAAGUUAGAGUUGAUGAACUCACAAUUCUUAGUGCACCAGUUGACGAUGAGGUUCUUAGAAAAAAUUCUAGAUGGUCUUGGAGAAGACUACAAAGAACUAGUUCAUGCAAUUCAAACCAAAUACAAUCUCAUUUCCUUUAAGGAACUACAUGAAAAUCUUCUCAACUUUGAAGCAUUUCUCUAAGGUACCAAACCUGAUCCUUCAUAUUUCCCUGUUUCUAAUAAUCUAAUGAGUUGCACCAACUAUGGGUAGCGCAACUCAUCCACCUCUAAUCGUAACUUAGGACACACCAACAAUAGUUUGCAUUUAUCUUCAACCAUUGGUAGUAACAAUACAAGCUAGCACAUGUCGCCUACCUCUAGUAUUCGCUUUCUUGCAUCAACAAAUGUCGAGCUUAACACAUCUCGAAAAACUUGUAAUUCUUCACAACUUUAUCUUGGCUAUUUCCAAAUCUACUAAAUUCAAAACAUACUAUCAUAUGUUGCCUUUCAUUCCAUUUAGUACUAGUUGAAUCCUCUAAUACCUUUAGUGCAUAAAUGUCAUCCUCUCCAUGGCAACUAUGAGCAUGGAGGAAAAUAUCGGGAAAUAUUGACGAUAUAUCGCCGAUAUAUCUUGUAUCGGGAGGCGGCGACACGGCAUUUCCAGGAGAAAAAUCGGGGGGACGAUUUUUCGCAAAAAAUCGCCAAUAAAUCGCCGAUAAAUCGGCGAUAUAUCGGUGGAAAUCGAUAAAUCGGCGAUUUCUCCAAAUAAUCGCCUGUGGCCGCGGAAAAUCGCCGACUUUUUGGAGAUAUUUCGCUCCUUUCUCUAGCGCGAUCUGACGGCCCAGAUCACGCCCGCGUUGAUCCAACGCACCAGAUGCGAUUCCAACAUUAAUAAUGUGAUCCAACGGCCAGAUUUGUCCUAGUUUGUGAUCCAACGGCCAGAUUUGAAUUUCAACGGUAAAUUGGUGUUCCAACGGCUAUUUUGGCCCAAAUUUCCUCUAUAAAUAGCCAUUUUUCCAUCAAUUUCACCUAUUUUUGCUUUCAUUCUUCAUUUGCUCUCUCAUUACUCCAAUUUUAAGGUAUGUUUAUUUUAAAUUGUAAUUAAUUUUGUUUGCAAUUGUAAUUAAUAUGGAUGAUUUAAUGUUAUUUUUAUAUUCAAUAGUAAUUAAUUUGUAUAUUUUUAUUGAAUUGACUUAGGUUAAUUUGAUUAUUUAAUUAUAAAUUGAUAUGUUUAUUUUAGAUGAUUAUUUGUGAUUUAGUUUCACAUUUAGAAUGAUUAUUUGUGAUUUAGUUUCACAUUUAAUUAAUUUAAUUAACAUGCUAAAUUAUUUAAUUAAUUUAAUUAACAUGAACUAGUAUAUUUUGAAUAUAAAAUAUGUUCAUUUUUAUGAUUAUUGGGAUUUUUUUUCAUAUGCAAUUAUGAUUAGUUUUUAAUUUAGUAAAUUUAUCAUAGAAUUAGAUCUAGAUUUAAAAAAUUAACUUAGCUAAAUUAUUUAAUUAGUUUAAUUAACAUGAACUACUAUAUAUGGAAUAUUAAAUAUGUUCAAUUUUUAUGAUUAUCAUGAUUUAGUUUCAUAUCCAAUUAUGAUUAAUUUUUAAUUUAGUAAAUUUUUCAUAGAAUUAGAUUUAGAUUCAAAAAAUUAACUUAGCUAAAUUAUUUAAUUAGUUUAAUUAACAUGAACUACUAUAUAUGGAAUAUUAAAUAUGUUCAAUUUUUAUGAUUAUCAUGAUUUAGUUUCAUAUCCAAUUAUGAUUAAUUUUUAAUUUAGUAAAUUUUUCAUAGAAUUAGAUUUAGAUUCAAAAAAUUAACUUAGCUAAAUUAUUUAAUUAGUUUAAUUAACAUGAACUACUAUAUAUGGAAUAUAGUAGUAGACCUAGUGCUGCAGGUACUUCUGCUUCUGGUUACGAUGGUUCAAGAGGUGGAACCGAUGAUGGAGGUGAUAAUGCGGGAGGAGAUAUUAAUGAACGUCAACAUAAUCAAUAUCCAGUCAGCCAAUUCACCUGUGAAAAUACUUUCACACACUGCACAUAGGAUGAAGACCAUGGUUCUAGAAGAGCUGGUCCAGGCAUAGGAGCUAUUGGGAAGCCUUAUAGAGGAAGAGAAUGAAUGAUGGAACCAUAUAAUGAGGAGUUACUUUCAGGGAGUUUUGAAUCUAUGAGUAUAGGAACUCAAUUUAGUGACUCCUCGAAUGAGGCUAAUGUCUACCCUCCUCAUGUGAUGAGUUAUGGUCAACCUUCAAGUUCAACAGAUGAAGAGUAUGGUAUGUCGCGUUAUUCACCUUCUAGACAAAUGCCUUACCAAGUUCCAUAUCAGAUGGAAGGAGGAUUGGGCAUUAACACAUGGGUGAACUUUGAGUAUCCUAUCCAUGUAGAGGCAGUGGGCAGGACUCAAGAGAUAUAUGCAUGGCAUGUUAGAAUUUUUAACCAAUAUUAUCGAGGCUCAUUGAGUUGGUACCAAUAUUGUCUCCAACAGCAAGACGACGUUCCUUCAUCUAUCAAUCCCAUUGAACCACAUCGAUCUUCAUUUUGGUAUUAAAGGGACAUUGUAAUGUAAUGUGUACAAAUUAUUGCUAUUUAAUGAAAUGAAGUAUUUUAUGUGACUUUAUAAUGAGAACAAUUACAAAAUUAACAUUUCUUAUAGAUCGACAUGAUAUAAUUACAUUUAAUAUCGCAAAUUAUAUCAUAUGUAUAUCAAUUUUUUUCUACAAAACAACUUUAAAAUGUCUAUUAUACUUCUAAUUAUAUUAUUAUGAAGUUUUCUUUACAUUUCCAUGAGUUUUUAACAAUUUUAAGCCUACCGAUAUUUUUUUCCAAAAUAUCAGCCAAUAUAUCUCCGAUAUAUCUGAUAUAUCCGUAAAAUCGAAGUACCGAUAUAUCCGUGAUUACCGAUAUUUUCUUCCAUGAACUCCAACAUGCCAACAUGGCUUUUGGACAAUGGUGUUUCUUAUCACAUCACCUCCAACAAUGCUUCCAUUGAAUUUUUACCAUAUUCUUUUCCUGUGAAGGAACUUCACACAAGGGUAACACUUUUGUUAAUUAGUUCUCAUUAAUGUUAUCUGAUGUAUGUUGUAAUUUCUAAUGAUUAAAUAUUGUUUAUAAUUAUAAAAGUAGGAUACACAAAAAAAUUAUGUGUUAUUAUGGGUGUGGAUGUAUGUGUAUUUUCAUGUCAAAAACACAAAAGAACAAUGGUCAUUGGUUUUAUUGUUGUCCAUUAUAUUAUGUAAGUAUAUUUAACUAUCACAUGAAAAUAAAUUAAUAUUAGUAAAAUACACACAUCAUAUUUUAUUCUUUUUAACAAUUUAUGUAUUUUAGGAACAUCCUCAAUACUUUAUAUGGGUUCACAAGUAUGAUUCACAAUAACACAAACAAUUACUUGCCAACUUAUGACGCCUAAUGCCUACAACAAAUCUUAAAAGUCGUCUUCUACUUAUUGGUUAAUUAUUGUGAGUGUAGCAUCAUUGUGUGUUUUUAUUUAUUUAUUAUUAUUUAUCAUUUUUCUUCUUUUUAUUUUAAUUAUUGCUAAAUGAAUGUAUAUAUUAUCUAAAAAAUUGUCAUCUAUAAACUCUAUAACUUUAAUAUAUUAUAUUAAAAUAUGAUUUCGAUAUCAUAAUACUUAUAGUAUUUAUUUGUGUUAAUAUUGAUUGUGUUAGUAUACAUAUAAUUUGGAUGAUUUUUUUAACGAAAACAUGUAUUAAUACGAUUCAUUUAUGUUCAAAAUGAGUAGGGAGUUUACCAAAUGUACGAAUAAAAAUAUUAUUGAAAUAAAAUAUAGUUAGAUAUGUUUACAAAGUAAUCCUUUAUUUAAAAAAAUUAUAAUUGGUAUAAAAAUUUUAAAAUGGAACAAUUUUUUUAAUUUAAAUGAAGUGUGAAUUUAAAAAUUAUUUAUAUAUUUACAAUAUUAACUUAAUUGAAGAAAACACUAAUUAAUUAAAAAAAAAAAACAACGUUCAAACAUAUUUUUGUUUUACUUGUUCUAAAAAAACUGUUUUAUUAAUUCAACUAAACAUAUUUUUUUUAAAACAAAAACUAUUUUCCAAAAUUUAGUUCCCAAACACAAUUUUUUUUCGAAAACACCAAAAACUAGUCUUAAAACCUGUUUUCCAAAGCAGUUUUCAAAAACAGCAACCAAACAAACCCUUAUGUUCCAUUUUUUUUUAAUGAUUUUUCUUAAAAUUAUUUAAAGAUUUUUGGUAUUAUUUCAUAGAGAGAAGAAAUAAGAAAAAAAUUAUUUUCUAUUAUAAAUGAAGUAGUGAAUGCCACCACAUUAUUAUAAUAAAUGUUAAUUAAAGAUUAUUUAUGACUUCCAUUAAUUCAACAUUAAUGGAAACCAUUUGAAAAGCCUAUAAAAAGGCUUCCCAUCGCUUGUGUAACAAAUAUCGUGAGCAAAAAAGAAUUUUUUUUUCUCAUUCUCUCAACUCUCUUAUUUGACUAUUUACAUAAUAUAUAUAUAUAUUUGUUUCUACUUUUAUUUGCAUUUAUUCUCAUUUUACAACACAUUAUCAGUACGAAUUGCUCUAAAGGUAAUUCUCGUAUUUUAAACUUGAAGUUGUUUGUAUAGAAUAAAUUUUACAUAUUUAUAUUCCUAUUGAUUUUAUUCAUUUAAAUUAUGUUAUAUAUUAUCAAAAUUUAUAAGCAAAUUAUUUGGUUUUAAUUAUAAUAAAAAAUUAUACUACUAUUAUCAAUUUAUUGUAACUAAUUCUAAUAAUAUUAUUUUUUCAUAUAUUUGAAGUUAUUUAACGAUGUUGAAUCUCACAAAACUCACAUUUGUGGCACUUGACAUUUUAGGAAAGAACUAUCUAUCUUGGAUUCUUGAUACUGAAAUACAUCUUGAUGUAAUGAAUCUUGGAACAACGAUCAAAAAAGAAAAUCAAGCAUCCCUAUAAGAUCGUGAAAAAGUGUUGAUUUUCCUUUGCCAUAAUAUCCAUGAAGGUUUAAAAAAUGAGUAUCUUAUAGUAAAGGAUCCUUUUACUAUAUGGAGUGAUUUGAAGGAAAGAUAUGACCACCAAAAAACAGUGAUUCUCUCAAAAGCUUGACAUGAUUGAAUACACUUAAAAUUGCAAGAUUAUAAAACUGUUAGUGAAUAUAACUUUGCAUUGUUCAAAAUCAACCUUCAAUUAAAACUGUAAGGAGAAAAAAUACAAAAAAAGACAUGUUAGAAAAUUUUUUUACUACAUUUCUUGCCUCGAAUGUGCUCCUGCAAUAGUAAUAUUGAGAGCGUAUAUUUACAAAAUACUCUAAAUUAAUAUUAUAUCUUCUUGUUACUGAACAAAAUAAUGAGUUUUUGAUAAGAAAUCACCAGUCUCGUCCAACCAGAUUUGAACCAUUCUUUAAAGUGAAUGCAAUAUCAUCCCAAACUCUUGGACGUGGAUGAGGAAGAGGACAUAGUCAUGGUCAUGGAAGGAAUCCCCAACACUAUGGUUCUUAUGGUAGUAAUUCCUCAAAUUCUCAGAAGAAAAAAAAGCCUCAUUACACCACCAAAAGUGGAGUAAUACUAAGGCAAAACAAGAAAAUUGAUGUGGUAUGCAAAAAGACAUUAGACGUGUACCUAUCGUACACCAAAACAUUUGGUCGACCUUUACCAAACAUCAAUAAAAACAAAAGAAAAAAAGAUAAAGAUAAACUUUACCGAUGGUGAUGGAUUGGACUUAACUUAUUAUGACAUUGAUUUCUUUGGAAGUCUUAGUGAAAAAAUUGACCAUUUAAUAAAUGAUGAGAAUACUAACAUUGACUAAUGUUACUUUAUAUAUCAAAUAAUAUAUUAUUGUAUCUUAUAUUUGCAUCUGAUAUUAAUAAAAGCUAAUGUAAGUACCAUAUCUAGUACUACAAACUUGGUUGAAGGCUUUGAAAAAGCAAACAUAAUACUACCAAAUGGAACUAGAUUCCAUAUAAAUGGUGUUUUAUAUUCUAGCAAUUCCAAAAUAAAUUUGCUCAAUUUUAAAGAUAUCUGCAUAAAUGGAUCUCAUAUUGAAAAUAUAAAUGAAGAUAAUGUAGAAUAUCUUUACAUUACUUCUAUUAUAUAUAGCUAAAAGCUUAUGGUGGAAAAACUUUCGAUUUUUUCCUCUGGGCUGUAUCAUACAAUUGUAAAGCUUAUUGAAUCAUAUAUUGUUGUGAACCAAAAGUUCAACAACCUAAAAACUUUUAUUUUUUGGAAUAACAAGCUAGGUCACCCAGGGCCUUUAAUGAUGUGUUGAAUAAUAGAACACUCACAUGGGCACCACUAAAGAACUAGAAGAUUCUUUUGCCUAAUGAAUACUCAUGUACUACUUGCUCAAAAGGUAAAUUGAUAGUUAAACCACAUUUUACUAAAGUCAUAUCCGAGUUACUAGUCUUUUUAGAAAGAAUACAUGGGAACAUAUUGUGGACCCUCACCCGAUCCACCGAUCGAUGCGACUCGCUAUUUUAAAGGUGAAAGGGAAAGCUGGUUUUCGAGUUUUGAAAAGUUAGUCCUAGUGAGGAAUGGUUUGGUUUGGAGUCACCACUUAAUUUUUAUUUUUAUUUUUUAAUGGGGAAAAUUUAAGUAAGAACAAAAACCCCAGCAUGACUCCAUUCAGGAAAAAGUGGUCUACGAAAACUAGAUUCUGAGUCUGGGGAUCAGGUUACCUAUCGGGAAGGAACCUCAUGCGAGGUAGUACCACUCUAGGCCUGAAACUCGGUCUCUACUAAUGAACUGGGUAUAUGGGAGCAUAUGGGUCAAAGAUCAAACAAAACUUGGGCUAAACAAAUGACAUGAAUCACAUAGACUCGCCUAGUAUUUAGCAUGCACACACACUCAACAAGUCAAAAUCAGAGUGCAUACCUGAGGUCCCCAGCCGAGCGUUGCAUAAGAGGUCAGUCAAUAAGCUCAAAUGCACAACAAAUAUACAUAGCAAUCAUGCACUAAGCAUUCAUGUGAAUUUCAUUAUCCAAAGUCGAAGUGCAUACCUGUGGUCCCCAGCCAUGUGCUAUAAGGAAAAUGUGAGGCAAGUAAUACAAGCAUACAACAUGCACUCUCAAUCAAACAUCAAAUCUCAUACCCAAAAAGGAGGGAAGCAGGUCGAAAUGAAAUAAAUGGUUUGCUUUCUUUUGAACACAUUUCUCUAAAUUCCAUCAAACCAAACCAUGCUCACUUAACCCAUAUUCUUCCCAUCCAUGAAAUCUAACCAAACCAAACUCUGACCCUAAAGGUGGCCCACAAGUGCCUUGGAGCCUAAGGGCUCAAGCCACAAUAAAAAUAGGGGUCAAAACAUGCUAAAACUGGGGCUGCCUAGCAUAACCUAUUGAACCGGUUAUCAACUGGUCCAACCGAUUGAGAAAAAAUUUGAAAAUUUACCAUCAGAUUCCUUGAAUAAUAAGGAAUCCAACACAAAAAACGGUGCUCAAUUCCGAGUUCGGAUGAGGGAGAACCGGCAGAAACAAUGCAAUGUGUUUAUAAAAUGGGGCUGCCUAGCAGAAUUGGUUGAACCAGUUCCCAACUGGUCCAACCGAUUGAUAAAAAUUAUGAAACUUUACCAUCAGAUUCCUUGAAGAAUAAGGAAUCCAAAAAAAAAAAAAAAAAAACAGCACUCAAUUCCGAGCUCGGAUGAGGGAGAACCUGCCGAAACAAUGCAAUGUGUUUAUAAAAUGGGGCUGCCUAGCAGAACCUGUUGAACGGGUUCUCAACCAGUUCAACUGAUUGAAAAAAAAAAUCUAAAACUUUACUAGAAGCUUCCUCGAAGAAUAAGGAAUCCAACAAAAAAAACAGCGCUCAAUUCCAAGUCUGGAUGAGGGAGAACCGACCGAAACAAUGCAAUGUGUUCCUUGUAGAAGGCCAAACCCGAGCCACCCAACCUUAUUAAAACUAAGGCCACGGAGCUCAUUAAUCAACCAACAAUGCAGCCCCCCUGAACUCAAGAAAACCAGCUGAAAAUUCGGCCACACGGACAUCCACAUGCGGCCACCUAAAUCCCCUGAAACCAAACUGAAAUUUCAUUCACCUGAAGUCUCCCACCUACAGCUACUUAAAUCCCAUGGAACAAACUAAAAUUUCAGCCUCCUAUAGCCUAUGAAUCCAACUGAAAUUCAGCCACCUAAAGCUCCCACAAUGGAGCUACUGGAAUCACCAAGAAGAAAAUUGAAAUUUCAACCCCAUAGAACCUCUACAUGUAGCCACAAGACCUAGGGUUUAAGUUCAGAUUAUUGAUGGGUAGCCCCAAAUUAAAAAAAAAAAACAAACAGAGAAGGUCAUGGAGACCUCUUCUCAAUACCAAGCAAGGGAGGUGUCAAGAAAAACCAAGUGGCAGGAACGCCCAAACUAACAUAGCCACCUGAAUCUAGCAUCUAAGAAGUUCCUCAAUCCAAAGCUACAAGGCCAUAAGAAUCCUUCCCUUAACAAUCAGGAGGUCACAAUGACCUUCAACCAAAACCAAAACUAAUGAAGGCAGUGACCCUAUUACUCACACAUCAAAAGUAGGUCACUCCCCCCCCACCCCCACCCCCCAUUCCUGAUCAGAACCAACCCAAAAUAAGACAUCCAUAACAAACAUAAAAAAUGAAACCAUGCAACAGUUACAUAUCAAGAGCAUCCAUAAAGCUUACCAGAUUGUUCUCAUCUCAAGAAAAAAAUAUGCUUGGCUUCAAGGCUGCCUUUCCUUCAAGUCCUCACCAAUCUUGGACAGAGUUUCCUCCCCCCUCCUAGAAAAAAUGCCAAAGAAAGGUACUUCUCUCUUUCUAUUCUGGCUUUUUAUACCAGAACCACUGCUCUUCACACUUCCACCUUCAUUUUUUCCUCCUACAGCUCUAGAAAGUGCCCCCAUCAACCUCGGAAACCAGCUCCAUAAACACUCCUCACAGUUCACGAGGUGAGCUGCUCUCUCCACAUUUACUCUUUUGCUUCACCACCAAGAAUCCAUAUAGAUUCAUGGUGGGCUGCAAGAAACUCGAACCAAGGCCCAAAAUGGACCUAAAAUAUUUCCCAAGACCAAUCUGGAGCUUAUGGGCCUGAGCCAUGUAGGAUUUGGGCUCCAAAAUCACCAAAAAACAAUGCUUUAUACAAGCUGGCCCAAUGAACUGGUUGAACUGGUUUCCAACUGGUCAAUCCGGUUGAGAGAAAAAUUUAAAUUUUUAUAGAAUAUUCCUUGAAUAAUAAGGAGUCCAUAAAAAAAAUGGUGCACAAUUCCGAGUUCGAAUGAGGGAGAUAUGAUCAGAACAAGCCCAAGUGCUCCGAAUUCAGACAUGCUCCAAUGAACUCUGACUGAACUGAAACUUUGGGGACCGGUCGAGCUGGUUGAGAAAAAAUUUGAAAAUUUUAAAGAAUACUCCUUGAAGAACAAGGAGUCCUUAAAAAAAACGGUGUGUGAUUCCGAGUUCGGAUGAGGAAGAUAUGAUCGAAACAAGCCUAAGUGCUCCGUAUUCGAACCUACUCCUAUGAACUCCAACUGAACUGAAACUUUGGGGACCGGUCGAGCCGGUUGAGAAAAAAUUUGAAAUUUUGACAGAAUAUUUCUUGAAGAACAAGGAGUCCAUAAAAAAAAACGGUGUGUGAUUCCAAGUUCGGAUGAGGGAGAUAUGAUCGAAACAAGCCCAAGUGCUCCGUAUUCGAACUUGCUCCUAUGAACUCCAACUGAACUGAAGCUUUGGGGAUCGGUCGAGCUGGUUGAGAAAAAAAAUUGAAAUUUUUACAGAAUAUUCCUUGAAUAAAAAGGAGUCCAUAAAAAAAAUGGUACGCAUUUCCGAGUUCGAAUGAGGGAGAUAUAACUAAAAACAAGGCGGAGUGCCCCGUAUUCGAACCUGCUCCUAUGAACUCUGGAUGGACUAAAACUUUGGGGACCUGUCGAGCCGGUUGAGAAAAAAUUGAAAUUUUGAUAGAAUAUUCCUUGAAGAACAAGGAGUCCAUAAAAAAAAAAAAAACAGUGAACGAUUCCGAGUUCGGAUGAGAGAGAUAUGACUAAAAACAAGGUGGAGUGGCCCAUAUUCGAACUUGCUCCUAUGAACUCCAAUUGAACUGAAGUUUUGGGGAUACCUCACUUCCUUCCUUUAGCAUGAUGUGAACAACUAGGGAAUUGGCCAUGACGGCACUCCAAAAUGAACUACACACUCGCACUACAUUGGACCGUAGAUGAACCUACACAAGGCUCGAAAACCGAUCAAACCCAAAAGGGGGCCAUGGCGAUGCCAUACAUAAAAAAAUAGGUGGAUGUGACACCCUAAAGAUAAAUGCAAGUGUCGAAGGAAAAAAUUGAGGGUCUACACAUAUAUGGGUCUAUCCAUCCACCAUGUGGACCAUUUCAUUAUUUUAUGAUCUUAAUAAUGCCUCUACUAGGUGGUCACAUGUUUGUCUCAUUUCUACAUGUAAUGUUGCAUUUGCUAGACUUUUUGCACAAAUGAUUAGAUUAUGAGCACAAUUUCCAGACCAUCCAAUCAAGACAAUAUAUCUUGAUAAUGCCGAUGAAUUUACUUCUCAAACAUUCAUUAACUACUACAUGUCAGCAAGGAUAAAUAUUGAGCAUCCUAUUACUCAUACUCUCAUACACAAAAUGGUUUAGCUAAAUCUUUCAUCAAACAUCUCCAAUUAAUAACUUGACCAUUAUUAAUGAAAACCAAAUUACCUACUUCUGCUUGGGAACAUGCUAUUCUGCAUGUUGCAACUUUAGUCCAUAUUCGACUAACAUCUUACCAUGAAUACUCCCCUUCACAACUCAUACUUAGAAAACAACCAAAUAUCUCUAACGAAUCUUUGGUUGUGCAGUAUACGUAUCAAUUGCACCUGCACAAUGCACUAAAAUGGGUUCCCAAUAAAGACUUAGGAUUUAUGUAGCUUUUGAUUCUCCAUCUAUCUUAAGAUAUCUUGAACCUUUGACAACCCGCUUUAUGGAUUAUCAUUUAAAUGAGUGUUUUCCCGCCAUUAGGGGGAGAAAAGUUGAUUCCUAAAGAAGAACGAGAAAUUACUUGGAAUGUAUCUACUAUAUCUCAUUUUGAUCCUCAUACAAAUUAAUGUGAACUAGAAGUUUAAAGGGUCAUUCUUUUGCAAAAUCUUGUAAAUCAAUUACCAAAUGCAUUCAUUGAUACAAAGAAAGUGACAAAGUCACAUAUCCCGACUACAAAUACUCCAACACAGAUUGAUGCCCUUUAGGACAAUUAACAAAUGAAUCUAAGAUAUGCCUAAAGCGUGGUAGACCUGUCGGCUCAAUGGAUGUAACUCCCCAAAAGAAGAGAACACAAGGAAAACUUGGCACUCUAGAAGAGGUCAUCAAAAUGACUAAUCAGUCUAAAAUUGAUAAAUCUAUAGCCCUAGAAGAGCUACAAAUAAUGUAAAAAGCCCCUGAAAAGGCACAUAUUGAACAAAAAUCCCUUAAAGAGGCACAUAUUGAACAAGUAGCUCCUAAAAAGGCAUAAGUGUCUGAAAAUUGUGAGAUCUCAGUAAGUUAUGUACACACGGGAGAAAAAUAGGAUCAAAAUAAUAUUGUUAUUAACAAUAUUUUUGUUUCCCAAGUGGCUUCUGAUAUCAUAAGAAAUGAUGAAGAUCCUGAACCACAAAAUGUGGAAAAAUGCCAACAUAGAAAUGUUGGCUAAAAUGGAAAUAAGUUAUGCAGAUAAAGUUAAACACGUUAACAAAAUGAGAAGAUGUAAAGCCUGUUGGGUAUAAAUGGGUAUUUGUAAAAAAACACAAUGAGAAUAAUGAGAUCAUAAGAUAUAAAGUGCAAUUAGUAGCACAAGGUUUCUUGUAGAGACCUGGUACUGUACUUUCUCAUUCUAGACGCAAUCACAUUUUUUUUCUUAAUUAGCUUGGUAGUCUUAAAAUGACUAAAUAUGCGUUUGAUGGAUGUUAUUACAACAUAUUUGUAUGGAUCCAUGGAUAAUGAUAUAUACAUAAAAAUACCUAAAGGAUUUAAAUUUCCUUAAGCAAAUAGUACAAAGGCUCAUAGCAUGUACUCAAUGAAGUUACAAUGAAACUUGUAUGGAUUAAAGCAAUCUGGAUGCAUGUGGUACAAUUUCUUUAGCGAAUGCCUAUUAAAAGAAAUGCAUGUGAAUAACACUAUAUAUCCAUGCAUUUUUAUUAAGAAAUCUAAACUCGAAUUUGCAAUUACUGUAGUGUAUGUUGAUUACUUAAAUCUUGUUGGGACUUCUGAAGAGCUCAUAAGAAUAAUAAUUAUUUGAAAAAAGAAUUUGAGAUGAAAGAUCUUGGAAAAACAAAAUUUUGGCUCAGCCUGUAAAUCGAGUAUUUUCCAAAUGGAGUUUUAAUACAUCAAUCAACAUAUAUUAAGAAAACUUUGAAGCAUUUUUAUAUGGAUAAAGUGCAUCCUUUAAAUUCUCCAAUGGUUGUUCAAUCACUUGAUAUGAAAAAGGACUCAUUUUGUCCUUGCGAGAAAAUGUGAAGAAUGACUCCAUCAUAAAGUAUCAUAUCUUAGUGCUAUUGGUGCAGUUAUGUAUCUUGUCAAUUGUACAUGCCCAAAUAUAGUUUUUUUUUAUCAAUUUAUUAGUAAGAUGCAGUUCCGCUCCAACCUAAAGAAAUUGAAAUGGUAUCAAACAUAUAUUGCUAUAUCUUCUCGGAACUACUAAUAUGGGUCUAUUUCACUAAAGGGAAUCAAAACAACAAUUGCUUUGAUAUAUAGAUGCAUGAUAUCUUUCAAAUCCACAUAAAGCUAGGUCACAAAUAGGAUAUGUGUUUAAUUGCAAUGGUAAUGCUAUUUCAUAGAGAUUUUUCAAACAAAAAAUGGUGCUCACAUCAUCAAAUCAUUCAAAAAUACUUACAAUUCAUGAAGCAAGUUGUGAAUGUAUAUGGUUAAAAUCUAUGAUUCAACAUAUUCGAGAAUUAUGUGGACUCUUCUUUAUCCAAGGUGACUUGACAAUAUUGUUUGAAGAUAAUGCUGCAUGUAUUGUUGAUAUACUAUUCAAAACUAACCUUCCCCUCAACCAAGCUCAAUUUAUCUUAAACAACAAAAACCACUCUCUCAUAGGUCAAGAACGCACCUGUUUUAAUUUAUUUAUUUUUUUCAAAGGCCUUAUUGUAGGAGUGCAAUGCUAAAGGUAUCUCCAAGUAUAUAGUCCAUGUAGCAGGGAUUCAUCAAUGACUCCUAACUAUAAGGCAUAGGGCACCAAGUUUAUAGGACUAAUUCAACCACUAACUUCUCGGACUUCACCCCAAACUCCACAAAUUAAGAUCCAAUACCUUAGCACCUACAAUUGAGCUCAUACUCCACCUAUUAACCCAUGUAAUGAGCAUUGAGGUCGAUGAAUCUCAACCAAAAUGGCGGGGCUUUAAAGACCUUUGGGCCAUACACCCCUCGGACCUUGCUCGGAUUUCAAGGCAAGCAUAACUUAACCUUUUUAUUCAUCAACAUUUUUAUUUAUUUAUUUAAAGUUGGGCACAUUGGCCUCUUUUCAAGGUGUUUCAACUCAACUUGAAAGUAAUUCAUGCUACUAAGAAAAUUGAGUCCAAGUCUCAAGGUUAAACUAGUUUUUCAUAUUAUAUCAGGGGUUUAGAAUGCACAGUGUGUGUUAAGACUCAAUUAGAAAUGACCUUUGGGAAAAGGAAAACUUCAAAGUCAAAUCAACUUUAAUCCACAUAACAAGUUUUCUAAGAUAAAGCAAAUGAGCUUGUAUUCCAAUUGUUCAAGCUAGGUAUGCUCAUUCAUCAAACACAAGUGCUAUGUUUUUCUAUAAUAAAAAAUUACCAAUUAAGUUAAAAAAAAAAAUCUAGCUAAGAAAACUAUCACAAACAAAACAAGGAAAAAAAAAUCUAGCAAUUCUAAAUCAACAAAUCCUUUUUUCUUCCUUUCCUACCCCCCCUCUUCCAACCAAACUAAACAUUGUCCUCAAUGUUAAUUGAGAAAAUGCAAAGAAAGAAAGGGAAAGGUACUUGCAAAGCAUUGUUUUUCAGUUCCUAUAGUAUCCUCAAACAUGAGAUGGAGGAGAGACGAUGAUCUCUGAAAAUUUUGCAUAACCAUGUGAAAUGGUUCAGGAAGCUAUUGAAUUUGUUGUUGCUCUAUUGAUUUUGCACGACCCUGAUAAAUUGGUUUUCUUUAUGCGAAAUGGUUGAGCUCAUGCAAAAUGAUUAUUUUGCUAAUUAACUCCAGAUUGCUAAAUGGAGAAGUUUCCAAAAGAUCUUUUAGAUGAACCCAAGUGUCCACUUGAUCUUGGCUUAUAAAUAGAAACUUGAAUAUUUCAUUAAAAAUAUUUUGAACACUUUUUAUUGUAGAAUUUUCUAGAUCCUCUCUCUUAAUAGAAUUCUCUAUUUUCCUUCAUUUUCUCACUAGCCAAACAUGCCUUGUGAGACCAAAUCUCCAAGCAUUAGUUACUAAAUCUAAUUUUUUUCGGAAGAAGGAUCUAGAGGCAAGAUCCAUGAUGUAUUAGAGAAAUGAGCUUGAAUUGCAAAGACAAUUUGAUCCAAUUAAUUGAUUACUUGAAUUUUUGAGAUUUUUCUUUUCAAAUUAUCUUGAAUGACUAUUACAUUGCAAACUAGGUAGAUUCAUUAAAUUCUUAAAGCUAGAUUUGAUGAGAUCGAAUAAUUGCUUUGUAUGAAUCAUUGAAAUAUGAUUUAAGAUGAAUUGAAUAUAUAGUUUAAAUCGAUCUCUUGGAUUAAAUAAACUAAUUUGAAGAGAAAUUAGGUCUAAACUUAAAGCUAAAUCUAAAAUCGGUUUAGAUGAGAAUUUAUGUUUUCAUUAUAACUUGAUGAAAAAUAGAUCUCAACAUUUAUUCACCAUGGAAAUUGUUUUCUAAAAAAAUCCUAACUUCGAGAAUUUUUUUUCCUAUUAAUUUUUUUCUAUUUUACAUUUCAUUGUUUUUCUCAAUUAGAAACCAUUGUUAUUUUGAUUUUUCACCAUGAAUUGUCAAAUCAAUUUCACUUUAUCAUAAUAAUUUCUUUUCUUCCCAUUUAAGUCUUAAUUACCAAGAAUAAUCCAUCUUAGUAGACGUCACCUAAAAAUCACUAUACUAUGGUAGUUUGUAUUAAAACCAUUUUUAAUCGGGUAUAAGCUACUCUAGAAUAGUGAAUUAGGUUAUAAAUUAUGUUUUGAUGUGAUAAACGACGAAAAAAAGUAAUCGAUAAAAAAUGACGUCGUUGCCGGAAUGGGGUGAUGCAACUCACCUUUGGAAAUAUGACUCUUGAGCUGAAUAUUUUCCAUCUAUGCAAGAGACAUUCAAAUCAAGAUGAGGAUGAACAAGAAGUUUACUUGAUUGACACUCUUAUUGAAAAACAUGUGGAAGGACUAAUGAAUGCAAAGUUGGAGAAGACUUAUGAAGAAUUUGAAGAAAAUGAAGUAGAAGAAGAAAUUGAGGAAGCUAACGAAAUUACCUCCAUUAAUAAUUUUAUGCAAUGAAAAACAAAAGAGAAGUCUUUACCUCUAACCAAUGAUGAAAAAGAAAAAAAGGAAGAAUCACCUAAGCUCAAUCUCAAACCAUUGCCAAAUGAUUUGAAAUGUGCAUAUCUUGAUGAAGAUAAGUAUCUGGUGGUAAUCUCUUCAAAACUAUCACGCUAAUAAGAAACUAAUUGGUUGGAAGUUCUAAGGAAAUACAAAGAAGCUAUUGGAUGGUCCAUUUAUGAUCUUAAAGGGAUAAGUCCUUUGGUAUGCACUCACCACAUUUAUUUGGAGGAAAAUGCAAAACCAAUUCGUCAACCUCAAAGACGAUUGAAUCCUCACAUUCAAGAAGUUAUUCGAAAUGAUGUAUUUAAGUUGCUACAAGCUAGAAUUAUCUACUCUAUUUCAUAUAGCACUUAGGUAAGUCCUACCCAAGUUGUGCCUAAAAAUUUGGGAGUGAUCGUGGUACAAAAUGAAAAAGGAGAAUCUAUUCCCACAAGGUUGACUACGAGAUGGGGGGUGGUGUGUACUGACUAUUGAAAGCUGAAUUUGUUUUUUUUAUUUAUUGAAUUGCCUAUGGAAGAGCUAGUGAAAGAAAAUGUAGAAGACAAUUUUUCAAAACUUGGUGAAGCAAUUUUCAAUGAAUAGAUUAAAGUUUGGAGGAUCAAUGAAGAGGCUUUUCGGCUUGAAGAAAGUGAAAACAAUGAAGCAUGGCAUGUGCAAUAAUCCAAAGACCAUGAAAAAAAAAGAGCUCAAGGAAUGGCAUGACCAACUUAAAGGAACAAGUUCAAAGAAGUCUAUUUCAAGCCACAUUUUUUUCCAGGAAAGCUUAAGUACCAAGGAGUUGGUCCAUUUAUUGUUUGCAAGCCAUGUCCAAAUCGAGCAUUGAUGCAAGGGUUGAUGGGCUUAGUCUUCUCAAAGACUAGCUAGCCCAAUGGUUUCUCAUUUCUCUAUUUUCCUUUGAAUUUUGAUUUUUUUUUUUAAUUUUUCUUUUAGUAAUUUUUCUUUUAGUUUCUAUUAAAUAAAUCCAUUUCAACUCUUUGAUUUGUGUUUUGAAGGAUAUGUCAAAAUGAUGGAAUACGACAAGUAAGGCAAGAGGAAAUUUUAAGGCCUUAGAUCCAUUUUGCACAAUCAUGCAAAAACAAAGGGGUUCAUACUAAUUUUCGCAUCACUAUGCGAAAAUUAUGUUGAAGGCUGCAAUAAAAAAUAAAAAAUAAAAUAAAAUAAAAAAGCUCAUUGGACCAAUUCGCAUGACCGUGCCAAAUUUAUUUUAAAAGAAGAGAAUUGUUGCAGUACAUUUCACCUUCUUGUCUAGUUUGCACACUUGUGUGAAACUUUAAAAACUCCAUGAGAAUCAUUGACUCAUCAUUGAAAUCAUGUUUUCUUUGGACAUUGUCAUCAUCUAUACCUCGAUUUUACUCCACACAUUGUAUCUCUAACAUAGUUUUUUCUCUUAUAUCAUAGAUAUCUGACAAUUAUCAUAUUUGAUCUUAUUUUUGUUUCAACUAUUGAAGUUAUAAUUCAUAAGAGAUUAAGGUAUUUUGCCUUCCUUUAUUUGUAUAUUUUCAUUACACAUUGAGGAUAAUGUACAAGUUAGGUUGGGGAAGGGUUAGAAAUGAACAGAAAGAAAUAUGUUGUUAGUUUUUCUAUUAUUUUUUAUUUAUUUUUUUUCAUAAAUUGCAUUUGUGACUUAUUUGGUGAAAUUUUUUUUGAGAAGACUAUAGCAUUUGUGAUUGAAGAAUGAGCAUACCUAACUUGAAAGAAGUUGAUUUAGAAUACUAUCUUAUUUGCUUGAUUUUAGAAAACUUGUUAUGUGAGUUGAAGUUUAUUUGACUUUGAAGUUUUCAUUUUCCCAAGGGUCAUUUCUAUUUGAGUCUUGACAUACAUUAUGCACUCUAGACCUCGAAUAUAAGAUGAAAAACCAGUUUAACCUUGAUACUUAGACUCAAUUGUCUUAGUAACUUGAAUUACUUUGGAAUUGAGUUGAGACACCUUAAAAAGAAGUCAAUGUGCCCAAAUUGAAAAAAAAAAUGAAAAAAUGAAGAAAAAAAAAGUUGAUGAAUAAAAAGGUUGAUUUAUGGUUAUCUUGAAACCCGAGCAAGGUUCGAGGGGUAUAUGGCCCAAAGGUCUUUAAAGCCUAGUGCCCUAACCCAUUUUGAUUAGGAGUCAUCAACCUCAAUGCUCGCUACAUGGGUGGAUGGGUGGAGUAUGAGCUCAAUUGUAGGUACUAAGAUAUUGGAUCUUAAUUUAAGGUGUCUGGGGUGAAGUUCGAGGAGUUAGUGGCUAGUGAAAUAAUCCUAUAGACUUGGUGCCCUAUGCCUUAUGGUUGGGAGUCAUCGAUGAAUCUCUGCUACAUGGACCAUAUACUUGGAAAUACCUUUAGCAUUGCACUCCUACAAUAAGUCUUUUGAAAAAAUAAUAAUAGAUAAAGAUAAGUCAAUUCUUGACCUAUGAGAGAGUGAUUUUUAUUGCUUAAUAUGAAUUGAGUUAGGUUGAGAGGAAGAUUAGUUUUGAGUACUAUAUUUUGGGCUAGCUUAAUUACACUCAAGGCUUUUUUUGAAAGAUUGUUUGGUGAAUGAAGAUGGAUAUGCUUUUGAUACCUUGGUUUCCAUGAUAUUCUUCCUAUUAAAGAUAGUAAAUAAGUUGGGAUUUUGUUGAUACCUAUGAAUAGUAGGGUGUGUUUGCUUAUCAACCAGUUAUACUAUGGAAAGUUCAAAGAUAUUCUCCAAAUGAUUUGCUUAUGUGACUUGUGAUUAUUUUUAGGUAUUGUUUUUAUUUAUUUUUUUCAUACCAUUGCUAAGGGACUAGCAAUGUGUUGGUUGGAGAGAAUGAUUACUACUCAAAAAGAGCAUAUUUUAGGUAAUAAUUCUCAUGAGAUUCACCUAUUUUGAGUAAUAAUUAUGUCUAAAAUACCCAAUUAUUAUGUUAUUGUCUUUGCAAAAGUUAUUAACAAGUUUUAUGAAGUUUUGGAGUCUUUUCAAGGUAUGAUUUUGAUAAAUUGGUGACAAAAGCAAUGAAUCAAAUUGAAAAGAACAAAUAAUGUUUAUGAUAAUCCAAAUAUAUAACGAAAGAAGUAAUACAAUUAGUUUGGACCAGGAUUUGAGCUAAUUGGAGGUAGUUAAGGUGGAAUCAAAAGAAGAAAAUGAAGAAAGGAUAAAAGGAAGCUCAAAAAUCAAAUGUUGCAGAUUCGCAUGACUGUGCAAAAUGGACCAAACAAGAAAAAUCGAUUGUGGUAUAAGGAUGAUGCCUAAGUUGAUUUUGCAUGAACAUGCGAAAAUUUCGCCUAGUUAUGCGAAAUGGUGAGAAAGUUGUUGUUGCUCCACUGAUUUCGUACGACCAUGUGAAAUUGAUUCUCUUAAUGUGAAAUCGUAGAAGCUCAUGCGAAAUCAUGAUUUUGAUGCUAAACUCCAAAUUUCUAAAUUUGGAUGGUUCUAGAAGACUAAUGUGAGGUUGUCAAGUGUCCACUUGACCUUGGCCUAUAAAUAGAAACUUGAAUUUUUCAUGGAGGAGCUUUUGGAUACUUUUGAUUGUAAAAUUUUAUGGAUUCUCUCUCUUAAUAGAAUUCUCUAUUUUCUUUCAUUUUCUCACUAGCCAAACAUGCCUUGUGAGACCAAAUCUCCAAGCAUGAGUGUCUAAAUCUUGUUUUUUUUUUCUUAAAUGAAUAAGGAUCUAGAGGUAAGAUCUAUGGUGAAUAAGACAAAUGAGCUUUAAUUGUAAAGGUAAUUUGAUCAAAUUGAUUGAUUAAUUGAAUUUUGGAGAUUUUUCUUUUCAAAUUGUCUUAGAAGACUACUACAAUGCAAACUAAGUAGAUUCAUUAAAUUCUUAAAGCUAUAUUUUAUGAGAUUGAAUAGUUGCAUUGUGUGAAUCAUUGCAAGAUAAUUUAAGAUGAAUUGACUAUAUGAUUUGAAUUGAUCUCUUAGAUUAAAUAACCUAAUUUGAAAAGAAAUUAGAUCUAAACCUAAAAGUAAAUAAAAAAUCGAUUUAGAUGAGAAUUUAUAUUUUUAAUCUAACUUGAUAAAAAAUAGAUCUCAACAUCUAUUCACCAUAGAAAUUGUUUUCUAGAAAAUCCCAACUCCAAGAGUUUCUUUUCCUUAUUAAUUUUCUUUUAUUAUACAUUUUAUUAUUCCUCUCAAUUUGAAAUCAUUGUUAUUUUGAAUUUUUAUCAUGAAUUGUCAAUCCAAUUUCACUUGAUCAUAAUCAUGUAUUUUCUUCCCAUCCAAGCCUUAAUUAACGAAAAUAAUCCACCCCAGUAGAUGAUACCUAAGAUCGUUAUACUAUCGUAACCUUUGCUAAAAACACUUUUUGAUUGGGUAACAAUUACUUUAGCAUAGUUGAAUUAGAUUAUAAAUUUUAUUUUGAUGCGAUAAACGAAAAAAAUCAAUCAAUCAAAAAUGGUGUCGUUAGAAUGAAAACAAUUUCCAUGAUGAAUAAAUGUUGAGAUCUAUUUGGAGAUGACACUAGUCUUGAAUCCCUUCUGGGAUUUUUUUCUUUUUAAACCUCCAGUUUCUGAACCUUCAGCCCAGAGGUAUGUUACAAAAGCUUCACUAGAUAAAAGUAAAUCAAAUAUGCAUGUUCCUAAGAAUUACCAGUGAAAGAGAAAGCAAAUUAUCAGUGUUUAACAAAAUUCUCCAUUUUUUCCAACAUCCUCUGCUACUUCUCUAAUUCAAAAUUAUAUAGUUCAACCUUUCAUUUCUAAAGUCCUUGAUCCUACUCCGGUUACAAAAUUUGCACCUCCAUAGGGUUGGGCAACUCAAUUUCAAUUUAUGAAAGCCCCAAAGAAGGAAAUAACCUCUAGUACAAGGGAAGAUUGCUCAAGUAGAAAAUUCCAUGAGAAAUACUACUAUGAUUUCAAGGCAUUUGUUGCAUCUCCUCUGACUCAAUUUUCCAUGGAGUUACGUUGUUAAUAUUUCUUGAAAUAGUUCAUGGUACCUAGACCAUUCUUUUAUCCAUGCAUAAUCCGGGAAUUUUAUUGAACCAUGACUAGUAGGGAGAUAUACUCUCAUUUGAUGAUUUAUUCUUAAAUAGAUGGGAAACAAGGCAUGCUGAAUAUUGAAAUGGUAGCCAAAGCUUUGGAUAUUCCUCUUAUACCUCUAAAUCCAGCUAAGUUUCAACCUAUAACCCAAUAUGAAGUGGUUUGAGUAGUUUCUCAAAAUCUAUCCACCAAUACACAUGCAAUGUUGAGAAGAGAAAUAAUUCCAAAUUUUGGUUUUUGGAUCAUGUCUUGCCCUCCAUUAUUUAUCCUUGCCAACACUCAAUGCAAAGGCGAGAAGAUAUACUGAUGACAUUAUUCCUAAUUGUUAGUGGGCAAAGGUAGACACUUGUUGAACUAUUUAUGACAACCUUAUUCUAUUUUGAAGACAAAGUGUAUUUGAAGAAAUCUUCAAGAAUUAAAUUUAGAGUUGGUACAUAAUGAUGUUCAUUAGCAGUAGUCAAUGAAGCACUUGCGAAUGUAAACUUGAUUUUGGUCACACUUUCUUGCCAUCUAGAAAUAGUGUAAACUUUCUUACAAUGAUGUUUCUUUUAUUGUCCAGGUUCAACAGGAAAGCCAUAAUACUCUACGAUGGUGUCCAAUACCCGAUGAAAGAAUAACAAAUAUUUCUUAGCUCUUUGCAACUUCUUCGAAUCCACCUUGUCUUCAAAAUAGAAUAGCGCAACCAUAACUAUUUUAGCAGGUGUCCACCAUUGCCCACUAACAAUUUAGAAUAAAUCUAUCAAUAUAUCUUCUCAUAUUUGCAUUGAGUGUUGGAAAGGAUAAACAUCAGAGCACAAGACAUGAUCCAAAAACCAGAAUUUGGAAUCUAUUUCUCUUCUCAACACUGCAUGUGUAUUGGUAGAUUGAUUUUGAGAAACUACUCUAACCAUUUCAACAAUUUCAGCUUAGGUAAUGGGUUGAAACUCAGUUGGAUUGGGAAGUGUAAGAGGAAUAUCCAAAGCUCUAGCUACCAUUUGACAUUCAGCAUACCUUACUUCCCAUCGAUUUCAAAAUAAAUCACUAAAGAAUAGUAAACCUUCUUGCUAAUCAUAGUUUGGUAAAAUUCUCGGAUUAUACAUGGAUAACAAAAUGGUCUAGGUACCAUGAAUGACUCCAAGAGAUAUUGACAACACAACUCCGUGGAAAAUUGAGUUAAAGAAGAUGUAGCAAAUGACUUGAAAUCAUAGUAGCAUUCCUCAUGGAAUUUUCUACUCGAGCAAUCUUCCUUUGUACUAUAGGUUAUUUUCUUCUUCAGGGCUUUUGUAAAUUGAAAUUCAGUUGUUUAGCCCUGUGGAGGUGCAUAUUUUAUAAUUGGAAUAGAAAUAGGGGCUUCAAAAAAUGGAAGGUUGAACUAUAGGAUUCUAAAUUGGAGAAGUAGUUGGGGAAUGUUGGAAAAGAUGAAGGUAAAUUGAUAAUUUCUCAAGGACACGAAUCUUUGGUUUGCCUUUAUCCAGUGAAGCUCUUGUGACAUACCUUUGGGUUAGAGGUUCGGAAACUAGAGGUUUAAAAAGGAAAAAUCCUCGAGAAGAUUCAAAACCAAUGUCAUUUCCAUUUCCAUCACUAAUCUUCACAAACUCUUCCUCAAACUCAAUUGAUUUUAGUUUUUGAUUUCCCAUAUGUAAUAGGAAAUAGCAGAAAAUAAGAGGAUAUCAAUUUGUCUGAAAUUUGAAAAAUUUGCAACAAUCUCUCAAAGUAAGUCAAAAUUGAAUUUUUGAACCCUAAUCUCAAUCUUAUUUUCAAUUUAGACUUGUCAUGCAAUUGAAAAGAAAGAUAAAAGCGAAAAUUUGAAUACCUGGAAUGCUCAAAAUGCUGAGAGUGUUCAAGAAAAUAUUUAGAAAUAAAAAAUGAAAAGAAAAAAAGUACUCAAUGGUGUAUGUGCUUUCACAGUCUAGGGCAUGGAAUAGAGAUGAGAAAGUGUGGAUGGAAAAGGAAAAUGAAAAUGAAUAUAUGAUCUUGUGCCUCUUUAGUAUCUCAUGGAGUAACUGUAAAGAUUUCUCAUAUGAAGAAUUUUAAAAAUGGUAAGAAGAAGAUGAAAAGUUUUGGCAUGAGGGCAUGUUUUCAAGUUUUGUCAUGAGGGUCUGUUUUCGCACAAUGAUGCGAAAUAAGAUAAAGGAUUAUAUUGGUUGCAAGAUUUUAAAAAAAAAAAUUGGCACAAUCAUGUGAAAUUUUUGCAUGAUUGUGUGAAGUGGUCAGAAGCAUAAAAUCUCUAUAGCCUCUCAUAUUAGUUUCACAUAGUUAUGCAAAAAUUUCGCAUAGUUAUGCAAAAAUUUCGCAUGAUCAUGUGAACUAAGACAAAGAUAUAACUUUUGCAUUUUCAAAAGCUAUGAAAACCCCCUUAUUUUUGGCAUGAAUUCCCCUGUUUUUGGCACAAAUGCCCCUAUUUUUGCAUGUAUGUGCAAAAUAGUGAUAGGCCAUUAAAACUUCAUUUUUCCUUGCUUCAUGUAAUCCAUCCAUUAGGAAAGUUCUUCAAAACACAAUUGACAUGGUUAAGAAGGAUUUAUUCACUAGAGACUAAAAAAAAUUCAAACAACACAAAAACAAAAUAAAAAAAAAUCAAUGAAAAAAUAAAAAUCAUUGGGCUAGUUAGUCUUUUAGAAGACUAAGCCCAUAAAAACUUGAAUGUUCAAUUUAUGGGAGGCUCAAGAAGGUAUAGCUCCUUCUUCUUUUACACCAUAGGUUCCACAUAUGGUUUAAGUCGAUGUCCAUUAACUUUGAAGAUGCAUCAACUCUUUGGAUUAGCAAUUUCAAUAACUCCAUUUGAAUGCACCUUAUGAACCAAAUAUGGACCAUUCCAUCUAGAUUUAAGAUUUUUUAGAAAGAUGUGCAAUUUUGAAUCAUAUAGGAGCACCUUUUGUAUAUCUUGAAACUCUUUUCUAAUUACAAUUUGAUCAUGCCAUCUUUUGAGUUUGUCCUACAUGUAGGCUUCAUUUCUCAUUUCUUCUAACUCAUUUAAGUCUAAGAACUUCUUCAAUCCAACUCUUUGCAUAUCAAAAUUCAAUUUUUUUAUAGCUCACCAUGUUUUAUACUCUAUUUUCAUUGAUAGUUGACAUGUCUUACCAAAAACCAACCUAUACGGUGACAUUCCAAGAAUUGUUUUGAAGACGGUUCGGUAAGCCCAAAGUGCAUCAUGAAGUCUAAAUACCCAAUCCUUGCGGUUUAUAUUCACCACUUUCAUCAAGAUAUUCUUGAUUUCACAAUUAGCUAACUCUACUUGUCCAUUUGUUUGUGAAUGGUAAGGUAUGGCUACUCUGUGCUUCACUCCAUAUCUAGCAAGAAGAUUAUUGAAUGGCUUGUUGCAAAAGUGAGUACCUCCAUCACUAAUAAUGGCCUUUGGCACCCUAAACCUUGUGAAGAUAUUAUCCAUGAGAAAUUUCACUACUACUUUGUGAUCAUUAUGCUUACAAGCUAUUGCUUUCACCCACUUUGACACAUAACCAACUCAUACCAAGAUAUAGGAGUGUCCAAAAGAAUAUGGAAAGGACCCUAUGAAAUCAAUCCUCUAUACAUCAAAUAAUCCACUACCAAUAUGGGGUUAAGUGGCAUCAUGUGUCGCUUUGUCAAUUUCCCAAGCCUUUGACACUUAUCACAAGACUUGCAAACUUCAUGUGCAUCUUUGAAUACAAUUGGCCAAUAAAAACCUAAUUGGAGAACCUUUAAAGUUGUCUUUUGAGUGGAGAAAUGGCCUCCACAAGCAUAAACAUGACAUUGCAUAAGAAUUCCUUGUUGUUCUUUUUCCGGUACACACUUCCUAAUAAUUUGAUUAGCAUAAUAUUUGUACAAAAAUGGUUCCUCGCAAUAGUAUGCAUGCACCUUGGACAAGAAAAAUCUUCUUUCUUGAGUAGUAUAUUCCUUAGGUAAUUCUUCGGUGACUAGAUAAUUUUCUAUGUGACCAUACCAUGGGUUAACAUCCACUUGCAAAAGAGCAUCAUCAGGAAAUUCUUCAUUAAUAGGAGGACUUUUCAGAAUGUGUUCCAUAGAAAUUUGGGAUAAGUGGUCAGUUACCACAUUCUCCACACCUUUCUUAUCUCUUAUUUCAAGAUUCAAUUCUUGAAGAAGUAAAAUCCAACAAAUUAGCCUUGGCUUAGAGUCCUUUUUGUUGACUAAGUAUUUCAAAGUUGAAUGAUUAGUGAAGAUCACUAUAAAAACUCCAACAAAAUAUGCUCUAAACUUGUCUAAUGAAAAGACAACCGCAAGCAACUUUUUUUCAAUGGUGGUGUAGUUAUUUUGUGUCUAAUUAAGAGUUUGGUUACAUAGUAAAUAACUUAAGGUUUCCUUUCAUCUCUUUACCCAAGAAUUGCUCUCAUUGCUUGGUCAUUUGCAUCAUACAUAACUUCAAAAGGAAGUUCCCAAUUUGAUCACCUCACAAUAGGUGCACUAGUCAAUAGUUUCUUCAACUCUUCAAAGCAUUUUUGGCAAUUCUCAUCCCAUUUUAAUUUGGCAUCUUUAGCAAGUAAGGCACACAUUGGUCUUGCUAAUUUGGAAAAAAAAUUUAUGAAGUGUCUGUAAAAGCCCACAUGACCAAGAAAUUGCCUAACUUCUUUGACAUUUAUUGGUGGUAGUAGAUUCAUAGUUAGCUCAAUCUUUGCCUUAUCCACUUUGAUGUCUUUCCUUGAGACAACAUGACCUAAGACAACGUCUUUUUCUACCAUAAAGUGGCAUUUCUCCCAAUUUAGCACCAAAUUUUUCUUAAUGCAACUUUGAAGUAUUUAUUUUCCAAAUUUGAGAGACAAUCAUCAAAGUUCUCACCAUAGAUGGUAAGAUCAUCCAUAAAAACUUCUAUGAUCCUCUCUACCAUAUCACUAAAGAUAUUUCGCAUGCACCUUUGAAAAGUAGCGAGAGCAUUGCAUAAACCAAAUGGCAUCCUCCUAUAUGCAUAGGUACCAAAAAGGCAAUUAAAUGUUGUUUUCUCUUGAUCUUCCAAGGCAAUCUCAAUCUAGAAAUAACCAAAAUAGCCAUCAAGAAAACAAUAAUAAGGAUGUCCCGAUACCCUCUUCAAUACUUGGUCCAUGAAUGGAAGAGGAAAAUUAUCAUUCAUUGUGAAAUAUUCAGCUUUCAAUAGUCAAUACACACUCUCCAUCUUGUAGUCAACCUUGUGGGAAUAAAUUCUCUUUGUUCAUUUUGUACCACUGUCACUCCCGACUUUUUAGGCAUAACUUGGGUAGGACUUACCCAAGUGCUAUCUGAAAUAGAGUAGAUAAUUCCAGCUUAUAGCAACUUAAGUACCUCAUUUCGAACAACUUCUUGCAUGUGGGGAUUCAAUCGCCUUUGAGGUUGAAGAAUUGGUUUAGCCUUUUCCUCCAAAUAAAUGUGGUGAGUGCAUACCAAAGAACCAAUCCCUUUAAGAUCAUAAAUGGACCAUCCAAUAGCUUUUUUGCAUUUCCUUUUAACAUCCAACAAGCUAGUUUCUUAUUGGUGUGAUAGUUUUGAAGAGAUUACCACCAAAUACUUAUCUUCUUCAAGAUAUGCAUAUUUCAAAUCAUUUGGCAAUGGCUUGAGAUUGAGCUUAGGUUAUUCUUCCUUCUUUUCUUCUUCAUAAUUGGUUAGAGGUAAAGGCUUGUCUUUUGCCUUCCAUUGCAUAGAAUGAUUAAUGAAGGCAAUUUCAUUAGCUUCUUCAAUUUUUUCUUCCACUUCAUUUUCUUCAAAUUCUUCAUAAGUCUUCUCCAACUAUUCAUUCAUUAGUUCUUCCACAUGUUUUUCAAUAAAAAUUUCAAUCAAGCAAACUUAUUCUUGUUCAUUCUCAUCUUGAUUUGGAUUUCUCUUGCAUAGAUGGAAAAUAUUCAGCUCAAUAGUUAUAUUUCCAAAGGUGAGUUGCAUCACCCCAUUCCGACAAUUUAUUAAAGCAUUUUUCAUGGCUAAGAAAGGUCUACCAAAAAUAAUUAGAACAUGAUUUGGUCUACUUUCUAUUAGCUCCAUAUCAAGGACAAUAAAAUCAACCGAAUAGUAAAACUUAUCCACUUGAACCAAUACGUCUUCAAUCAUUCCUUUUGGAAUUUUAAUUGACCUAUCUGCCAAAGAUAAUGUGAUAGAAGUAAGCUUGAGUUCCCUUAGCCCUAAUUUCUUGUACACCAUAUAAGGAAGAAUAUUUACACUUGUACCCAAAUCAAGAAGAGUUUUCUCUACAUAUGUAUCUCCAAUAUUUACCAAAAUGGUAGGAUACCUCAAAUCUUUGUACUUGAUUGGAGUCUUACAUUGUAUGAUUACACUAACUUGUUUUGUUAAGAAAUAUUUCUUGUUGAUGUUCAACCCCCUCUUCAUUGUACAUAAAUCUUUGAGGAACUUGGCAUAGAGUGGGAUUUGUUUGAUCAUGUCAAGGAGUGGUACGUUAACUUUGACUUACUUGAGAACUUCAAUAAUUUCAGUUGCAUUAUUUAUCAUCUUUCUUUAUUGAAAAGCUUUUGGAAAUUGUGGAGAUAAAAGUUUGUCUUUCUUCUUAAACUCUUCACUAAUAAUCUCAUCUUCCUUUGAUUUAUCAUCUUCAUUCACCACUUUCCCAUUUUCUUGUUCUUUCACUUUUUCUUCUUACUCCCCCUCUUUCUUCUCUUUUGGUUUUGACAUAGGUUGAUCAACUUGUUUUCCACCUCUUAAGGUAAUGAUUGCCUUCACUUCAUCUAUUUAGCAGAAUUUUCACUUGUCUCUCCAAUUUCAUGGACUCCCCUUGGAUUUUGUUGGGGUUGUGAAGGGAAUUUUUUUUUUUUUUUUUUGCACCAUAUGCAUGCUUGUGAGUUUAAAGAUAGCAAACGACAUAUUAUCAAUUUUUUAUGUGAGAUUAGUUUGCAAACUAUCAAAUUUCCAAUUGAAAAAUGUCUCCACAUGGUCUAUCAUUUGGUUUACUUAAGUAUUUAUAUUAUUUUGAUCUCCAAUGAAGUCACCUAUCACUCUACUCAAAUUCACAAUAGCUUGUUCCACCGGUGAAACUUGAUGUUGAAAAGUUUACAUGUUAGAAGAGAAUUGUCCUUGUCCACUCUUCCAAGAUAGAUUCGAAUGAUACUUCCACCCUGGAUUAAAGGUAUUUGAAAAUGGAGAACUGUUGGAGUGUUUAACAAAUCCAACAGGAUUAGCUUGUUCCAUAAACAUCUCUCUAACAACUGGUGUGGUGGGUAAUUCACUCACUAGAUGUUCACUAGAUUGACAUAUAGAGCAUUGGACAAUUUGCAUUAGAACAUCAUUACUUUGAUUUCAUGAGAUCGUCUAGCUUCAAGUUCUUCCAAUCUCCUUGAUAGAGUUGCCAUUUUUGCUUGCAUGUCUACAUCCUCAUUCAAAGUGUACAUUCCCUCUUUAGAAUUGUUUUGGGACUUGGAUUUUCUUGAGUCUUUUCCAUGAGGUUCAUCCCACGAUCUAGAUAUCUCCGCCACAUAGUUUAGAAAAUCCAAAGCUUCAUCAGGACUUUUUCUUGUAAAGUCACCUCCACACAUGGUUUCUAGCAAUUGUUUCAUAGUUGGCGAUAUGCCUUCAUAGAAGUAGCUUGCCAACAUCUAAGUGCCAAAACCAUGAUAAGGACAAGCAUUGACUGCCUCCAUAUAUCUCUCCCAACAAGCAUAAAUUUUUUUCAUUCUCUAUAGCCAUAAAAUUGGAAAAUUUCCUCUUCAAUCCACUAGUACAAUGAAUUGGAAAAAAUUUCUUCAAACAUUCAACUUGUAGUUCAGGCCAUGAGCGGAUACUUCGAGGUCUCAAAGAAUUCAACCACACUUUUCUCUUAUCCUUGAGAGUGAAAGGGAAUAAUUUAAGUCUCUUAAGAUCAAUCGAUGUAGUUCCUUCUUGAAAAGUAUGACAUACUUUUUCAAAAUCCUUUAUAUGAGUAUAAAGAUUUUCAUUCUCCAUUCCACAAAAUUGAGGAAGAAGUGGCACCAAAUAAGGACAGAUGAUCAUUUGCUCACUAGGAGGAACAAUGCAUGAUAGUACACUCAUUCUCAAUGGAUGCAUAUGGUCCCUCAUAGAUCAAUACAAAUGGAAAUUUUCUUUAUUAGGACCAUGUUGACUUUGUUGAUUUUCACUUUGAGGUUCCAUUAUAUUGUAGCAAUGAUUCAACACUUGAGUAGAUGAAUUAGUUCUUUCCAACCUUCGCUUAGAAUUUCGUUCCCAAUGGAGCAUACAAGGGUUCACCUACAAAACAACACAACCAAAGAAAAAAAACAAAACAAACCAAAAAGAACAAAAGAGAAAAAUAAAAAGGAAAAUGGAAUUUAAAAGAAAACUAAGAUGAAAGUGAAGAAUCAGUAAAAAGAACUUCACCUAUCUUGUAAUAUGGAUCACAAGGGUUAACCCUCACAAAAAAAUUGCCUCAAUCACCUUGGCACCAUCGUCGGCAACAACGCCAUUUUUUAUCAAUUACAUUUUUUUUUCGUUUAUUGCAUCAAAACACAAUUUAUAACCUAAUUCACUAUUCUAGAAUAGUUUGUACCCGAUAAAAAAUGGUUUUAGUACAAACCACCCUAGUAUAGUGGUUUUUAGGUGUCAUCCACUAGGAUGGAUUAUUCUUGGUAAUUAAGUCUUAAAUGGAAGGAAAAUAAAUUAUUGUGAUCAAGUGAAAUUAAUUUGAAAAUUCAUGGUGAAAAAUCAAAAUAACAAUGGUUUCUAAUUGAGAAGAACAAUGAAAUGUAAAAUAGUAAAAAAUUAACAAGAAAUGAAAUUCUCGGAGUUAGGAUUUUCUAGAAAACAAUUCACAUGGUGAAUAGAUAUUGAGAUCUAUUUUUCAUCAAGUUAGAAUGAAAACCUAAAUUCUCAUUUAAACCAAUUUUAGAUUUAUCUUUAAGUCUAGACCUAAUUUCUCUUCAAAUUAGGUUAUUUAAUCUAAGAAAACAAUUUAAACUAUAUAUUCACUGCAUCUUAAAUCAUCUUCCAAUGAUUCAUACAAUGCAACUAUUCGAUCACAUUAAAUCUAGCUUUAAAAAUUUAAUGAAUCUACCUAGUUUGCAAUGUAAUAGUCAUUCAAAAUAAUUUGAAGAGAAAAAUUCCAAAAAUUCAAAUAAUCAAUCAAUUGGAUCAAAUUACCUUUGCAAUUCAAGUUCAUUUAUUUAAUUCACCAUGGAUCUUGCCUCUAAACCCUCCUUCCUCCAAGACAAACGAGAUUCAGCCACUCAUGCUUGGAGAUUUGGUCUCACAAGGCCUAUUUGGCUAGUGAGAAAAUGAGAUAAAAUGAAGGAAAAUAGAGAAUUCUAUUAAGAGAUAAUCUAGAAAAUUCUACAAUCAAAAGUAUUUAAAAGCUUUUUAAUGAAAGAUUCAAGUUUCUUUUUAUAGGCCAAGGUCAAGUAGACACUUGGCUUCAUAUAAAAGGUCUUCUAGAAGCUUCUUCAUUCAACAAUUUGGAGUUAAUUAGCAAAAUAAUCAUUUCGCACAAGUUCAACCAUUUCACAUGAAGAAAACCAAUUUCGUACGGUCAUGCAAAAUCAAUGGAGCAAUAGCAACUUCAGUAGCUUCCUGCAUCAUUUUGCAUGGUUAUGCAAAAUUAGCUUACAAAUCCUCCUUAGCCUACAACUGAUUUUCCUCCUCUAGUCCAUUUCACACAGUGAUGCGAAAUUGCACCAUAUGGUUUUUAAGCUCAUUUUUGUUACUUCCUUCAUUUUCUUCUUUUGACUCCACUUUAACUACCUUCAAUUGACUCCAAAUCCCUAUCCAAACUAAUUAUAUUGUUUUUUUUCUCAUCAUCCACAUUAUUCACCCUCUUCAAUUCCAUUUCUCUUUUGUAACUCAAUGCAUCAAAAAUCACCUUGAAAUAGCUCCAAAACUUCACAAAAAUCACUAGUAUCACUUGCAAGGGCAACAAUGUAUUAAUUGGGUAUGUUAGACAUAAUUACUACUCAAAAGGUAUGGAAUUCAUGAGAAUUACUAUUUAAAAUGUGUUAUUUUUUUAGUAGUAAUCAAUUGCACAAAUGAAAUGGUGUUAUAUUAAAAAAGAUAGAACUAAACACAUUUCAUCAAAAUUCUUCUAUAAACAUUAACCCCAGAAGAGUGGUGAAAUUGAUGUUCAACAAAUACACUCAAGUGAUAAUCUAGCAAAUUUAUUCACAAAGUCAUUGUCAACCUCAACAUUCAAGAAGUUAAUCCACAAGAUCGGAAUGCGUCAACUCAAGGAUAUCGACAUAAGGGGGAGUAUGCUUAUAAAAGAACAUUAGUGUAUUAUACUUUUUUUUCCCUUCGUCCAAGUUUUGUCCCACCAGGUUUUACUGGCAAGGUUUUUAACAAGGCAAUCCUAAUAGACCAAGAACAAUUUAAAAAAUUAUAAGAAUAUUAUACUCUUUUUCAUUCACUAAGUUUUUCCCAUAGGGUUUUUUACUAGCAAGGUUUUAAUGAGACAUUUUUUUUUUAAUGUGGUGGUCAUCUAAGGGGGAGUGUUAUAAAUGAAGUGGUGAAUGCCACCAAAUUAUUAUAAUAAAUGUUAAUUAAACAUUAUUUAUGACUUCCAUUAAUUCAACAUUAAUUGAAACCAUUUGGAAAGCCUAUAAAAAGGUUUCUCAUCCCUUGUGUAAGAAACAUCCCGAGCAAGAAAGAAAUUCUCUCUUUCUCUCAUUCUCUUUGUCUUGUUCUCUCGUUCUCACAUUCUCCCUAUCUUUCAUUCUCUAAACUCUCUGAAUUCUCUUAGUUGAUUUCUUCCUCCCCAUUAUAUAUUAUUAAAGUAAUAUAUAUUUGUCUCUACUUUUAUUUGUAUUUAUUCUUGUUUUACAACAUUUUCUAUUUUAUUUUCUUUUUAUGGUUUUUUAACAUUAGUUUUUAUUUUUCCAUAUUUUUUUUCUUAAUAACAAUUGGAAGAACCCGUAUUUGUUCUUUGAAAAAUAACAUCUACUUUAUUUUAUUGUUAAAAAUUGUUACAUAUAACAAAUGUCAAACAACUUUCUAUUUUAGAAAACAAAAAACUUUUCAUUUUACAUUCUAUUUUUAAAAUUGAAAAACAUAAAUCAUAUUUAGAGGACAUUUGAGAUACUGGACAGAAU
rnacentral:lncRNA from 1 species